CGACCCCAUCUUCAUCCAAUAAGAUAUUCCAAGGAAACAAAGUCCUAUAUACGAAGGGCCUAGGGAAUGCAGUGUGAAGGUAAGCUAAAGCAGUAGCGAUAUCUUCUGCUAUCUUCAUUCUCCUUUUCCACGUCUGUUCACUUAUUUUUAAUCGAUAGUGUUUCUUCACACCAUCAUAAACCAAGACUGGCUUUUCCAACUCAAGACAACAUCCAACCAAUUUCAAAAAGUUUUUGUUCACUAAAACCAACUCAAGACUGCAAUUUCAUGUUUCACUUUACUAUAGAUGUGAAUGUCACCUUUGAACCUAUGAUGUUUAGUGAGAUAGAGGCCCCAAAUCCACCAAACAAUCAUGGAAUUCACAGUUCAAUAUUGAUGGCAUUGUUCAUAUGUAAUUGCUGGAAUUUGCAAACUUACAUCAAUUAGCCCUGUUUCCCAACUCACUAUGUAAACUUUAGAAUUGUUAUGGUCUUAUUGACUUGGGAGACUUAACCUUUAUAGUAGACAUCAAUAUAUUAUCAAUACAAGCAAGAUUCACAUAUAUCAUAAAAUCUCUUGAUAACAUUAACAAAAACAGACGGAUCGAUCAAAACCCAAACACAAGCUCUAAGGGUAGGAUCUGACAAUAGAAUUAAAAGUAACGUAGCACUAUAAUGGAUUUCCGUUAACCCAGAGAUUAAGAACAACUUCGAUACUCAAUUAGCUAAGAUCUGAUCGAUUACCAAAGUAUUAAUGAAUCCGAAAUAAGAGAUACAAUCGUGAACUCUCACUCGCAAACGAUUACAAAGAGAUAAACAUAGAUCUCUCUUUUAGCACAUCGCUAGACCAAAGUCUCACAAUGAACUCACAAUUGUUUAUUAAUACAACAAAAAAAUUACGUAAAAGUAAACGAAAUGAAACUUGAUAAUGUUGAAAUACGAACAUGAAUCGAACUUAUUUUCAGUACAUUCUUCGAUUUUUUUACUGGAAAAAAAAAAAAAAAAAAACCAGCUCAACAUAACCCAUUGAAACAUCUCGUAAAAUACCUGGCAGGCACUUGUUUGCACUUAGCAAUGCCUUUGUGUGUUUUAAGUCUGGUUUGAGAGGACGACUGAGGAAGAAAUGUCUUGGGCAAAGUCGAAAUGGGUUUCACCUGAAGUAGAAGAAGAGUCGUUAUAAAGAGAUGUUUGAAUCUUCUUUAGUUCUUUGGCCACUUCCACCAUCGUUGGAACUUCUUCACUAGGACCGAUGCAUCUCAGUGAGAGCAUUCGGAAAGCUUCCAUUUGACAAAGCUCUUGUUCUGAAAUUUGACCCAUCUUUUCUAUCAUCUUUCGAUCUGCAAUCUCUUCCAUUCGUCGGUCUUCCUUUAAUUUUGACAGCCAAUAUCCAGCAUAAUACUCAAAAUAAUAUUGGUUUCCUAAUAGAAGCGAUAGACCCAUAAACUUUCCAAAGGCCAAGACAUCUGUUUUCUCUGAGACUACGCCACUGCUCAUCAUGUAACCAUCGUACAAGUAACUAUAUAAUAAGAUAUCUUCUCUGUCAACCUGGACAAAUGUUUCUCCUUGUGGGAUUGAGACGCAGAGAGAGAAAUCAAUCAGCUUGGCGACCCCAUCUUCAUCCAAUAAGAUAUUCUCAAUAGACAAACUCGUAUAUACGAAGGGCCUAGGGAACGCAGUGUGAAGGUAAGCUAAAGCAGUAGCGAUAUCUUCUGCUAUCUUCAUUCUCCUUUUCCACGUCUGCUCACUUAUUAUUAAUUGAUAAUGUUUCUUUACACCAUGAUAAACCAAGACUGGCUUUUCCAACUCAAGACAACAUCCAACCAAUUUCAAAAAGUUUUUGUGACCACUCACCAUCGAUGAAACUGCUAUGUCCCGGCACAUAAGAUCUGUCCUCAAGCUCCAAAAGCGAGCACGUUUCUUGAUGAGUAUCAUGGGAUGGUUCUCGUUCUUACCUGAAUACCAAUCGGAGUAAUAAGCUAAUCUAAAAACAUGAUUAGAUUUGCUGAAAUUGUUGGUGGCUUUGAGGAUCUCAUCAGCAGAGAAGAAUUUGAUGGGAUUGGAUAUGCCAUGGCCUAAUUCGAUGAGAUCUUUCAACACCAUCGCCCCUCUCUCCAAUGUUCGCUUCUUAUUCAUCUUCCUCCAAAACCAACCCAUCUCUAACCUAAAUUGUUUUUUGACUUUUUCUAUAAAAAAAAAGAGACUUUACUUAGAAGAUUCAAGACCUCACACAAUGAGUUGAAAUCAAGAUGGAUAUUUAGAUCAGAUUUUUAAGGUUCUCAAUUCUUGUUGAAUUUUCAACACUGACGUCCUCCCGCGUAAAUCAGAAAUAUACAUUUUUUUAAUUGUUUAAAUCAAUUGUGAAGAAAGUAGUUGCGACCAAACUAUCUUCCAAGUUUUAUCUUAUCAAAUUCAUAAGGAUUAAACCCGCAAGACAAAAACUUAUUUUUAGUUCAAAUCAUUUUUUAACUUUAAUAAAAACGGUAUCAAAGGAGACUUUCAACAAUUUUGAAUUUACGCUCAUGACAAAUAUGAACAUUCGUUUUCCUCCAAACUAAAUGUAUAGUAAUUUGUGAGGCUAAGUACCUCUUCGUCCAUAAUCGAAGCGACGGGGUUAAGUAAGUAAACAUGGAGUUCAUUGGGUUAACUGAAAAGCGAAAUCAUUUUACAUCUGGCAGAUCUAAUGGCAAACAAAGUAGGAAGAUGUUUGAUCGUUUCAUGUCCAUUAUAUUGCUUAGAUACAUACAUUGUUCCCUCCUAAACAGAGAAGUCUAUAUUUGGUUGGAAGUCUCCCUCUAAGCCCGAGUCAUGAGAUGAGGUGUAAUAUCCCGGCUCAAAUUAACUUUUGAUUUUUCUUGAAUUUUCCUUAGUAGUAUCUCGAGAAAUAUGGGUUUUGGCUCGGAGAAUUUUUAAAUUUCGUAAAGUUUAAAUUGCAUGGUAUGGAACCGAAGAACGGCUUUUUCAUAAAUCAACUCAAUAGGUAUGUUCAAUUUAUACCUUAACUAUAACUCUGUGCAUAUACAUAACCGAACUAAGCAAAAUUUUAAAUUAACUACCUAAUCUUAUCGUUUUGUGCAAAAACAUGCAUAUCUCGAGAUAUUGUUAACAUCUUAUAUAUUAAAGCAGAAGUAGAAACGCCUCACGUUCGCUCUCAGAAUAUGAGCGGACGUUUUUGCCCCCCUCCCCCUUUAAUUAGAUAAAAUUAGUUAAAUUGCCAAAAUAUUUUAAAAAAACGUGUGUUUAAAUAUGUUAAUAUUGCCAUAUUCAUUAGGUCGUCGUAUAGAAACCAUAAUCUGAUCAUUGGGCUUAUUUUCUGUCUAAAAAAUGGCCCGGUAUAAUUUACACCGUCAUAAGUAAAACCCUAAAACCUUAUGUUAGAAAUGCCUAUAAAUAUAUGAAGUCUCCCUAGAAACUCAAACAUCACGGCUUGAUUUUUAUGCAUAACCAUUAUGGUUUAUAGUUCUUUUUUGUACCUCAAAAUAGGUCCUUUCUAUGAUGCGUCGUCAUCGAUAUUUCGUUCUCUUUUUUCUGUUAUGGUCACUUGGAAAGUAAGAUCUCAAUAUCUCAUAGAUCUUUGCCAAUUGUUGAUGAGUUUUUCUAAACGAGGUUUAUAGUUUGGUCGAUUACAUGUUUUUGAUUAGCACCUUCUUCUCUGAUUAGGUACAUGCACAAACUAUUUGGAUUGUGGACUUGCGAACGAAGCUCAAAACAAUCUAAGGUAUCUUUCUAUUCCUAUUUGAUCUAUGCGUAUAAAAGACAAAAAAAAAUCUUAUAAGUAUCUUAUUCGUGUAGAGAUACCUAAUUUUCCGGUUAUGAAGGGAUUAAUUCACAAAUAUUCAUUGAAAUAAAUGCUGCGAAUAAUGAUGAAUAAUUAAUUACGUCCGUGGAUCCUAUAUAUUAAUAAAAAUUUGAAAUACAUAUAUCAAUAAGAAUUAUAUGAAUCUGUUAUGUAUCUAUAUUUUUGAUAUGCUAAUCUUAUUGGUUUGAUAUUAUCCAUCAUAUCCUUUUGAUUUUUUUUUGUUUUUUUUUUUGAAUUCGAUUAUUGUUAAGAAAUUAGCUAAUAAUAUCUAUCUAACCUUUUAAACAAAAAAAGGGAGAUAGAGAUAGAUAUUUGCAAUUUCGAUUGGAACCGUUCCAUAAUUUCUAAUUAUUAUUUUUUAUUAUUUGACGUUAUCCUAUAUAUUAGAAAAAUAAAGAAUAAAGAGUAUUAAGAUAACUACUUAUUAUGUAUUAUUAACAAAUCUAUCGAGAUUGAAUGAUAUAUACGAAUAUUGGAUAGUAUUAAACAUUUUCAGUUUAAUUUCCAAAUAAAAAGGUUAUUGUUACAAAUUUACAUUUUUUUAUUUUACUUUUUUCUAGCAACUUUUGUGUUAUUAUUAUAUAGGUGUACUAGAUCAUCACCCGUACUACAGUACGGGUUAAAAUUUAUUUAUUACAAAAUUUAUAUAUUAUAUAUUUUAGAAUAAAGUUAUGAUAUAUUAUAAUAGUAAUUGAAAAAAUAUAAUUAGAUUGUUGUGAGUCCCUAUAUAUAAUAUUAGAAUGAAUCUAUUUUCUUUUUUUAAUUAUACUCAACUAUGGAUAUAUUUUUUUAAGAUAUAAAAACGGAAAAUAAAAUUAUUUUAAUAAAUUAAUAUGGUCUGAACAAUGAGUUAAUUUAUAUUAACAACCACAAAAUGAGAUUGCAUAUAAUUCAGUUAGAUCAAAAAUCAAAAUAUUAUAAAUGAAUCGCUUCUAAAACUUAGGGGGUGUUAUUCAAUGGUGGAGUCAAAGUCAAUUCUGUAAGGUUUAGAUUUGUUUUCUGAUAUUGGUUUUAAGAAUCUGUUUGUGUAGAUUUCAAAAUCUCUGCAGUAUAUCUUGGAUUUUGAUUCUAAUAAUUUACUCAUGAAACUCCAAAGAGGUUUCAUUUGAAAUGACUUAAUAUACAAAGAUUUUACAAGUCUUUUAGUUUUGAAUAACACUGGAUUUUACAAAUCUUAAAGAAUUGACUUUAACUCCACCAUUGAAUAACACCAAACUUUUAAAAUCUAAUAAAGUAUAAGAUCUAAUAACACCCGAUUUUAACUUUAGAUUUAUAAUCAUUAGUUGAAUAACACUGGAUUAGUGUUGGAUUUCAAUUCUAUUAAAAUCCAUCAUUGAAUAACACCAGCUAAGAUUAUUUUUAAUUAAUUAAGAAAGUUAGCUAUUAUUUGGAAUUAAUUUAGGAAAUUCUUUUUUCAAUUUUUAAUUAUUUGGUUGUUGAAAUAGAGAUUUUUUUGAGGUAACUACGGAAUUUACCAAUUAUUCGCGUAAUCGAAUAUGUUAUGAACAUAUAUUUAGUAUAUAAUAUACCAAAUUCAACCCGUGCAUGGAGUCUAUAUUUUUAUUUUAGAAUCCUAAUGAAAACAUUGCGUGCACAAUCUAUUAUUCGUUAUUUCCAAAAUUGCUUGCACAAUCAAAUUUUCAAAUAUUUUGUGGUGUCAACCUUAUUUAAUCUAUCUGAUCAUAUAAUCUUAACAUGUCGUCUAUUAUAAGGGUCAUAAUUUUAUAUCAUAUAAUAUAUUAUAUUUAACCCUCCGCCUACUAUAACUAUUUUAAAUAUAUCUUUUUAGAAAAUCAAAUUAAAGUAUUUAUAAUUUUUUUUAUCUUUUUAAUCUAUUAAAUAUUUAUGAUAUUCAUUAAAAUAUUAAAUUUAACUAUUUUUAAAUGUUCCAAAUUAAAAUCUUUUAAAAUAUUUAUUGUAGUAUAUAAAAUUAUGAAUUUCAAAAAAUAAUUAUAAAAAAUUAAAUAGAAAUAUUCAAACAGUUAUAAGGAUAAUAACUCAUUUGUUAAUAUAAUAUAUUAUAUUUAACCCACUGCCUAUUAUAAAUAUUUGUUUUUAAUUAAUCAAAUUAGAGUAUUUAUUGAUGAUAUUCUUUAAAUAUUGAUGAUAUUCUUGAAAAAUAUCAAUUAAAACUAAUUUUAUAUGUUGCAAAUUAAAAUAUUUAAAAAUCUUAUGUAGUAUAUAAAAUAAUACAUUUCAAAAAAUAAAUAUAUGAAAUUGAAUAUAAAUAUUCAAAUUCUGACCCGUUAGUCAGUCAAAAUUUUUGUUGAACUUAUUUUUGGUUAAAAGAAAUAUAUUACUCAAAUAUGAAUUUUUGACCCGUUAAAUUUUUUUCUUCAUAGAUUUAACAAUUUAAAUUCGUUUUUAAAAAUUCAAAUCUUGGCAUAUGCAGAAAAAAUUUACUUUUUUUUUGUUAUAUGGAUGACAUGAUGAUUUAUUUGUUUCAUAAAAAUAGAAUCAUAUAAAGAUGAGAGGUGAAGUAUAAUGAUUAAUAACAAAUUAAUAUGGUUAGUUAGAUAUCAAAUCUUAUAUGUUCAUUUUGAUUGGUCAUUCUUUUUUUAAGUUAAUAAUAUAUUUUCGUUUUUAAUAAUUAAAUUAAUUAAAUUUCAUAAAUUAGUAUUUGACUUGUUUAUCAUUAUUGAGCUAAAUUAAUUUACUCUUUAUAUUUUUAUCUCUAAUGGUAUUCUAAUGUAAUAACUUACAAAUGAGAAAGUUAUUAAAGGGUAAUUAUAAAUUGUACUCCCCAAAUAAUAGUAUAGGAUAUAUUAGUCCAUAAACAGUGGAGUGUUUCUAUUUUGGAUUUUUAUAAAGUUAAAUGAAUCUGUGUAAAUAUUGAUAUUGACAUUUUGUUAAAAGAAUAUUUUGGGGUUAUUGAGAAUCGGGAUAAUUUCCUUUUUAGAAAAACUAUCUAGAGUUAUAUAUUGAUGAAUCUUGAUAUUUAAUUGGUAAAUACGAAUAUUUGAGAUCAAUACAAAUAGUAUAUUUCUGUAAUAUGUUUUCCGUUUUUUGUUGUUUGUGUAUAUAUUACGAUGAUUUAAAAUUCUAUCUUUCUUAUAUAUUAAAGGAGAAGUCGAAACUGCUCACCUUCGCUCUCACAAAUUGAAAGUACUCUUUUGCCUUUAAGGAAAUUGCCUAAUUUAAUUCUGUUGAAAAAUUUUCUUUUUUCUAUAAAAAAUAUUUGAACUGAAUAUUAAAAAAAAUGUUAAGAUACCCGAAUAUGUUUAGUGGGUUUAUUUUCAGAAAAAAAAUGGCAUGUUAUAAAUUACAUCGUCAUAUGUAAAACCCUAAAACCCUAUGUUACAAAACCCUAUAAAUAUAAGAUGUCUUUCAUGAAACACAAACAUCACAUUUUUUAUUUUAUGCAUCUUCGUUAUGGUUUAUAGUUUUUGAUUUGUACCUCAAAGUUGGUCUUUUUUAUGAUGCAUCUUCAUCAAUGUUUUGUUCUCCUUUUUUAUGUUAUGGUUUCUCGGAAAGUAAGAUCUCAUAGAUCUUUGUCAAUUGUUGAUCAACUUCUUAAACGAGAUUUAUAGUUUACCAUGUUACAUGUUUGGAUUUUCAUAAUUGGUUUGUUGUCCUAUAUGUGUAUAUUAAUUAGCCUUUUUUCAGGCACAUGCAUAAACUAUUAUGAUUGUGGAUUAUAAACUAUUUGUGAAAUUAAGGUAUUCUUUAAUUUGAUAUGCUCUACACGUUUCAAGAAAUAAAUUCUUAAUAUUUUUUUUUUCUCUGGGCUCACGUUGAUAGGUGCACUAAUGAAAGAAUUAUUUAUGAUUGUGGAUUUGCAGAAGAAACUUGAUUGAAAUUAAGGUAUUCUUUAAUUUGAUCUGCUCUACACAUCAAUAAAUAAAUUCUUAAUAUUUUUUUUUUUUGGUCUCACGUUGAUAGGUACACCAAUGAAAGAAUUAAUUAUGCCGAUGGAUGUGUUCUGGUAUGAUUUAAAGUAAGGUUGGCUGAUUUUUCAGCCCUAUACUAAUUACAAUCUCAACUUUUCACCCCAAACUUUUUGUCUCUAAAAAAACCACCAUAAAAAACUUUAAUCUUAAUAAAACUACACAUACUUUCGGAUUUGUUCUUAAAACUACGCCUCCAAUUGAACCGAUCAGUUAACCGGUAAUAUCUAAUCCGGUUUGAUUUAUCCAGAAUUUUGACCAAAGUUAAUCAAUUUUAACUCUAUUUUAACCCAAUUUUGACCCAAAAACAAAUAUAAAAGAAAACAAAUGUCUUCUCUAUAAAUAAAAUUAUUAUUUUUAUUUAUUUAUUUAAAAUUAAUUUUACCAAAAAAAAAUAUACCAUAAAAUAAUAUGAAAGUAUACCACAAAAAACAAUAUAUAACAAAUUUUCGGUCUAUACUUUUGUUUAUAUAACAAAAUAUACAACAACAAAAAAUAUACCAAAAUAGACCACAAAUUAUUUUUUGUCCUAUAUUUUGUUAUAAAAUUUUGGUAAUAUAACAAAAUAUACAUUUUCUUUUUGGAAAUCAUUUUUCUUAUAAAUUCAUUUUUCUUUUUAAAAAUUCAAAGGUUGGUUAUAUAUAUAGAUAUAUAUAUAUAUAUAUAUAUAUAUUAUUUUGAUUUUAGAAAAAAAAAAUUAUUUUUGAAUUUAUAAAAGAAAAAUUAUUGCCAAAAAUAAAAUGUAUAUUUUUAAUAUCACCACAAAUCAAAGUAUAUAGUAUGGUGUAUAUAUAUAUAUAAAUGAAUUUGGUAUGAUAUAUAUAUAUAUAUAUAUAUAUAUAAAAUUCAAAGGCAUUUUUCUUUUAAAAACCACCAUAUAUAUAUAUAUAUUAUAUAAAUAUAUAUAUAUAACCGACCUUUGAAUUUAUAAAAAAAAAAACUAAAUCUAUAAAGAAAAAUGAAUUUAUAAAUAUCAUAAUAUAUACUUUAAUUUGAUUUGUGGUGUUUAAGGAUAUAUAUAUAUAUAUAUAUAUAUAUAUAUAAAUGAUUUUUGCAUAUACUUUGAAUUUCAUAAUAUAAAAAAUUCAAAGGUCAUAUAUUAUGAUUGCCAAAAAAAAUUAUUAUUUUGGUUUUUUUUUGUAAUAUUACCAAAAGUAUAUACCAAAAUUUUAUUAUAUAAUUUUUUGUGGUUUAUUUUUUUUUAUCUAUUUUUGAUAAAAUUAAGUUAUAAUUUAUAAUUUUAAUUGUUUAUAAAAUAAAUAAAUAAAUAAAUUUCUUUAUAGAAAAAACAUUUUUUUUCUUUUAUAUUUGUUUUUGGGUCAAAAUUGGGUUAAAAUAGAGUCAAAAUCGAUUAAUUUUGGUCAAAAUUCUCGGUAAGUCGAACCGAAACAAAUAUUAUCGGUUAAUUGAUCGGUUCAAUUGGAGGCGUAGUUUUAUGAACAAAUCCGAAAGUACGUGUAGUUUUAUUGAGAUUAAAGUUUUGUUGGUGGUUUUUUCAGAGGUAAAAAGUUUAGGGUGGAAUGCUGAGAUUGCAACUAGUAUAGGGCUGAAAAAUCAGCCAACCCUUUAAAAUAUCAAAUUCUUAUGAAUUUUUUUAAUAGUUAGGUUUUGUGCCGUCACCUAUUUUGUAUACUUUAGAUCUGAUUUUAUCUAAUAUUAAAUUUUAUUGUUUUGAAGGAUAUGCCCCAUAUCCUGCUGCAACGUUAUUUACAAAGUAAUCUCUAAGAUCAUCGCAAAUAGACUCAAAACCAUCCUACCGCAAUUCAUCUCGCCAAAUCAAUCUGCAUUUGUCAAGGACUGUCUUCUAAUGGAAAAUGUCUUGUUGGCAUCAGAAAUAGUAAAGGAUUAUCACAAAGACAUGGUAUCAGCUCGAAGUGCCAUAAAGAUAGACAUAUCCAAAGCUUUCGACUCGGUACAGUGGCCUUUCCUCCUCAACGUCUUGUCAGCUCUAAACAUUCCGCAGCAAUUCAUUCAAUGGGUUGAACUUUGUGUUACAACAGCCUCCUUCUCGGUGCAAGUUAAUGGAGAAUUAUCUGGAUUGUUUCGAAGUACACGAGGCCUAAGGCAAGGAUGUUCAAUUUCUCCUUACCUUUUCGUCAUAUGUAUGAAUGUUCUAUCAAAGAUGCUAGACAAGGCUGCUUUGGAAAGGAAGAUAGGGUUCCACCCACGAUGCAAAAAUCUCAAGUUAACACAUUUGUGUUUUGCGGAUGACCUGCUUGUGUUUACAGAUGGGAAAAAAAGAUCUAUAGAAGGAAUCCUCCAGUUAUUCACGGAGUUUGCAGAGUUCUCUGGCCUGAAGAUAAGCCUAGAAAAAUCAACAUUGUACAUGGCAGGGAUAGAUGAAAGGGAUAAGGAAAUGAUCCUUCAAAGCUUUCCUUUCGACUCCGGACAACUACCCGUUAGAUAUCUCGGACUCCCUUUGCUAUCUAAGAGAAUGACAACUUCAGACUAUUCUCCACUCAUUGAAAAAAUAAGGGACCGGAAUGGUUCCUGGACUGCUCGGCACCUCUCCUUUGCAGGGCGACUGCAGCUCAUAAGUUCAGUCAUUCAGAGCCUCACCAACUUUUGGAUUUCUGCGUUUAGACUCCCAAGUGCUUGCAUAUCAGAAAUUGACCGACUCUGUUCAGCAUUCUUGUGGUCCGGACCUGCUCUAAACCCAAAGAAAGCCAAAGUGGCAUGGAGAGAUGUAUGUUUACCUAGAGAAGAAGGCGGUCUAGGUCUAAGAUCAAUACAUGAAGCAAAUAAAGUCAGCUGUUUAAAACUGAUUUGGAGAAUAACCUCCUCCGACUCCUUAUGGGCACAAUGGAUAAAGCUAUAUCUCAUACGGAAAGGUUCCUUCUGGUCACUUAAGGAAAAAACAUCAAUGGGGUCUUGGAUGUGGAGAAAACUCCUCAAAUACAGGGAGCUUGCUGCAAGUUUUACUAAAAUAGAGGUGAUGAAUGGAAGAGAAACUUCUUUUUAGUAUGAUAAUUGGUCACAAAUGGGGAGGCUUAUUGAUUACACGGGUCAGAGAGGAUGUAUUGAUAUGGGGAUAACAAUUCAGUCCUCACUAGCAGAGGUGAUUGCAACACAUAAAAGAAGAAGGCACAGAGUUGAAAAUCUCAACAAAAUGGAGGCAGGGAUUGAUGCAAUUAAAACAAAGGGGCUGACACACGAAAGAGAUGUAGUGCUAUGGAAAGGCAAAGGAGAUCGAUACAAGACCAAAUUCAGUACUAAUGAGACAUGGGACGCAAUUCGGGAAGCUAGGCCAUGUAUGGAAUGGUGCGAGGGUAUUUGGUUCCUCCAUGCCACACCCAAACACUCUUUCAUAUCAUGGCUUGCAAUAAAGAAUCGCUUAGCAACUGGAGACAGAAUGCUAACUUGGCAAAAUGGAGUAGACCCGUCUUGUGUUUUCUGCACUCAACAAAUUGAAGACAGAGACCACCUCUUCUUUAAGUGUUGCUAUGCUGAAGAAAUCUGGUCUGGUUUGAGCCGUAAGAUACUUGGACAGAAAUUCACCACAUCGUGGAGUGAUGUUCUCAGGAUCCUCACUUUUCAGCUAGCCAUAUACUCAAUAUGGAGAGAAAGGAACAGUCGGAGGCAUGGAGAAACACCGAUACCACCACUGCAGCUGCUUCAAACUCUUGACAAACAAGUUCGGAACAGGAUCUCCUCGAUUCGAGAACAAGGAGAUAGGAGGUACGAUGGAUGCAUGGAAGCUUGGUUUGCUUCGAGAUAAACACUACAAGGGAAUAGUUUGUAAUUUUAUUUCAUCACUUAUUAACCAAACGAUGCACUUGAUGUAAAAACGUUUUUUCGAAUAAAUUUUACAUUUUAUUCAAAAAAAAAAAAAAAAAAAAAAAAAAAAAAAAAGAAGAAGGAUAUGCCCAAGAUUGUGGAAUUUUGUCACUAAUGCCACUUUCUCAGAAAAAGUAAUCGUUUAUGUCACUCUUAUAUUAUAUUUUAUAUUUUAUUUUUCUUUUAAUACAAAAUCGGUAGUAAAUGUCAGAAAACCCUUACCCUAAUUUAGUAUUUACGUACCCUUGUCAUUGCCAACCUAACAACAUAAUUAUUUUAUCUUCUCCUCCUUCUAUUUCAUUUUCACGCUUCUCCUCCUUCAUCUCUUUCUCCUUCAUCUUCUUCUUCUUCUUCUUCUUCUUCUAGAUUUUUCGAAUCCUUAACCCUAGAUCUCUUCUUUCUCAUCUGAAUUUUUCGUAUCUUUAACCCUAGAUUUCUUCUUCUUCAUCAUUACCUUCAACGAAAUCCUAGAUCUCUUUUUCUCCAUGGAUCUUUCUUAGCUUCCAUCUCUUCGAUCUUCUCAUUCUAGAUCCAUAGAUCUUCGUUCUUCUCACAGAUCUGAGAUUAACAACAAUCCCGAUCUAGAUUUCUCCAAAAUCGGCUGUGUAGUGACGAAGUAGAAUCGGCGGUGGAGGAGAAUGGGCGGAGGAAGAGAAUCGACGGUGGAGGAGAAUCGGCGGCGACGACAAUGAACAAAGCAAGAAGAGACGAUGAUGGCGCUAGGGUUUAUAAUUACAAAUUGCUUAAAUUUUACCAUUUGUACCAGUUGUCUCCAUUUAUGUAUCAGUUGUACCGGUUGUCUAGUUGUCCCUAUUAAUAUGUCAGUUGUACCAUUUUUAUCAGUUGUACUAUUAUAUUUCAGUAAUACCAUUUGUACCAAUUGUACUAUUAUAUUUCAGUUGUACCAUUUGGAUCAGUCAUCUUACAAUCUCUCAUCUGUACCAGUUGUAUUAUUAUUUCUUAGUUGUACAAAGUUGUACCUAGUUAUACUAUUCCGUACUAAUUCGCCCUAAUUUCAUUAAGGGUAAUUUGGGGAUAUCACAUUUAUGGUGGCACUCAGAUUAUAAGAUGGCACGCCAGAUUAAUUUUUUUCAAAUAGUGGCAUAUGUGGCUCGGACUCCAAGAUUGUGGACAUCGUUGUGUCGUUUAUCAUCGCCAUGUCCGAGCAAAAACGUCAUCUGGUGAAUACGAGAGAGCAUGAACGAAGCUUGAUGAAUUCAAGAAAACGUUUUAGGAAUUUUAAUUACUGAUACCAUAUGAUCGAUAUCUCAAUGUAUGAUUAAACUAUUAUGAUAUUAUCAUAUUUUCUCAUAUUAUUAUGACACGAUUCUAUUUUCCUCAGUUCGUUGUAGUGAUUUGGAUGGUUUUGUAUUAAUAAUAUUUUCUACGAUUAUUAUAUCCGUCGAUAUUAUCAUCUUAGUCGUUUUCUUUGUUUCGCACUAUCCUAAAAAUAAUAUUUGUUUCGCACACCCUAAUUCUCUAACACAAUAUAUAUCAUGCUUUUUUCUCCAUCUUCAUUCGUCAUGUUGUCUAUCUUUUUUUUUCUUCUAUACCACAUAUCGGUUUUCUGUUUAUAUUUUUCGAGUUUUAGUUAUAAGUUUAAGUAGACCACUGGCUCUAUUAAUAAAAGAACACAGCCUUCUCAGUCGUUCUUUUUUUUAUUGUCCAGUGCUAAAGUUACAAGAUAUUUGACAAAGAAGAAAUCAUCAAAAGAAGAAUAAAAAUGAUUGGAAGAUUUUCAACUAAUUUUAUCAAAAUUAGAAGAUUUUCAACUACUCCUUGACCUAAUUGUGGAGAUACUCAAAAAAACUCCCAACAAAAUCUUUGAUGAGGUUCCAAUGUGUCUCAAAGCAAUGGUCAUCCAUUAUAAGCAAAAGAUCAUUUGAUGGUUUUACUUAGUAUUAGUUUAUAAUCUAUUAUAUUGUUUUGCAUCUAUUUAGGAAAAGAUUGAAGGAGAAGAAAGAAACCAAGUGAGACAUGGAGAAGAAAAAGGUGAUAUAUAGUAGGAUUUUUGGAUUCUUUUAGUGUUUGUUUGUUGAUUUUCUAAUAUUGGUUCCUUGACAUUAUGUGCUCAAAUUAAUCUCAUUAGAUGUGUUAGCGGCUCAUUUAUUCCUUAAAACAAAAGCAUUUUAGGCUUAUGAUCAUAGUUACCACUUUGCUCUUGCGAAGGUGUACGGUGACGCACGGCUGAUCGGCUUGGUCAUCAGUGAAGUUAUGGAUGGAAAGAAACGUGUCUCUCAUUCUCUCUCCCAGGAAGAAAGUUAUUAUACAUUCCAUUGUCAAGGCUGUUGAGGAUGAAGUGAAAGAACAAAAUCCAUUUAUCUCAUCACUCAAAGGUAUAAGGCUUUGAUUUCACGACCGAAUCAAAUUUCUAAGAGAUACAUAUGUUUCUUCGUCAAUUUUGAUUUUAUUUGCCUUGGUGACCAAGUUUGGUUAGGGUUUGGAAAUCUAUUAUAAAGGUGUACGGGUAGAUCUAGAUGCAGUUUAUUUCUCUUGGGAAAAUAAAAAAUUAAAAGAUCCUUGAGUUUUUGCCUUUAAUGUUCUGAUAAUGUUUUCUCUAUUGCUUCUAUUAAUGUUCAGGUAGUGUGAAGAUUGGUUGAAUUAUGUGCUUCAAAAGCCAGGCAAUUCUGCGGGCUCAAGGACACUAAAAAUACCUUAUAGGAUUGAUAAUUAUAAGUAGAUCUGUGUUUAUGCGUGUUGGGAAACCCGAAUGAUACCACUUAGGUUGGUUGUAUGUAACAACAAGCACACUUAACUGUAAUCGUUCUCAUUUAUUUUCAAACUAAGCGUUUUUUUAAUAUAUUUUGUAUAUCUAUUCUUUGAUUUUGGUGUCCAAAAAUAAAUAUAGUGUUUCGACUUAAUCAUAGUUCUUUCUUUACUUUCUCUGAUCGUUCGUUUCUUUAUUACCCUCUUUUUUUGUGUUUCGCAUACAACCAGAGUUUUUUUUUUUUCUCUCAAAAGAACAACAGUUUUAUGAUCAAAGAAACUUGGUUUCUAAACCCCUCUCUUUCAAAAUCCAAGCGGUAGGGUGAUAACGACCCUUUAAUCAUCAAACUGGGUGGGUAAAUUCUGCUUAAAGCUUAGGUAAAUUAUGCUUGAAUCUUAGGUCGACAUCACCAGUCAUGCUAUUAUAUCUUUCAUCAGAACCCAAACUCCAUAUGGUGGUACGUUGCAGAAGAUAAAAAGUCAGUGGAAAAUCGUGGUAGUCAAAGAAAAGGAGAAAAAAACCAUACACGGCCAAAUUAAAAAGCACGAGAGAAAAUUAUUUAUAAUGCACAAAGUGAUCUAAAUUUGAUGAUGAAUGAUUACAAAUGAUUUACGAUUAUGAACGUGAUUACAUGAGUGUCGAUGGGAUUUUAUCAAAAAAAAAAAAAAAAGAGAUUCCAUGGGUAAUUGAUUACAACUGAAUGCUUUGUUUGAUAUGUUCUGUUAAUUUCUGUGCUUUUAUUGGUAUCGUCUAAGAUUUCAUGAUGGCUCAGGAAUCAUUUAUUAAACUUUGGAGGUCAUUUUAAACAUCUUGGAGCGUUUAGACCGACUCCUCAUGCUUUUCAAAUUCAUUUGAAAACAUCAACAACGGUUCGGAAUAUUUGAGUCUCGAUAACUAUUUCAAUUUAAUGGAUUUUCAAGAUGUAUACAAUUUGGAUAAUUAUGUAGAUGACAUGAGAUUCAAGCAUAGCAGACCUACUGCUAAAUCAUCAACAUGGUGGGAGACUAAUAUAUUAUUUCAUUCUACAAAAUUUCAAUUUUUUUGAUAAUCACCAGCCAUGAAAGCUAUAGAUUCAGGACGAGUUCUGGCUCCGGCAAGGUGCUGAGAGAGAACUUAAACUCAUCAUGUACAUACUUGAGAGUCAUGUCGUCAUGACUUAGUCCUUCACCAUCGUUAACGUACAUCUAACAAAAUGGUCGCUAUGAAGCAUCAAAAUGUUCUUUAACGAAAAAAUGUAUUAUACAAGGUCUCCAGACUUGAAAUUGUAAAUUUAAGUACAUGAGAAAAAACGCUUCUGAAAAUUGUGACAUUUUUUUGUUUCUUGGUUUUGUUUUAAUUUUUUUAUAAUAUACCUUUUGUUACAAUUUUGCUAUUUGUUGAUUAUUUAGUUUUUUUCAGAGGCAGCCAAUUAAGUCAUUUUAACAAUACGUGUUCACUAUGGCAGCCAAUUUAUGACCCUAUGAUGCUAGAAAAUAUCAAAAAAAAAAGACGCUACAAUCGGCAAUCUGUAACUACCGUAAUAUCUUCGUAUACAUUUUAAAGUAAGUCACCUUAUGUGGCGUAAGAUGAUUCAGUUCUCAAGGUUCUCAAGGUUUGUCUCUUUAUAUCCGAUCAAUAGUUUCUGGUUUUGCUUUACAUAUCUAGGAAUUCAAAUGAGUUUGGAUUUAUGAUUGGUUUAAGUUAGUUAAGGGUUUAAUUUCUAAUGAGGUCUCGAAACACCUAAUUGUAUACUCUCCCUACAAAAUUAAGCUUAAUAGAAACGUAAGUCAAUUAAAAGCCCUAACGAAUCACUAAAAAGCCUAGAUAAUUUCGAUGUUGUUUCCAUGGGAGACGAGUGAACAAGGAAGAUACAAAGCGCGGAGGAUCUUGAACCAAAACAUAUCACCACCAUCACUGGAGAAGGUGAAUUAAGUUAGUUACAAUACGAGGAAGAGAUUCCGGAAAGUUAAAAAUAUUUUUGUGAUGUCUAUAAAUUAGGGAACGGGUUAUGAUAAAUACAAAACAUGUGAGAUACUAGCUCUAUGGUCAUAGAUGAUCUUUGUGAUUAAUAAAUUUACUCUUAUUAAUGAUCAUGAAAUAAUGAAAAAAUUAAGAGAUGUUUUGAUACCAUUUUUCUUACACAACAUUUAAAGUUUUUGUCUUGAAUAAUUUAAGAAACUUUUUAAGUUUUUUUCGACGGUUCCAUUCGGCCGCGCAAGGCGCGGGGACUCACCUAGUUAUAUCUACUGUAGCUUACUUAGAUACUAAUAUCAUUAACUACACCGUUUAAACAUUAAUCAAAACACCUAAAAUUUGAGACAAAACGACGUCACCAACAUUUAUUUUCUCCUUCUUCUUCCUCUCGACUGGAAUCACAAUCAGGAGAUUUUCGGAAAUCUAUUCUACAAUUACAUCAUCAACUUGCCCAGGUAAUUAUUUCAGUUGUUCAAGUUCUGAAUCUACUAAAAUUACCUACAAUUUAAAAACCCUAAGAAAAUUAAAAUGCUAAUCUGAACAAGGUAAUGAUGCCAUUGAGGAAUCCUAGACUGUGGGAAAUCGUCAAAUAGUGAUUCCAGUAGAGAGGAAGGAGUAAAUAAAGGGUGGCACAGAGCAACGUCGUUUUAUAAAAUAAAGAGCAAAACAACGUUGCUUUGUCUCAAAUUUUAGGUGUUUUGAUUAAAGUUUAAACAAUAUCAUUAAUGACAUGGUAUCCACGUAAGUUAUAGCAGACGGGACGUUAAUGACACUUCGAGAUAUGCAUGUUUUUGCACAAAAUGGUAAGAUUGGGUAGUAAAUUUGAAUUUUUGUUUAGUUAGGGUAUGUAUCUACACAUAAGUUUAGUUAAGGUAUGAAUUGAACAUACCUAUUGAGUUGAGGUAUGAAAUAGCCGGUUUUUCAUUAUGGAACUAAUGUAUGUAAAAACCAUUUACAGUAUGUGAAUGUGUUAAUUUAUGAAGAUCAUAUUUCUUGAAAAUGUCUCAUUGUCUAUGAUGGCAUUUUACAUAUAUGGAAAACAAAACAAAGUUAGCUGCAACAGAUGAUGAUAUAUUUGAAACUUCUCAAGUACUCUUCUCAUGACAAGAACAAUUUGAUGUUACCUUAAUAGAAGAAUAGAAUGCUUAAGACGAGACGAGACGGAGAAAGUGAGAGCCUUGACUCUUGUUGAGGUGUUCUUCGUCACUUAGUAAUUUCUGGAAGCUCGAGACUUCUAGGGCUUGAUAGGAAACCUAACAUAGUGUCGUGUCCAAAUUCCAAUGACAAGUCCAUUAGCCCAUGUCGUUUAGAUUGCCAAGCAGAGAAGAAAAAGGUUUAUCACACACAAUGAGGCAACAAGUGAUAUGCUAUAAUCGGGAAAAAUGAAAAUAUUCUCAGGACCUAUCUACAGUUUUGGAGUUGCAGAAACAAGGGAUCUACAUGGUUGAAAUGAUAAUAACAAUCUGGUCUAUUUAACAACUUGACUACUUACUAAUUUCAACUGAUCUAUUCACAUAAUGUACACAACUUCUAGCUUGCCACUGUUUUUUAUACAUCAAUGCUGCGUUCCUAUAUUGAUACAAUUCUGUCACUUCUUAGGCUAUCGAUCGAGUAGAGCAGCUUCAUAAAAUAGAAUCUCUGGCCGAACCCUCCGUUCUCCACAGAAUCUGACCACACUCUUCCAAAUACCGACAACCUAUAACAUGAUAAUGUCUGACCCAUCAACGUUCACAUUCCAGCUCAAGAAAGACAAAAGCAACUAUGUGUCUUACCUCUUCUGUUAAAGCUUCAUGUCUGAGACUGACCCACCGGUUCUUUUUAUAAGCCAUGCAAAUGUGUUCUCCUUCUUCACCACAUCCAAUCUGCAUUCCAUAUUUUAAGACUGUAACAGAGAAGAGAUACAGAAAAUCAAUAGCACAAACAUUUGUGACCCUGUUUCAGAUUUUACCACUGACACAAGCCGGUAGUUAGUGUUUGGUUCUAAGCCUUCGUAUAGCCUGCUGAUAUCUAUCUCCCAGUCCAAAGCCUUAAGUGUUUCAGAUAUCUCUUUUUCAGUUUCAUUCUUCUCCCAUUCCAACACUAAUGUUGCAAACCCACAAAAACACCAACAUUGUUCUAUCAUACCACAAAAAUUGAAAUGAGUAGAUAAGAUCACAAUCAUUGUAAAAAGUUACCAAUUGUGAAGAUAGGCGGGCAGCUACUUAUAGUGUGACGAACAAAGUUUGCCUUUCCACAGCCUCUUGUUUUGAUGUCACAUAACAUUGUAUCUUCCAUGCGGAUCACUUUAAUGAUGUCUCCAAACUUUAUAUUCCCAAAAGCACACUGCAUAUACAUACAUAACCACAAAACAGAUUCUGAAGGGAUAGUACCCGCUUCUGUAGGAAAGACAGAGAGAGAAAUAAAUGAAAUAUACCUUUAGGUCUCUGAUUGAAUCUGCAGUUAUAACAAUGCCAUAAGACCUUUGCUCUGGAUAAUUUGGCAUCUUUCUGCAUUUGCUACAUUGCAUUCUUUCAUAUACUUCCAGCGUAAAAAGACGAGUUACCAAGCUUUCUCUUUGUGGACUUUUCCAGCAUUGCCAAAACUCAAGGAUGGCUAUGACUACCUCCACAGCAUCAUUUGACUAAAAAGAAACCAGACAAAAAAAAAAGAUGAGAAUGGCAUUUAAGACACAAACAAAGCUUAUUGUAAAAUAAACUAUGCAAUGUUUAGAAUCUAUGUUCUGCACAAACCAUGGGAUGAACUUCUUUUAGGGAAGCAAGUAAAGCGCUUAGGAUAUAACUGUAGAGUCCCUCGUAUUCUAUCUGCUCCGAGACAAAAGCAGAAAAGAAAUCUCGUAGUGCACAAGGAACUUGGUUGUCAGAAAAUGGUUGCCGAUUGUGAACCAAAUCCUCUUUAAGAACCUUAAGGUUACAGAGGGCCUGCAGUAGAGCACAUAUUAGCAAAGAAAAUAAGGAAUGAUCUGAAUCAGUAGAAGAUAGUUUAGGUUUUGAUUGGUGAUUGCUUUACCUUAAGUACCAUGUCAAGAAUUGAAUUGUAUCUGGUUGUAGCUUCUUCAUAUGCUGAACACGGAUAUUUCGACAGUGAAUCUUCUCCAGGCCUGCUUUGCAUAUCUUGAAGAUGACAAGCUAAAUAAAUAAGAAAUAAUAUGACAAGCUCAAGACAAUAGAGUUUUUAGAAUAUUCGUCAAUUGAGUCACUAGGGUCACCUUUAGUAGUUUCCUCUUGAUUGGUAGUCUUGGAUGUCAUUUCCAAUAGACCCCUUUCACUUGAAAAAGUAUCUUCUUCGGCCGGUUUUAGUGAUGGAGAUGUACUUUCCAGUUCAAAGUUGACAGAAUGUUCACUAGAGAUGUAAGAACACAAUUUGUUUAGAAACAACCUGAAGACAAUAUAUUAUCAUAACAGAAAAGACUUGUGAGGUACUUACUGUUCAAAAGUCUUAUCAAGAUGACUAGACAUGCUCGUUGAAUUUUUCUGUUGCACCAUGAAUACAUUCCUUCUUACAAUUGAAUAACCAAAAAGUCUGCGAAGCAAAUAGAAAAAUUAGAGCUUCAAAGACCUUGUUGGUUUUAUUUUUCUUCUUCUUUGAUGGUAAUUUCAUCUCCUCCUCUUGUUUUUCCUCGGAUAUAAGCUCUGCUUCUGCUGCAGCUAACUUUGCUUUGUUUUCCAUAUAUAUAAUACCAUCCUAAACGAUGAAACAAUAAAAAAAAAUAUAUAAGGAACAAGUGAAAGACCCAAUCAGAACUGUUUUGAAAGCUCUCUGUAGAAAAGCAAACCAACCAGGAUGAGUUCUUUCAUUGGUCGAAGAAUGUAAGAGCGAUAGUCAAAAACAGAAAGUCUGGUGAGGUUGUUCAGCAAAUUAAUCCUUGCACUUUCAACCAGUAAAAUUUUUGAAUCUAUUCGAACAACCUGUAAUCAAAUGACACUUUAUGAUAAACAAUUUUAUGAUAUCUUGUUGUUAAUUGAAAUUCAGAUAAGAAAUGAACCUUGUUGGUGACCGCUAAUUUCAGAAGGUCUAUGGACUUCAUCACAAUAUCAUCACUAAGAUCUUUAUGCUCACGUAUAACAGUCAUGCAAUUGAGAAAAUCAAAUAUCGGAAAUGAUGCUCCUUUGAAAACAUCUUGUACUGCACACAAGAAUAAUUUUGAAUUCAGGGAUUUUCCAGCGUCUCUCCUUAAAUUCUCUUCACAUGUAUCGCAUAGAAGAGAUGCAUAACUGUUCCAUUGAUCUUUAUGUAGAUUCCUCCUCCUUACAUCUUCACUAAUACACAAAUUUUUGGCGGCAGUAAGAGCUGCAUCAUAAUCUAGGAGCUUCCACUUAUUUGCAUAUUUGGUUGCCAAAGUCCAACAUGCGAACUGAACGGCUUUCAGAACAGCCACCCAAAUAUCAAGAUUAUGCAUCCUGACAGGUGUGGGAAAUCGAAAACUCUCAUCUUCUGAAGAGUUGUCGACUAACCAGGAUAAGAUAUAACCUCCCUGAGCAUGUGCAUUGGCAUAGUGAACACUGGGAUCAAAGACAUUGAUCGUGCCUUCGUCAUCGAAUCGAGAAAUCUUGCAUUGCAGCAGUCUCUUAUCCAGGAGCAGAACUGAAAACUGAGGGUCAAAGUCAAUCUUUUCUUUAACUCGAGUACCACCACAGAAACUGUCCACUGCUCUGCAAACUAGAUUUGUACCAUCGUCCCUUUCACACUUGAUGUUUUUUAGAAAUUCCAGGAUUUGAUUGAGUUCACAACAUUCCAAAAAACAGAUACUCUGAGGUGUUUCUACUAGGCGACAAUCGGUAAGAAUAUGUUUAGAAACUUCAAGUUUUUCAAGAUGGUUUACAAGAAAAUGCACCACCCAGUCUCGAACGCUACAGGAGAGAAUUUUAUGGUCACAAAACGACACAAGAAGCAACUGGAUUUCCUUGAGUAACUUACUGCGCUCUUCAUCCACAGCUAAAGGCCAGUCUUUGGACCAUCCAUUCUCAUAUGCAAAUGCUUUCACAUCUUCCAAUCGAUUCUUAAUCAGUUCAAUGGCAGCUGCUGCAUCCACUGGUUCCCAACCUCCAAUGGAUAUCUUACGAGACCAGACUUUACUUAUCCUUUGGGGCAUAUGCUUUGUCGAAUUAGGUAGAAAUUUUGCACGAUGUUCUUGUUCAAGAUGAUUCUUACACUCUUCAGCACUAGAGAACUUCUUCGAACAAGACCGACACAUCCAGAACCUCCAUUUUCCCUCUUCCCUUGCAAAAGUGAGAACUUUCUCCAACGCAUCUUGUCCUUCACUACCACAUAAUCCCUCGACAUAACUCGUAAGUUCUGCAGUGCUUACUUUCAUAAAGUUCCGUUUGAUCUCAACAUUCAAACCCGCCCAAUACAACAUCAAUCCUUUAAUGAUAUCAGGCUCACUCUUCCUUGUAUCCCCACUUUCUUUUUGUUCCCAGUUUUUCACAACUCCUGGUGUCUUGGAUUCAGCGAUUCUUGACUCUGCAAUCUCGAUCAUAGACAACAUUCCUUUCUGUUCUCUCUUGGUGAUUUCUGGGUCCUUCAAAUUCACUGUAAGAUUAUACAAAGCUUCUUUUGCUUUGCGCACAGAUUUCUUGUAAUACACCACUGAAUCAAGCUGUUGUGCCAAAAUGAAGAGUGAAAUUGCCGCCAACGAUGACAACCCAGGAGCUAUCGAAAGGCAUUGUACAGAACCCAACAAGUAAGCAACUUUCACAUCAGUGUUCUCUGUUUUCUCCGCUAGCUCCUUAAAGAUUUGACCUUGUACCACAUUAAUAAACACCCUGUCGUUCCCUUGGACGAAACGCAAAUCUUCAAUUAUCUCCAACGCAUUGAUGUAAUCUUUAGCAGAGUAGAAAUCUUUGGCGCGUUUGAAGAGCUUUUCGCUGUUAGCAUCUCCUAGAGUAGGAAGCUCCAUGUUGGGGAAGAGAGUAGAAGCCAGUAACGAUUCUCAAAGAUCUGAUCUUGCGUUUUCUUGGUAUCGAGAGAGGUGUUGUUCUUGGCGAGAGAAAACAGAGGAGAAGCGGGAAAAAUCAACGAGUAAGAUGUCAACGAGUACAAGCCACGUGACAGGGUCUUUGUGAAAAACAACGGAGACCCAUUUUGGGUAUUGAGGAAUUGUGUCGAACACCUUGUGGGCAUUCUUCGUUUUGAGUAAAUCUCACAACUUUUUCGAUUAAAUUGCACCUUCCCAGAGUGUAAGAAAUGAAAAAAGCCUUCGAAUUUGGGUGUGUAGUGACUUAAGAGUGGAAUUGUGUUCGUGUUUGGGAUCAAAUUGGUCAUCACAAUAGGUUUUGGCUUUGAAAGAGCAAAAAAAAAAAGGUCAAAGAUAUGUCAAAAGAAAAUAUUUUUAAAACUGAACUGUUUGCUGCUUUUGUUUUUCUUUUUUUGGGCUUUUGCAAAAAUGCUAUUUUUCCAAUGCUACUUUUCAAAAAUAUUAUUUUUAAAAAACUUUAUAAAAAAUGUUCUUAAAAAUAUAAGAUUUACCCAAAUAUGUAUGUAAUAUUAUUAAAACAUACACAAACUACAUUUCUAUGUAUCUAAAAUCUUAUAAAUACUUUAUAAAUACCUUAUAAAUACAUUUUAAAUACCUUUAAAAACUUUUAAAAUAUCUUGUAAAACCUUUGAAAAACCUUAAAAAUCCUUUAAAAUAACUUGUAAAACCUUUAAAAACACCUUAUAAAACCUUAUAAAUACUUGGAUCGAGUCUUCAAGUAGUAGUUACAAUCCAUAAGUACCUUAUAAACCUAAUAAAACUUUAUAAAAAUUUCAGAUUUAAAAAGGGGCAUUUUUGAAAAUGGACAUCUAAAAUGGGCAUUUUUUAAAAGGAACAUACCAAAAAGGGUAUUUUUAACAAUUUCCCUUCUUUUUUUUGUCAAUUUUCCUUUGUAAACUGUGAAUAUUGAAUCCUUUUCAAAAAAAAAAAUUAUUUACAUCUGAUUUUAUCAAUUGAUAUUUUAGGUUUUACUUUUUAGUUUCAUAUAUAUAUUCAACGAGCUUCUAAUUGUGUGUUUUAUUAGUUUCCCUCACUUUAGUGGUUAACAGUCAAAUUUAUAUGAAGACGAUUCAGUGAGUCUGAUUACUCAGCUACUUUAAGGUUAAUAAUUUGGUCAACUGAAAAUGUGGUCAUUGGUUAUUUAAUACUAGUACUACAAAUAUGUAAGAGUGAACAUAAAUGGGUUAUAAUAUGUUAAUUUACCAAGGGGAUACACAUAAAAAGCAAGUUUGAAGCAAUUAAAGUUCUGAGCUAUAAAAAUGCAUUCACGGACACUCUCUAUGAAACUUUUCCCAUUAUAUGCAGGGCCGGUCCAAGUCUUUUUGUUGCCUCAAGUAAAAAUGUGUUUGCCCCAUUAACAAAAAGUUGUUGGAAGAAAAAAAAAUACAAAUACUGACAAGAAUUGAUCUCGAACUCGGGAUCAUAAAUCUUAAAUGUUUAAUCUUUUGGUUUUCUAUGUGUUAAUGAAAAAAUUGGAAUGUAGCUUCUCACUACAUUUCUCUCUAAGCAAACCUCUUCAUUUGUCCACUCAUUUUUUUUUGUUGGUGUUCCGAAGAACAUAAUGUGUUGCUUCUUUGUCUGUAUAUCUCUGUUUACUGCUUUCUUCUUUGGCAUUCAAGUACCUAAUGUUUCACUUUUUUUUUUUGUCUUGAUCUUAUUUUAUGUCUAAAAGAGAGCAAUUCCUCAUGACUUCACGGAGAUGUUUCUUUGACAAAGAGAUAAUGAAAUCCCAACGGAAAGCUCUUGGACAUGAGAAUCCUCAAAUAUUAACAAAUUGGUAAGUUUUUUUUUAAUUUAUUUUUAGUUUGUCUUUUUUUUUUGAAAAAAAACUUAUAAAGUAUUGAUAAGGUUUUAUUUAUAUUUUCUUAGUUAGUUUUGUUGUGAUUGUGAAAAAUUUUGAAGAUCUUUUAGUAGUGUGUAAUCUAGAUACCCUCAAAACGAUAAGUCAAAAACCCUACUUCAUCAUCCCUAUAUUAAAUCUCCGAAGCCUUUACCACAUUGAGGAGAAAAUUAAAACCUAAAAAGGAAGAAGAAAUGAGAAACAUAAUGGAGAACAUAAAGAUUAUAAGUUAUGUGAUUGUAUGCAGAGGCACUACAAAAAACAUGUGGAUAGCAUCACUUAUUUUCUAUACUUACAUAGGUUAUCGAAUGAUACAAAUGAGUUACCAUCACUUACAUAAUUGAUAUCAAAAGUGGCGAUGUAAAUUAAUGCAUUGGUUAUAGCAACCGAUAGAAACAUUUCCAUCAAUUAUAAUGAAUGAUGCUACAAUACGUUAGUUAUAAGAAAUAUUGUAAAUAUUGCGACGACUACAAUAACCGAUGUAAAUAUUUACUAACAGUUUUAAUAAUUGAUGUAAUAAUUUGCGUCAGUUUUCACAAGUGAUGGUAAAUUUGUGUCAGUUAAAAUAUGUGAUAUUAAUAGUGACAUCAGUUCGUAUAAACGAUGAAAUAAAUUGUAUCAGUUUAUCAGAGCUGAUAUUAACUUUUGUGACGUUUAUAAAAAAUGAUAAAAAAAAUAUUUAUAUCACUUAUUGUAAUUGAUUCUAACAAAUUAUUGUUGCAUCACUUUAUAUAGUCGUCGUUAAUGGUUAUGCAUCACUUCUACAAUCGAAGUAAUAAUUCUUUUUUAAUUUUAUAAUAAACUUUUUUCUUUUGUAAAUAAUAAAUAAAAUCUAUUAAAUACGAGAUAAAAUAAAAAUGCAUCAAAUAUAAAACCUAGUUGAAUCUAACAAAAUGUAGAUAUCACUGUUUAAAGAAAGCAAACACAUAAUCCACAAAGAAAUAUAGCUAAUGAACUUAAUAUAACCAGAUCUUGUAAUCCUAAGUACCGGAGUUGCCAACGUUCCGAUUUUCAUGUCCAUCUUUCAUUGCCUAUGAACAACCCAAUUAAAAAUAAAUUAUGUCAGACUACUCUCUCCUGACUAGUUCUUCACAGAUAUUUAGAUAUCAAAUAGAAUAUUAGAGAGUUGAGGAGAAAUGAUGAAUUAAACAAGUGAAGACAUAAAGAUUUCAAAAAAAUACCUGAGAAUUUGGUGGAUUGGCCAAGCUCGAUAAAAUAGUAGUAAAAUUUGGUUGAUUGGCCAAGUUUGCUAACAGAGCAGCUAAAUUUGGCGUCGAUCCAGUUGUCUAUACAUACAGUAACAUUAGUUCACAAUAAAACAUACUAUUAUAACAUGAAAAACUAAGCACCAUAAAUUUACUUGAGUAGUAGAGGCACCAACUAAUUGUUGAAUAAUCCCAGCCAAGUUCUGGACUUGGCUUUGCAACCCUGAAACUUGUGACCUCAACUCAACAGCUUCGGAAUUUGUUGCAUCUAAUAUUGGAGUAGGAGAACAUUUCGGCAAUUUUGAAGGUGUAGGUCCACAUCCGACACAACGGACGCGUCCUGAACGCUCUGGACCAAAUACUUUGGAGUAUUCAUCAUCCAAACUUGCGGUGAUAUUGUUUGACCCUCCAACUGAAGGAUUUUGACUCAUCAAGAGUGUGAGUUCAUCCUGAAAUAUUUAAUCAAGAUAUAAACAAGCAUAACCAUUGAUAAAACUAAGCAUAUUAGCUUAACAAUGCAUAAAAUAUAUUAGGCCUUUGAGAGGCAAAAACUCUCCCACCUCUCUCCUAAUAAACCCUAGCCGUCAAUUGAUAGAUCUGAGGGAGAGGAGUCUCUCCGGCACCGGUUUCCUUCUCCGGUUUGCCUCUGCUCCUCUCCCUCCUGCCUCUUAGUUGUUUGUUCUUCAUCGUCGGCAAAGAGGGUUCUCGGACCAGCGGUUGGUGUCGGCCUUGUUUCUCCGGUGGUGGUGUGAUGUGGUAGAUCUGCCCUAGACGCUUUUCGUGGGUGCGAAUCCGACAUUGGAAUUGCUUUUUGUCGUUGUACUACUGUUGAGGACUCGGUGGUUUGGCUUAAAGUGAUUCAGCUCGAGGUGUCGGUUUUGGAUCUGUGGAUGGCGGCGGAAGUCGACAGGCGGAUCGGAGGCUUUUCACCAUGUGUUGGGUCGAUUUGUGGUUGUUCUUUUCAGAUCUGGGCUGGCUGGCUAGGGUUCUGGCGGUUGUGGUUGUGUUGAGCCGACGACCUAACCGUUAUCGAGCUGGUUUUCGUCUCUCCCGGUUGAAGCAGGUGCAGUCUAGGUUAGUGGUUCGGUGUCCCGGAGUAGGAGGUGGGGGUUAGAUCCGAGAUCCUUCUUGUUGCUAUGUCGGGGAGAGGAAGGUGGUGGGUCCGGUUGUCUUUGGCUAGGUUCAGUCCGGGAAGAGAGUUACGGGUAAUAUCUGACCGAGGCUUUAGAGUUUUGGUUUGGAAUCGUUAGCUCCAAUCGAAGCUUUGGAGCAGCCGAAGGUGAAGCGAAGUAGUGCCCUUUGUUAACGCCGGAUUUCGUGGACGAUUAGUCGUUGUCUCCGGUAACUCGCACCCGGUUCCGAGCUCUACUACCGUCGGGCCUCUGAUUUGUUUUUCCUUUUUUUUUGUGGGCCCUUUUUGGGCCGUGUAACUCUGUUUGUCGUGCCCAUUUGGGUUUAUUAAUAUAUUAAAAAAAAAAAAAAAAGCUUAACAAUGCAAUGCAUUUAUAUAAAUAAAAAAACUAACCGCAUGGUUUUUUGCCUCUUCACAUACAAAACUUCCAUCAGGUUUCAUGUGACUUGCUAGGCUUAGGCGUUCGGUUAACCAUUCGGUUUUGGUUCGGAAAUAUUCGGUUACGUUCGGUUUCGGUUAGUUUGGAUAUGAUAAUAUAAUAACCAUUAGGAUAUUUUAGGAAUUUUGGUUCGGUUCGGUUCGGUUACCUUUCGGUUCGGUUCGGUUUGGAUAUUUAAAUAGAUAACCAAACUUUUAUCACAUUCGGUUUGGUUCGGGUUUUUAUCCAAAUUAACCGAAAUAUACCGAAUAUAACCGAAACUAACCAAAAUUAACCGAAAAAAAUACAAAAAGAAAAUACAAAAAAAGAAAAAUAUUAGAAAAAAAAUAAAAUUUGAUUCAGUUUUGUAAAAGAGUAUUUAACUUGACAAAUAUAACAAACAAUUUGGAUAUUUUGAUUAUUUAAAAUAUUUGAUUGUUUUGAUUCUAAAAAUAAUUAAUAUUUUGAGUCUAUAAUUAUAGUUUUGGAUAUUAUUUUUGGGUAUCUUAUAGGUUUUUGGAUAUUUCAGUUAACCAUUUGGUUAUCGGUUUGGUUCGGUUCGGUUUCGGUUAGUUUGGAAUAGGGGAUUUUACUAACCAUUCGGUUAUUUAAAAAACUUCUGUUCGGAUAUGGUUCAGUUUUUUUCAGUUCGGUUCGGUCGGUUAUUUGGUUAGCGGUUUUUUUGCCUAAACCUACGACUUACAAUGAAAAAUUAUGCUCGACACGGUGUUUUUCCAGUUUGUUCUUCCUACGGAUACAUUAAAAAUGAUUAAAGAGCAGGCAUUAUUUAAAUAAAUCCUUAGACUCAUUAUAUAUGUAUGUGCAAGAAUUACAUAAAAGAAGAUAAUUACAUAUAUAUUUUUUUCAUAGUUUGUUCAGAUCUGUGAUUAUAAAUAUUUAGUAUAAGUGAGAGAGAGAGAGAGAGAGUAACUCAUCUGCCAGUAAUAAGAGGCUUCUCUUUACUCUUCAUGAAAUUUCCAAAGCACAAAUCAAAAUCAUCCAUAGAUAGUUAAUCAAAUCGAAGACGGCUUCUCGCUCUAUCGAAGGCAUCGUGAUAAAAGCGGCGGAGCUUGGAAUCAUCAGAAAUCACCGUACUCUCAAUCCAACAAUGGAUUUCAAACAAAGGAAACAAACAAAAUUGAUUUGCAUCUACCUUAAUAUUCUUUUGUAAACAAAACUGAAGCAAAAUCGAAGAAGAGCAUAUGUGUAAUGGCCAACGGCGAAAGAGAAGAUGAACAUAUAUGGGCUUUACUUAGAUGGGCUUUGCAAGAGUCAUUUUGUAUUUUUGUCGUUAAUUUGAGUCUACUCUAUUCACAUGGGUAAAACAUUAUUCUUAGUUAGUUAAUAUUUUAUUAUAUUGUAUUAACAUGACCAAACAAUAAUAAUUAAGUUAGAAAAACGGUCUAUUUCCCCAUGAGAAGUAUGCAUAUCACGCCAGAUAGAGCCCGUUCUUUGACCUCGGUCUAUUUGUCCAUGAAACGGAAGUUAAAUACUUAUUUCCCCACGAAAUCGAAGUUCAAUAGCUUAAUCUCCCCGAAUCGUGGUUUCGUCGGUUUGGUGCGUAAACCCGAGACAAAACCAUGUAUGGGUCGUAACCAAACCAAAAAAGACCUGAUUCCAUAUUAAAACCGACCCAUUGUCGUUUUAAACCCCAAAAUCAAAAUUCCCAAUUCCCAAUUUCAAAAUCCCCAAAUUCAAAACUCAAGAACCCUAAAAUCCGAUUUUGAGUUGAAUACCCGAUUUUGAGUUUGAAGAUGAGCAAUCUAUCAUCGAGUUCGACGGGAUCUACAGGUCCUCGUGGAAGAGGAAGAGUGGUCGGAGUGCCAAAGAGCUGCUGGUGCGGGGAAGGAAUCGUUGCACUAAUGUCUAAAUCUGAUCCGAAUCCUUACCGGAGAUACUUUCGUUGCGGUUUUGCUGCAAAACAUAGGGUAAUGUCAAUCUCUAUUUCCUCUUUUUCAUGUUUUAGAUUCUUCUAAUGUUAAAAGAUCACUGUUCAUAUCUAGCUAAGGAACGAUGAUCACACUUUCAAAUGGAUUGAUGAAGCUUUGCUCAAUCAGUUAGAGACAUUGAAAGCAAAGAAUUCUGAACUUGAGCUGGAGUUGAAAGAGCUUAGAACAGAGAGGUUGGAGUUUGUUAAGAUGCUUUCGGAGAAUGGCCAAAUGAAGAUAGAGACGGCGUUAUUUGAGAAGGUGGAAGAUGUUUUGUCUGAAGCCAAAUCAAGCAAUAAGAAGAUGAUGAUUAUCGUAGUGUUAGGGUGUAUGAUUAUGAUUGGAUUGACCAAACUUGUAGGAUGAAUGUGGAUCCGAUGAAUGCUUUAGCUUUCUCUUAUGUCUUUGUACUCUUGUUUGAUUUCUCUUAUGUCUUUAGUACUCUUGUUUGUACUCUUGUUGGUACUCUUGUUUGAUUUAUGUUUAAGAGAUUGCAUUUAGUACUCUUGUUGGUACUCUUGUUUGAUUUAUGUUUAAGAGAAUGCAUUUGAUCAAAAUAACAUUCAAAAUAACAUUCAAAAUAACAUUAAUCCUAAACAUUCAAAUUCAACAUCCAAAAUAACAUUCAAAAUAACAUUCAUCCUAAACAUUCAAAAGAAGUUAAGGAUACAGAAGUCAAUGUGGUCGAAAAUUACAAUGAGACAACCACAAUAUAAGUACCCUAGUUCUUCUACCCUAUGUCAGUCUUAGCUAAAAACUCCUUGGAUCAAGCUUGAGUGAGUGAACCUUGACUUGGUUCAGGUUGAGAAGGCUGCAAACCAUUGAAGACAACACUAUCAUAGCAGAAUAUCUUCUCCAAGUGCUGCUUGAAAUCUUUUUCAUUAUAGGCCCAAGCCAAAUUCCAGAGCAGUUGCUUUAUCUUGGUUUUAGAACCAUGAGUCUUCUUCAAGUUUCCAUCGAUGUGUUGGACACACAUCCGAUGCUCUAUAUUGGGUAACUCAAGCUGAACAGCUUUGAUUAAACCCUGAAAAAAAAAACAUUAGCUUAGACAAGAACAUUCAACCACACUAGAAUGACAAAACAAAACAACAAAAGACAAGAAAAGUUACAUUUUGUCUAUCUGAGAUCAUGAUGAACCCUUCACCAUUGCUUAAACCCAAGUCCUCUUUCAACAGCUUCACAAACCAAACCCAAUUGUCUGUGUUCUCUACUUUAACCACACCCCAAGCUAUAGGAUAGAUCCUAUUGUUAGCAUCCCUACCUAAUGCUACCAGUAACUGUCCCUUAACCUUAUUCAACAACCAUCAAUACCUAUUAGAGGCCUACAAGAAUCCUUCCAUGUCCUUCUCAGGCUGUCAAAACAAACAUAGAACCUAUUAAAGAUGUCUUUACCUUCAUCAGUCGUCAGACAAUCUACCUCAACGUGUGAAUCCUUAUUUGACUCAAGGAUCUCAGCCGCAUAGUCCCUUAGCCUUGCAAAUUGAUCAUCAAACUCCUUCUCAAUCCAUUGCAACGCUUUCUUCCUCGCUGACUGACAUUGAUUCCUAGUGACAGAGAUCUUCCAUUGUUCCAUGAUGAUUUCUUCAAGCUUUGCAGGCAUGUUGAACUCGGGAUUAUCCCUAAUCUUGUCAACAAACAACCUAGCUAUAUGUGGCACCUUAAACAUCUCGCAUUCUCCAUUUGGGAUACAGCUAUGUCUGUCAAUGAAUUUCCUAAUCUUCCACAUUAAAUCCUUCGGAAGAAUUGCCGCAUAAACUUGCCAUUCACACCGAACUCCAUCCUCCUUACCAUCAUUUCCAACACAUUUGAAUCCAAUCUUAUCAUUAUCAUACCUGUACUGCUUCAGAUUGCAUCCGGAUCUGAGAGCGUAAUCAACAACCGCCUCUUUGAAUGCAACUCCACUGAAGAAACUCUGCUUCGGGUACAAAUGGCCAUCACCACGCCUUACAUGUGUAUGAAAUCUUGCAGGAUCGUCGUCGUUGUCUUCAGUAUCACUCUCCGGGUACACAUCGUGGCAGAUUGGUGGUUCGUCGGUCCACUCCCUUAACAUCUCUUCCAUGUGAAAUUCAUCUUUGUCUUUAGCUUCAGGAUCGACAUCGCCGACAACAUCAGGAUCAUGAGGAACUAUCGACAUCUCCAAGACUUUGAACAGCAGAUCGAGGAGCUUUGAUUUUCAAUUUCUGGGUUUCUAGGGUUCGUCGAGAGAAUUUUAGGGUUUCGGGUUUUCGAUUUGGGAAUGGGGAUUUGGGGUUAAAUGAAUGAAAUCGGGUUGUAAUCGUGUUGAAAACCGGUUUAGUUCGGUUUUAAUUAGGUUAAGAUGGUUUAAUUAUCGGUUAAGAAUACAGUAAACCGAUUAAACCCAGCACGAUGGGGUUAUAGAUCUCGAACUUUCAUAUUCGGGGAGAUUAAGCUAUUGAACUUCGAUUUCGUGGGGAAAUAAGUAUUUAACUUCCGUUUCAUGGACAAAUAGACCGAGGUCAAAGAACGGGCUCUAUCUGGCGUGAUAUGCAUACUUCUCAUGGGGAAAUAGACCGUUUUUCCAAUUAAGACACAUACAUGCAUCUGUUUUAUAAUUGAGGUUAAAUUAAUAUUACUUGUUAUUGAUGCAAAAAAAAUUUUAUUAAAAAUACGAAACAAUUUGCAAAAGUAUCAGUUAUAUUACUGUUACAAAUACGAAUUAUUAGUGUUGCUCGUUAAAAGUGAUGCAAAUUUAGAUUAUUUAGCAUCAUUUUCAAUCAAACGUCAUAUACCAGGUGCUAUUUACAUCACUUAUUAGAAAUGAUGUUGAACUGUCAAAUCAGUGUCACUUAUUAUUAAUUAAUUCAAAUUUGCGUCAGUUAAUUUUUUGACACAAUAUAACUGACGUUAAUCACCCCUAUUUUUGUAGUGAGAAAUAUGGUAUGCAAUGACUCUACUCUCGCUCUUUGGCCUCUCCAUAUACUGCAACCUUCUCUUGCCAUCUGAUGACUCGUAAUCAACGUCUUAGUUCCUCACGGUCUGUGCAAUCAGUACCACAACAUUCUACGCAUUUUACGCUACUCAGAUAUCUCUUCUUCAUUGAUCCUCCCUCCACUUGUUAGAAGGAGUUUACUAGACCUAAAGAGAUAAUUCCUCAGGUUGUGUUCUCUGAGCUUGCCAUUUACCUAGUGUUCGAAACGCGGGAUAUUAUUCACUUUUGUUGAACAAAGAACAUGUUUUUGUUGUACAUGUCGUUAUUCACCAUAUUGUUGUUCACCGGAGGAAUAUUGAUAUGAAACAUGCAUGGCUCACGCUCUUUUUAGGUUGGUUGUUUGGUCUUGUUGGCAUACUUUGCUUGCUUCUACUCUUCCUACUUAAUGUUUUUUGUUCAAAGAGGUAAAACUUGUCUGAGUACACAUUCUUUCUAACUAGAGUAAAUUUUUACCGUCAAAGUACUACAUAAUUAAGUAAUGGUAUUGUUAGUCCAUUAAUAUUCCACGGAGUGUAUGUUAACUUCUCCUUUUUUUUGCCUAUUUAGCUGAGAUUACUUUAGCUAUAUGAUCUGAUUGGUAACACAAAGUUGUAUAAGUUUUUUAGCUGUAAACUGGAUUAGUAUGGUGUUACGGUAUAGUACAAAAUUGUAAAAAAGAGUAGUACACGAAAACUGUACGAAAACACUAAGAAUAACACUUUUAGUAACGCUUUUAAAAUUGUUUUUGUGAUUGGUAUAAAUAAAAAUUGUACCACUUUGUACUGCUUUCUUUUAGUUUACCAAUCUAUCAUCAAAGUUACUCAUGGAUUUACCUUAUUUUGGACUAAUUGGAAACUAGAUUGAUGAGGCUUUUUAAUAUCGUCAAGUUGAUGAUUUUGGAAAUUUGGCAGCAGUGACAAUAUAUUAUAUUUCUGACACAGUAAUAUUUUUGACUUAUCUUUAAUUAAGUUUUAAAAACAAACAAAAUUAAAACUAAAUCUUGGAUUAUGAAACAUUAUAUAUACUAGAUUAUGACCCGUUCGAUGUGCGGAUUUAAUUUUCUUAAAAAUGAAAUAAAAUUUAACAGGUAGAGAUAUCAAAAUUAUGUUGUAAGUAAAAACUAUCUUUCAGAAGUAAAUAAAUAGAUUUUGAGUUCAAUAAAAGAAUUGUUUAUACAUUCAUUUUUUACCUUGAUACAGUAAUUUUCAUUUCUAUAAUCUAAAUUUAUUGUAAUAUUUAUUAUAAUAAUCUAUUGAAUUUAAAUUAUUCGAUAACUUAAUACAAAUGGUGUUUUGGCCAAAAAAAAAGUUUACUAAUCACCAAAAGUUUUGCCAAAGUAUUCAUCAUUUAGUAGGGAACAUUACAUUUUAACUUUGAAAGUGUCACCGAGUAUCACUUUAAACCUCGAGAGAAUUCCGCUAAUACUUUAAACCACCAAUAUAUUUAUACUAACACUAUAAACCUUAAAAUUAGCUUUUUUGUUUGUGUAGCUAUAAAAGAUGACAGAACAAUAAUAUCUCUCAACGCGGAAUAGUUAAAUUAUGUUUGUUUCAUUUAAAUUUAAAUUAAUUUUAUCCCAAUUUAUCCAUUUAAGUGGAAACGUCAUAUCUUCAUUUUUUGUGUUUUGAUUCUUCUAUUUAAAGUUUCUCUUGUGCUUCAGUAUUUAAUUGAAAUUUUAAAUAAACUAAUUCAAAUUUAAAUUAAACAAACAAAAUUUAACAAUAGUUUAAAUGUGUUUAAAUAAGAAGAAUAUAUCAUGAUAUCAUUCACAUAGUUUUCUAUCAAUACACGAACCAAAGAAUGAUGCUAAGCUUCAAUUAAAUAACCAAACCAGAAUGAUAUUACUUUUUUUUGGUAGGCUAACCAGAAUGAUAUUACUAUGUUAGACUAUAGUCAUCCAAUCUUAAUUUAGAAGAAAAUGCAAAAUGUAAAGCGAUUCAAUAAUCAAAAUCUUUUUUGGACAUUUUCGAAAUGUCCAUCAAACCAACAAUAUAAAAAUAAAACGGGCCAGCUUUGUAGCUUUAGGCCCAUUCUAACAAACCUCUAUAUAAAUCUUAUCUAAACCCUAGAUCUAACAAGUGACGAAGAAAUCUCUCAAGAUCUCUCGUUGUCUCAGGUUCGUCGAAUUCUUUUUCUUAGCUUUCAAGUUUCAACUUCUUUAGUCUUUUAAGAGAAAAAAGCACAAAACUUUCUGUGUGGUUUUUAGUAUCUGAGAAUUCUAAACCAAAGUCUUCUCUUUUGUAUCAUAUUAGUCCAUAUAACUCGAAUCUUUUCUGAUUUUGGAUAAAUGUUUUGUUUUACUCUCUAGUGUUGCAACAUUUUGUAGAGAAAUGGGUUCAAAUGCAUCAGACUCUGCGAUGUUGAAGAGUUGGAGAAAGAAUGCUCCUUCUUCUUCUUCUCUUGUCAGACUCUCUCAGCUUGCUAACGACAAAUACGAAUCCCCUCCUUUCUCUUCCGGUGGACACAACUGGUAUGUGAUCUUGUUCUCUACUUAAAAGUUCACAUCUUUCUUCUCUAAAGUUUACAUCUUUCUUCGCUAAAGUUUACAUCUUUCUUCUCUAAAGUUCACAUUUUUCUUCACUAAAGUUCACAUCUUUCUUCACUAGAAGCAUAUAUAACUAAGAAAUGUUGUCCUUUUUGUAAAAUCAGGAGAUUGGUUGUUUACCCAAAAGGAAACGAAGAGGACAAUGGAAUGGGUUUUGUUUCAAUGUAUGUGGAAUGUCUCUCAUCGACAACACCACCCAUUGAUGUGUUUGCUUAUCUCACUUUCUUUAUCUUUAGCGAGGAAGAGAAGAAGUACCUCUCUAUUCAAGGUUCGUAUGUUCAUACCCUUAUUAUCUCUCUCUUUCUCUCGUAUGCAUAUAUAUAUAUAUAUAUAUGAAUGAUUCAGUAAUAUGUGUUUAUACAUGUUGACAUGUAGAUGUUGAAGUUAAGAGGUUCAAUUCUUCAAAAACGGUUUGGGGAUUGUCACAAGCUCUUUCGAUUGAAGCACUCAAAGACCGUGCAAAGGGAUUUAUCUUGUACGGAGAACUACAUGAGUUUGGAGCUCAUGUGAAGAUUGUUUCACGACCCGACUCCUUUGGUGAAGAUCUCCCUUUUCACAAAUUCUCUUGGACUAUUCGUGAUUUCUCCCUUCUCAGACAGAAUGAUUGCGUUUCGAAAACCUUUCACAUGGGAGAAAAGGAUUGGUGAGUUUAUCAGAAGUUUCCUUUUCUGAUAUAUUGUUGUAUGUGUGCAUUAGUGUCAACUUGCUAUACUAGUGGAUGUUUAUAUUUUACAGGACUCUAACUUUGUAUCCAAAGGGAGACUCUGAGGCAGAUGGCGAGUUAUCCCAGCAUUUGCAUUUAGCUGACGGUGAAGUUUUAUUGAAGGGUGAGCUGGUUUUCGUGCGAGUAAACCUGCAGGUUCUAGACCCGCGUGGAUCUGAUCACCUAAAAGGAUGGAGUAAGUCAAAAACCAUUGAUGUUACUAUUUCGCAAUGUUUAUUGUCAGCGCUGAUGAAUGGGAUAAAUUAGACAUUUUCAAUAGGCGUUCUCAACUUAUAAUGUCAAAUGUCCUACUCCUUUGACUAUAAACUAGUGGUUUUAAGUUUGUAACUAAUGUACUAAACAUACAUUUAUUGUUGUUGUAGCUAAAGGUUGGAUCAUGAACUCGACCAAAGCGAUGGGUCUUCCUCAAUCCAUGUCUUUAGAUAAAAUUCAGGGGGCUUACUUGGACCGUGAAGGUACUUUGGAGGUAGAGAUCGAAUGUGAACUUGAAAACUCCAUCAAAAACCAUCCCUUCUUUUAGGAUAUCUACCAUGCCAUGUUUACUACUCUAGAGUCUAUGACUACUCUGUUUUUAGCGUAAAAUUGAAUGUGAAGUUAACGCUCUCUAUCUAUGUUUAGGAUAUCAUUAUCUGUCUCUCUAUUUAGCUAUCAUGUCAUGUCUACUACUACUACUCUAGGACUACUCUGUAUUAAGCGUAGAAUUGAAUGUGAAGUUGUUUCCAUCAAACACUCUAUCUAUUUUUAAGAUAUCUAUGUAUCUAUCUACCAUGCAUGUGCAUGUCAGACUAUUAAUGAUGAUCUUUUUAGUUAUUUAAUUUUUGUUUGUUUAUAUCCUUGUUUUUUCUUAAAUCGGUUUUGUUAUGGUAUGGUUUUUAUUUCCUACGUACCACUUAUUUUGAAAUUUUUCUAUGAUUCAAUUUAGCAAUCUCUUCUUCUAUUAAGGUAUAUCAUCAAAUGCUAUAGGGCAUAUUAGAGUGGACUAGAGAUAUCAAGAACAAGAAGUACUAAAAUCAACAUUUUUGUCUCUCUUUACUCACUUUUUAAUUCAAACAUACCUAAUCAAAGAAGCAAAGAUCCUUGAUCAAUGCAAAAUGUCUCAACUCAUUCCUCUACCUCCUUAGUCCUUAUUAAACCUACAGCUCUCAACUAACCGUUAAAUGUCUGUUGCUGAGCUUGAAAAGCUACACUUUCACUGCAAAGCUAGUUACAGUAGACAGUAGUCUUGUACUAGACUUAACAAGAAUACCUUAUCAUUAUUAUGAUCAUUUUCCAAAACUACGUACCUAACCACUACAAGCACAGCUCAGAUUGAUUCAUUACUACAGUCUAUGCAUUUCGGUUUGAUGUACCAUAGUUUGCAGAUUUAGUUAAACUUGGCUUUUGUUAGAUAUACUAUAGAAAAGUGAUAUUCAGUUCCUUUAUUGGGAAGCUUUGUUUAUCAUUACUUGUGUCCCUCCGCGAGAUUGUACUAUACUUAUAGAUUAUCUGUUGUACCUGAUCAUCCCACCUAGGCAUAAACAAGUAAGGCUUUGUGAUACUAUAAAGCUUCUCUAGUCCACUCCUUGAAGUUGCAGAAACUAGGGAUCAUCAUGGUCGAAAAAUGAUACUAACAAUCUGGUUAAUUUAGUUACCAACUUCACUGCUUAAUUUAUCUAUUCAUAUAAUGAACACAACUUCUUUUGAAAUAAAACAUACCACUGUUUAACUUAUCUAUUCAUAUAACUCUGUCACUAUUUAGGCCAUCAAUCGACCAGCUUCAUAAAACAGAAUCUCUGGCCACAACCAAUCUGCAUUCCAGAAAUCUGAGACUGUAACAGAGAAGAACAAUAGCACAAGCAUUUGUGACCCUCUUUCAGAUUUUACCAUUGACACAAGCCGGUACUUAGUGUUUGGUUCUAAGUCUUCGUAUACAGAUACUCUGAGGGGUUUCCAGUAGGCGACAAUUCAUUAGACUAUGUUUGGAAACUUCGAAUCGAUUCUUAGCCUCCGAUUGGUAACCGUAUAAUGGCCGAAUGGCAUUUUCUAAUGUGAUUAUGCAAAAAUUUUGCCAAUUAAGAAAAUCUGCAUAAUCGCAUUAGAAAACGCAAAAACUCAGGAUUUGUAUUUCCGUAUAAAAAACAAAACUACAAUCUCAUUUUACAAAUAAGUGUGUAUAUACUUGUUUAUUUGCAUAAUAAUUUUUUAUUAUUUUAUCCAUACAAAAUAUUAGCAACUAAAAAUGUAAUAAUUAGUCUGUUUGUUUCGUCGCCGCUGGCGGCUGCGGCUGCGGCAGUGGCAAUCACUACUGAUGUUGUUGUUCGUUUCGUCGUCGCCGACGCUGCCGCAGUUACAACCGCAGGUUUUGUGUUCGUUUCAAUGACGCGACUUCUGCCGCCGACGCUGCCGCUGCCGCAGGUUUUUGUGUUCGUUUCUCUGACGCUGCGACAAUUUUCACUUAAUUCUUAGUUUAUUUUGUAUAAAUUUAAAUAUAUCUUGAAUCAAGAAAAAUGUAAUUUAAAUAUAUUUACAUCCAUAAGAAAUAUUUGUUUAGCUAGUAAUAAUUUUAGUGUUUUUUUGGGUAAUGAGUAAUAAUUUUUUAGUAAAAUAUACAAGUUUAACAAUAUAAUUUUUUUGUGAUAAAUCUUGAGCUAAAUUAAAACAAAAAUAGUAAAUCAAAACAUUUAACUAAACGUAAUACACCAAGUCAUAAAUGAAAAAGAUAGACAAAGUCAUUAACUAAAAUAAUAAACCAUCUCAUAAUAUCUUAUAUAAUAUGACAAGGUUUCUUCAAAACAAGCUCUAAGAAUGUGACAUUUGACACUCUACUCUUUUGACACAUGUCAUUUUCAGUUUAUUUUUUAAUUUGAGUGCAAUAAAUCUGUUUAAUUGAUUUUUGAGAAUAAUAACCACAAUAGUCCUCAAAUCAAAUUAUAAAAUUUGACGAUAAAAUAAUUAAAUGAUAUUUUUGAAUAAAUAGAUAUUUUCCUACAUUUUAUCUUUGUUUUUUUCACAUAAUUUAUAGUAAAAAAUUAAAGAUCAAAUUAUUUGGCGAUAAAAUAGUUUAAGUAUAUGCGAUAAGAUGUUAUAUUUUUAAUUUAAUUUUAUUUCUUACAUAUAGCAUAUUUCCCUAUGGUUAUUUUAUGUUGUAUCUCUUCAGUUUAAUAUAAAUAAUUUGCAUGACAUGAUUAUUACAUUUUGUGCAUGUGAAUAAAUUUUCUCCUAUUAAUUAAUAUAGUUUAUCAAUACUUUAAAUAAUUAGUAAUUUCAUGAGAAUUGAAUUUUUUAUUAAAAGAUAAUGAAUACAUUAAUACAGUUGACUUUAUCUAUAUCUUAUUAAACCACAAAUAUAAUACAUUUAAUCAUAUUCAUUAAUCCAAUUUUUAAUACUAAAUUGUAACCUAAAUCAUAUAAAUUGUGUAUUAACUUUUUUUCUCUAUUCAAUGGCAUUCAAACACACUAUUUAAUAUUAUUGUAACUUCCAUAAUUUAAUUUUAAAAAAAUUAAUGUAUUUUUUCAUGGUAGAGAUUACAUUUAAAUACUAAUUUACUAUAAAGACAUAUCAAUCUUAAAUCUCAACAUGAGAGACCCAAAAUCCAUCAAAAACCAAAAUACAAGAGGUUUUGAGCGUAGCUUUUAUUUUUUGUUUUUAAGUGCUAUCUAUUCCUUUAAUUUGAUGUUUGAAAUUUAAUUUUAUUGGUUUCUAAUCCUUUUUCCUUUAAUUUGAUGCUUUAAAUUUAAUUUUAUUGGUUUCUAAUCCUUUUUAUUUCACUAAUAUUUUCGCUUAAUCGAAUUAUGCUUAGUAGCUCUUACCACCAUUUAUUCUAGAGUGAACCUAAUUGACAUCAAGUUCAUGUGUGAGAUCAUAUAACUCUUUGUGGUUUCUUAUGCCUUUUUGUAUUUAUAUCUUAUAUGUUUUUUUUUAUGUUUCAAUUUUUCUCAAGUUUUUAUGAGAUCAUUACAUUUGGUGGUUUCUUAUGUUUUUGUAUUUGUCUUUUCAUGGAGUUUCUUAUGUUCAAUUUGUCUCAAAUUUGAUUUUGAACCUUCAUGUGAGGUCAUUAUAUUUUUUUGGUUAUCUAUAGUUUUUAUUUGUUAUGUAUUUCAUGAAAAAAAAAAUAGAAGUCAUCAUCCUUACAAGGUAAAUUACGUACGAUUAAAUUUUCUUAUGAAAUCAAUUUGUAUAUCCUAUACAUCACUUUUAAUAUAAUUUAUGGUGUUAUUUUUUUCUUUUAUUUUUUUUAUGUCAUUUUUAUAAGUAUAUUUCAAUCCACAAUGUCAUAUGUUAGUACGUUUAUAAUGGUAAGAUUUGCUGUAUAUAUAUAUAUAUAUAUGUUUUGUGUAUGCAGACUAUAUUGUUGAAAAUAUUUCUAUAUGAUGAUGAAUUUUGUUUAGCUAACAAUUCUAAAUAGGUGACAAGUUUUCAUAAUCACUAAAUAUAAUUUCAAAUUCUACACAUAUACAAAAAUGCUCUUUUGUUUUGCCAACAUGAGCCAUUUUUUUUUUCUCCCGUUAAAAUAAAUUAUUAUAAAAAAUUAAUUUUCUGAUUAAGCGGUAUAUAUUCAAAAAAUAAAUUUAACAAUCUUCAACUUAGCAAUUUUCAAUAACUACUCUCACAUCUUAUAUAUAUAUUUUCCUUUUUACUAUCAUUUAUAAAAUUGAGAAUUAACAUACAGUAAAACCUCUAUAAAUUAAUAAUGUUGGGACCAGAAAAUUUUAUUAAUUUAGAGAGGUAUUAAUUUAUCGAUAAAUUAAUAAUUAUUAAUUUAUAGAGAGAUUUUCCUAAUUUGGUAAUUUCUUAAAAAAAUUCUUUCUAAAAUAAAAAUUUUCUUUAUAAGCAAUAUCUUUUUAAAACCAAUUGCAAGUAGAGAAGCAAUUAUUAAGUUUAAAAAACAACACAAACUUUUUUCGAAUAAUAGAGUCAUAUUUUAUUAAAAAAUUUACAUAUAAUAUUUUUAAUAUAUAUCAUAGUAAUUCAUAUAUGACAUAUAUAAAUUUAUAUCACAUAUAUAUUAGGUUAAAUAUACAUAUAUAUAUAUAUAGAUAAUUUUAUAUAAUUAUUAAUUUAUAGUAUAGAUGGGACCAUAUGUUUAUAUAGGAUUUUUAAAAAAAUUAUUAUCUUAUUAAUUUAUCGAUUUAUGUCAUAUUUUACACUGGUCCCAACUAAGGACCGAAAGAAUUUAUUAAUUUAGAGAGGUUAUUAAUUUAUAGAGUAUUAAUUUAUAGAGGUUUUACUGUAUAUAAGAUGUAGUAAUAUUUGUUUUAAGUGAUAUGUGCCAUAUUUUUCUUAUUUUGUUUCUAUUUUCACUUUCAAAUAAAUAUUGAGCAUCCUUUCAGCCUGUUAUUAAUAAAUAUUUUUUAUUAAUGAAGCAUAUUGAACAUUUUAUAUAUUUAAAAAUUUUAUAUACCUAAAUUUUCAUUAUUUUAAAGUAAACAUGUAAUAUAAGGGAUAAAGACAAUAUUGAAUAAGCUCUUACAAAUUCAAUUUUAAAACACUUAUGAAUACUACCGUUUAUAAUUAUGACUAUGCAUGCUUAUAAUUUCCUUUCUAAUUUAAAAGACUAAUAGCUAUGUGAACUAACUAUUACAUGAAUUAUUAAUAAAUCAAAUUAUCAAAAUGGAUUCAAGAGAUAUAAAUGGUACUUUAACGUAACAUCCAUGUAUUGUAAUGAUACUACUUGACAAUUUUCGUAAAAUAUCGAUUAAAUAUUUUUAAUAAUAUCUUAAAUCAUUAUGUUUCUAUUAAAGUUUACCACUAAUGUAUUGUCUUUACAUUUUCUCAGCUUUAUAUAAUCCAACAUUAUUUUGUAGUACUGUAAUUCAAAAUUUUGUUACCCCCUAUAGAUACACAUAAGUUACAAAAAAUUUCACUACAUUAAUUUACAAUUUAUUACAAAUUUGGCAAAAUUGAUAAUAAAUUAUUUGUUAAAUUUAUUUAGUUACUAGGAUUUAAGAGUACUGUUUUGUUUUCUAUAAUUGUGGUAUAAAUUCUAUUUGUGAUGGUAAUAUUGUAAUAAUCAAUAAGUAUUUGACUUUUAAGAUAACAAAAUAUUAUCUCAACUCACCAAUUUUUUCACUUUUUGUCCAUCGUCCUCUUUUUUUUUUUUUGCACAAAACCCUCUCAUUAUUUUUCCAAUCUCCCUCGAAAUGUUAAUUCAAAAGUCUUUCAAAUAUAUUGAUAAUGUUUUGUCAAAUCAUAUGAUUCAUUUAAAUAUGUAAAUUAUAACUUUUUUUAAGUCAUUGUAGAGAAGAAAUAAAUUGGAAGAUUUGUUUACUAAUACUUUUAAUGAAUAAUUUGGAAGCUUUUUUGUUAAUAUUUUCUUUAUAAUAGAGGCUACAAUAAGUUUUUAGGUAAAACUAAUUUAGUUUUCUUACGAUAAAAUAUAUUCAAAUUAUACCCACACAUCGCGUGGAUCUUUUUUCUUGUAUUCUAUAUGUUGGAAUAAAUCAUGCUGACCGUUUGUAUUCAAGUGUAUGUUGGCCACCUCAAAUGAUGUACGUGCUCUAGCCAUACAAUCACAUAUUUGGUUUAAUCUAUAUAUAGUAUAACAAUCCUAUGAUUCGAAGGAAUGCAUAAUGUUUCGUUAAUUACUUUUUAUAAUUUUCGAAAAUAUGUUUUAAAAGAAUGCUUCCUUUUUUUUUCAAAUCAUAAUUUUAGCUUUGGGAUUUUGUACUAGGGAUUGUUACAUAGGAACUUCUAAACUCUCUAAGACUUAGGAACCCUCCGCCUAGCGCCUAGAACGCCUAAUCGGGGCCUAGGCGAUUUUUAGGCGGUUUAGGCGGAAUUUCAAUAAAAUACUAUUAUAUAUAUAUAGUUAUAUAUAUAACAUAGCAUAAUAAAAUAAUCUGAAUAAAACUACUUCAAAAAUAAUAAAAUAAUAAUUAAUGUUUACUAAUAAAAGUGUAAAACAUAAAAUAAAAUAGAAUAAACAAUAAAUUUGAGUUUUAAAAAAAUAAAUAAACUCUAAUGAUGUUUCUAAUCGUCAUCUCAUCACCCAAUCUCCUUCUAUAAACCAUGCUCAUCAUCAGACUCAAAAUCAACGUUAAUGUCUUCGCCAUCAUCAUCAGAUUCAUCAAGCUCCCUAACCAAAUCUUCAUUUGUGGGUAUGUCUUCUAGUAUAUAUAUAUAUCUAAUAAGGUAAAUGACCUUUAUUACAUUCAUUCGUGAUGUUGUCACGCAAUGUUUCCACCACCGGUCGGCUCAUAUGCAAUAUGUUCUUCUGUGCUUUGUCACUGUAAAAAAUCAUGAUCUUCCCGAUGUGAAUCCUUUAUGAAGUUGUGUAGUGUCAUCGUCGUUGUUACAAGUUUAAUCCACUUAGUCAAACCAUAUUUUGGAUGCUUACGAUCCAAAAUCCUCCAUUUUGCUUUUCAUACUCCAAAUGUCAUCUCAAUCACAGAUCGCAAAUCUGAAUGCUUUCGAUUGAACAACUCUCGUGCAGUUACUGAUGGUCCUCCUCUACCAAAUUGACCAAGAUGAUAUCGCAUCCUACGAUGUGGACCAAAAUACCUAAUCCUGGUGGGAUAUCUGGAGUCAACAAGAUAGUACUAUAAAACUUAUACUAUUUUUCGAUAAUAUUUAAAAAUUGGAAAUUUCACAAUGUUUCACAAUCUUAAAAAUUUCACAAUGUUUUAGGUGUCGUAGGACAUGUUUUGGCGACAAGAAAUGACACCAACGGUGCUGAUUUCUUUCUCCUUAGUUGUCGAUGCUUUGUCCUCUUCCUCAAUUGUUGCAGCUUUCGUUCAUAAUAACUGAUCUUGCUGAUUUAUCUGGUGGUCACUGUUUUAUCCAGUGUUUCAUUUAUCCGGACAUGCGUCGCUAUUUUGGAUCUUUCAAGAUAUGACGUCUCAUUGGUUCAAUAAUCAAUUACAAAAUCAGUGGUAUUAUGAAUUAAUGUUGCAAAAGGAUAGCACGACACUAAUACAAACAAGGCAAAAUCAUCAAAAUUUUUAUGUGCCAUAAUACUUGAUAAAAAAAAUCAGAGAAAUCAACCCAAAAUAAUCAAAAAUAGUUACAUAACGUACCAAAAAUCAAAACUAAAGGUUGAUAACAGAUUUUAGAUCCACAUAUUCAAAAGAAGUAGUCGUAAAAUAGUAAUAUAAUACAAACUAAAAUCGAUAUAUUUGUAGGCUCGGUCUUCCGUUUCAAGAUCGUUGCUAUGCUUUCCUUGUUUGUUUUUAGCAGUGUUCGAGAAAGCGCUAGGCGCUAAGCGGGCGGUGACCCAGUGCCUAGCGCCUAGAACGUUUAAUCGGGGCCUAGGCGAUUUUUAGGCGGUUUAGACGUUUAUAACAUAAAAAAAUUAUAAAUAUAAUAUUAUAUAUAAAAGUUAUAUAAAAUAUCUAUAUAAAACUAAAAAUUAUGAAAUUAUAAAUAAAAACUAGAUAAAACAUUUAUUUAUAUUUAUAAUAAACAAUAUAUGAAUACUUAUAAUUAUAUAUAUAAAUAAAACUCUAAUUGAAAUUGAAAAAAUACAUUAAACAAGAUCUAUGUGAUUUUAGGCGGUUAAGGCGGUUAUCUAGGCGUCGCAUGAGAGCCUAGCGUUUAGUCGGAGCCUAGGCGACCGCCUAGACCGCUUUUUAGAACACUGGUUUUUAGAUAUAUUGAUAUAAUUUGGGGAGCAAGAAAUAUAAUGCAGAUCAAGUAUUAUGAAUCGUCAAUGUCCAUUUAUGAAGUAAAGCCCACCCGAAAAAUAUUUCUAGAAAUCCUCGUAGGAUAAGGGAUUAAGUUUUAUCAUCGUGUGUAGAUUUAAGGGUAAAUAAACUUUAUCCUAGUUGUGAUAGACUUGUAAAAGCAUGUGCAAUGCAAGUCUCUCACCUACAAAAGUAAUAAUAAAAUAAGAAAUAGUAAUUAUGUACGUCUUUAAAAAAAGUGGAGAGAGUCUUGCAUAGUCUCAUCAAACGAUUUUCGUCUUUAUCAAAUACAUGUAGAAUGGAUGCUUAUGGUUUGUGGGAUUUGGUUAAGGAGAUUGGUGAGAAGGAGAAUGGUAGUGUUUUUUUGAACUUAGAGAUUUUGAAUGAAUUGAUUGCCUGGGAUUGGGCAUGCUCUGUAUGUGUUAAGAGUGGUGUGUUACCAGAGAGAGAACAGAUGGAUAAAAACACAACUUCCUGGUUGUAAUGUUUUGUGGAAAUUACUGAGCUCCAUUUGUUUGUUAUAUAGGUAUGUUAAGCUAGCUUAUUUGUCAAAGGAGAAAAGAUUUUCUUUUGUCAGAGCGUGGGAAGAUAGCUUUGUGACAACGUAUGCAGAGAGGAUGAAGAAUAAGGUUGCAGCGAUUCACAAGGAAGGAGAAAAGAGAAGACAUUGAUGAAUGUUUGAGGAUUUGGUGACUAAAGACAGUGAUGACUGAAAAACUUUGUAUAUGCUGUGAUCAAAUUUGUAAAGUUUAGUCAUAGAGGAAAACAAUUAUGAAACAGAUUUGUGAUAGAGGAAACCAAUUGUAAACUUUCUAUGUCUUUUCUCAAUUACGAUUCCGAUUGUGAAACAUAUCAAAACACAUAAACCAAAAUCGUAUCUUUGUUUUUUCCACAAAACCAAAACACAUAAACCAAAAACAUAUCCAAAACACAUAAAAUUUUAUGAACUGCAAUUAUCUUUAUUUUUUAUGAAAUAUUAUAAAAAAAUUUCUUUCUAAGAACCCCACUUGAGAUACUACCAUUGGACUAUCAAAAAUUUUAAAUUUUUUACACAAACUCUCAUCUUACAAAUUUCCACAAUUUAUAUUAAACAAUGAGAGAGAGUCCAUGGGGGGCUCUCACCAUUGGAGAUGCUCUAACUUUUCAUAUAGCUCCAUUGGAAAAAUUCUUGGGUUCACCCCUAGGGAUGAACCUCUCUUAUUCAUCCCCUCUUAAUUAACCAAUCAAAAUACAACAAUAUGCCAUGUAAUACUAUAUUUUAAAAUAAUCAAAAUUAAAAUCACAAAACAAAAAAUAUUAAGGAAACAAAAUAUGUAUGCUUUUAAUUAAACAAGGUCAAUUAUAUGUCGGUUUGGGUUUAUAAAUGAAAUUAUGGUUUAGAUUUUAUAAUUAAACAGAAUUAUAUGUCGGUUUAGGCUUAUAAGAAAGUGAUUAGGGUUUAAAUUUACAAUUAAAACAAAAUUAUAUGUUGGUUUGGGUUUACAAAUGUGGAUUAUGGUUUAGCUUUUACAAUCAAACCAAAUUAUAUGUCGGUUUGGGUUUAUAAAAGAGCGAUUAGGGUUCAGAUUUUACAAUUAAACAAAAUUAUAUGUCGAUUUGGGGUUAUAAAUGAGAUUUAGGGUUUAGAUUUUACAAUUAAGCAAAAUUAUAUGUCGGUUUGGGUUUAUAUAAGAGUGGUUAAGGUUUAGAUUUUACAAUUAAAUGAAAUUAUAUGUCGGUUUGGGUUUAUAAAAGAGUGGUUAGAAUUAGGAUUUUACAAUUAAAUAAAAUUAUAUGUCGGUUUGGGUUUAUAUAAGAAUGGUUAGAAUUUAAAUUUUACAAUUAAUUCAAUUUAGGGAGUUUUAAUGAAAAUUUAUUAUAUUAUUUAUUUAGAUAAUAUUAAUUGUUUUAAUUUAUUUAAUUAGAUGAUAUGAUAAAGGGGUGAAUAAAAGAAGUGUUUGCUCCAUUGUAGAUAUUUUUCAAUUGGUUAAUUAAUAUGAUAUUUCUAAAAAAAUUAGUUAUUUCGUUAUAUUUUAAAAUUAUUUUUGACAAAAAUCGAAUACCAAAUCGUUCCAAACUGAAUUUUUUUUAAAACCAAUCCGAAUUUAUAAAUAAUUUUUAUUGUUUAAGUUUUUAUAUUACUGAUAAAGCAAAGACCAGAAAAUCAAAAAUACAUCAAAUUUCUUCGUAUAUAUCAACAUUUUUUAAAAUAUGUUAAAUCCACGCGCAAGCUAGUUUCCAUUAAUUUGUUUUUAUUUUUGGUUGGUCUUUCACCUAUGGAAGGAAAUGAACAAUGGUACGCACAACCAACAGCUCUCUCCAUGCUCCGUCUUCAAGUUCAUCACUGCUAGAAGAGAGGAAUAUCUAUUUAAAAUUUAAUGACUUUGUCGUUAGGUUUUGAUAAACCUAGGUAAGACCUGAUUAUAUUCAUGAUAAUAUAUUUUGGUCGAUCUUUCAUGGCCUAUUUCAACAUUAUCUUAACAAAAAUUAAAAAAGAAAAAAAAAUCAGAUAAUGAUAUAUAUUUUAGUUUUUGGUGCACCUCUUCCUGUUUAGUCUUGGACUUUAGCUUAACAAAUAAACCACACACGCAUAUAAAUAUGCAUGCCCCAUGACUACACAUCCAUAGGUUGAACUUGAAGCAACAAUCUUUUCUUAAAUUAUUUUCAAUCUAAAGAUCUUUAAAGCAAAGAUGAUUUCGAAGAAGAAGAUAACUUCGUUAAUUAUCUGUUCUUUUCUGUUGCUUCUUCUUCCAAUCGCGUUUUCUAGGCCGACAAGAAACUUAGAUGGAACAAGUCCAAGAGCUCCAACUGUUCAACAAAUAAGAAACAGACAUGGAACUAGAGAGGUCAUAGUGGACAAUGGUAUUAUUAGUGUCAGUUUCUCAAGUCCUCAAGGACUUAUAACUGGCAUCAAAUACAAAGGAGUCAAUAAUGUUCUCAGUCCACAUCAACGAGCUCGAGGGUACUGGGACAUAACAUGGCAAGGAGAAAAGACUCGUGGUGGCAUAGAUCGAAUCGAAGGAACUAAAUUUAGAAUCAUAACUCAAAACCAAGAACAAGUGGAGAUUUCAUUCUCUAGAACAUGGGAGAGUGGUUCUGGUUCUCAUAUUAUUCCAUUAAACGUAGACAAGAGGUAUAUUAUACGUACAAAUUCUUCAGGACUCUACGCAUACGGAAUUUUCGAGAGGCUUCCCGAAUGGCCAGAAGUUGAGAUGGGUCAAGUUCGAAUGGUAUUCAAACUCGACCAAGAUAAGUUUCAUUACAUGGCAGUCGCGGAUGAUAUACAAAGAGAGAUGCCAACGGACAAUGACCGCGAUAUCCAUCGUGGUCAUGCCAAGGCUCUUGGUUAUAAAGAGGCUGUACAAUUGAUUCAUCCUCAUAACUCCAUGUUCAAAGACCAAGUUGAUGAUAAAUACCAAUACUCAUGUGAGAUCAAAGACAUCAAGGUGCAUGGUUGGAUCUCAACUAAAUCCCACGUUGGCUUUUGGAUUAUCUCAUCGAGUGGCGAAUAUCGCUUUGGUGGACCGAUGAAACAAGAGCUCACAUCUCAUGUCGGCCCAACAGCCAUUGCAAGCUUUAUAAGCGGGCAUUAUGUUGGUACGGACAUGGACACACGUUACAAAAGUGGUGAAGCGUGGAAAAAAGUCUUAGGACCUAUUUUUAUUUACUUAAACUCCGGCGAUGAAUUAUUAUGGGAAGAUGCUAAACGACAGUCUAAAGAAGAAGUUAAAGCCUGGCCGUACGAUUUUGUAGCAUUCUCUGACUUUCCUUCUCGUCGAGAAAGAGGAACCGUUACCGGUCGUCUUCUAGUCAACGACGGAUUCUUAACGCCGGGGAGAUUUGCAUAUGUCGGUUUAGCACCACCGGGAGAAGCUGGUUCGUGGCAGACAAAUACUAAGGGUUAUCAGUUUUGGACAAAGACGAACGAAACCGGUUAUUUCAAGAUUGAUAACGUUAGACCAGGAACUUACAAUCUCUAUGGAUGGGUUCACGGUUUAAUCGGAGACUUUCUAUACCAAAACCUUGUUACCGUAGACUCGGUAGAGUUGUCUACAAGCCUCCUAGAAACGGUCCAACGCUAUGGGAGAUUGGUGUACCGGAUAGAACAGCACGAGAAUACUUUGUACCGGAGCCAUACAAGAACACAAUGAACCCUUUAUAUCUAAACCACACGGACAAGUUUAGGCAAUACGGAUUAUGGCAACGAUACACAGAGUUAUAUCCAAAUCAUGACCUCAUUUACACAAUUGGAGUUAGUAAGUAUAGCCAAGACUGGUUCUACGCUCAAGUCACAAGAAACAACGGUGAUUCGACGUACACACCAACUACAUGGCAGAUCGUGUUUCAUCUUCCAUACGUGAACAUGAGAGGAAGCUACACAUUGCAGCUAGCUUUAGCCUCGGCUGCACGGGCUAAUCUACAAGUACGGUUCAAUAACGAAUACACGAGGCCAUUCUUCUCAACGGGCUAUAUUGGAAGAGAUAAUGCUAUAGCAAGACAUGGAAUCCAUGGACUCUACCGGCUUUAUAGCAUCAAUGUACCUGGAAGAUUGCUACGAACAGGGACCAACACGAUUUAUCUUCGACAAUCUAAAGCAUCAGGACCAUUUGAAGGACUUAUGUAUGAUUACAUUCGUCUCGAAGAGCCUUCUAGAGUUUAGAUUCAUUUAGUUGUUAUAAUUUUGGUUUUGUUAUUUUAACACUAUUGGUUUAAUGUGCCAUUGAUUUUAAGUUAAAGAGUUAUUAUUACUUUAUUUAAUUAUUUCUAUACAACCAUGUUUCAAUUAGUCCUCUGCAUCUUUUUUUUCUUCAAAGUUUAUUCUUUAGAUGCUUUUUUGAAUUCUGACAAAGUGACAAAAACGUAAGAGGACUAAUUAACCGGGUCAGGAGUUAACCGAUCUUGAACCGGACCGGAUCUUAAUCGAAUCGGUUUGGAAUAUUAGGGUUAAAGUCGUCAUUUCGUUAAUAACCUUCUUCUUUUUUAGCGUCGAGACAAAGCUCUCGAUUUUUCUUCCUCUAUCUCUUGAAUUCGUACUUGUGAGUUCUCAUAGAGGUUUCGUCUCCAGUUUAAUCUCUCUAGCGUCUUGGUUUAUGAGGUAAUCUGAUUUCACACUCUUUCGUUAGGUUUUCUGAUGACGACGAAUCUGCCAAUUUUGUUUCUCGUGAAAAUUUGAUUCAGAUCUCUUCUAUUUCUUCGAUUUUGCAUAAUUCUGAAUUUGUUUCUAAUCCUUAUGGAUAUUCACUGUUCGUAAUUGAAUUAGACUUCUCUCGAAUCUAUGUAUUUAGGGCUGAAACGAGACUUGUUUCGGCUGGCUAGGGUUUCUUAUGUAUAUAUUCAAGAUUCUUUCGUAAUCAAUUUAAAAUUCUUCUCAAGAUUCUUGUUUAUUUAUCUGCUAAUCUGUUUUAUUACUCUUUUUCUUGCAGCUCAAAGGAGAAACCCACUCUCGGGUAUGUGAAUUUAAAGCUUUUCUACAUUUUUUUUUUGUAGUUUGAGCCUUUUGUCUAUGUUUAUUCUUUGUGAUUUGUCCAUGGAAGUUGAAAACUUAGGUUCUGAUAUUUUAUGGUUAGUUUUCGUUGUUUUAACCGAUUUAGCUCUGAUACUUUGAAGCUGUCUUCUAUUGAUUCUUGUACUCUUUUCUGCUGAGGCUAAUAAAGUAUUUGAAGUACUUUGAAAUGAAUUGUGAGAAGACUCUCUUCGCUUGACCCCUGAUCUGGCUAGUGACACUUUGAAGUUGUUACAUUUAUUGUUAGAAAUUGUUAACAUGAGCAUUAAGUUUAGAAUGACUGAAAUUAAGUUGUGUUUUUUUUUUUUUUUUUGACUUAGGAACUGCUUGUAUUUAUAGUUUGUUCAAUUUUGUGUGUAGAGGUACGCGGAUUAAGACCCGCAAAAGGAAUAUUGCUGCUCCUCUCGACCCUGCUGCUUUUUCUGAUGCUGUAGUUCAGAUUUAUGUGGAUAAUGCUGGUGAUCUGGUACUUCUUUUCGUGUUUUAAGUAUUUAUUUAUCUGUUUUAGUUUGCUUGUAAAAAGUCUUGCACCUUAACUUAUGACUUUGUUUUUGCUUUCUCCUAGGAACUUGUUGCCAAAAGUUUAGAAUCAUCUGAUCUUAAUUUCUCAAGAUACGGUGAUAUUUUCUUUGAGGUAAUUCUUCAUAUAUCAAUGCUGUCUCAGCUGUCUUCUAUUACCUAUGUAUUUCAUGUCUUCUUAAGAGAUAUUUUCUCAUGUCCAGUUGAACAGUUAUAUUCAUCUGUUUGGGUCCAUUUAUUGUUAAUCACUUCCCAAAAAUCAGUGAAAUAUGGUUUAUAUAUUCUCUGAAGAUGGUGUAAUAGGAGAUCUACCUGACUGUUAUGUUUUUCAAGAUCUUUGGAUAUUUGAUUUCAUUCUAUAUCAUGGGAUACUACUAGUUUUUUGUUUUCUUGUCUCAAGUGACUUUUUGUUUUGCUUGUCUUUCCGAGAUUAUGAAUUGAUGGAUCUCUCUCUUAUCAAUUAAGGUUGUUUUCAUUGGAGGACGUACACAAACUGGUUCAGUGAAAUCUGAUGAAGGGGAACGCCACCCUUACUCUAUAAUCGACUGUGAACCAACGCGUGAAGCUAUUUUACCAUCAGUUGUAUACAUACAGAAAAUUUUGCGGAGGAAAGCCUUCCUUAUUAAGAACCUUGAAAAUGUUACGCGGAGAUUCUUGCAGUCACUGGAGCUUUUUGAGGAGAAUGAGAGGAAGAAGCUUGCAAUAUUCACAGCGCUCGCAUUUUCCCAGAAGCUCUCAGGAUUACCUGCAGAGACUGUCUUCCAGCCAUUGCUUAAGGAUAAUCUUGUUGCCAAAGGGAUAGUUCUCAAUUUUGUAACAGACUUCUUCAAUGAAUAUUUGGUUGAGAACAGUCUUGAUGACUUGAUUUCUAUUCUGAGGCGUGGCAAGAUGGAUGACAAACUCUUGGAGUUCCUGCCACCCACAAAGCGGACUACUGAAAGUUUUGCCGAGCAUUUCACGUGAGUUUUAAUCGCUUGAAGUUUGCUGUAUUCAAUAUUAUAAUGUUUGGUUCUUUUGUUACUUGUUACAGUUUCCUUGCUCUUCUGAUUCCCUGCAUUUCUCUAAAUUUUACUCGUUUAAUAUUGAUAUGAAUGCCAUUGUUAAGAUCCAAUAGGUUAACUUUUUUGUCAAUAUUUUGUUGAGUUCAACAUUCCCAGGUCCUCUGUCUUCUGAUUCUGUAUUAGUUUAUCACUCAUCUUUGGUCGGCUCUGCUUUCUUAAUGAAUCUGUAAAAUUGAUAUAUGUGCUAUAUUUUUUCUUGUGAUUUUAAGCAAGGCAGGAUUGACAGCUCUGGUAGAGUACAAUGAAAGGAAAAUAUUUGAGGUGAAGCUGAAGGAAAUCAAAGCGGUCCUUACGAGCCAAGUGACAGAGGAAAUAAACGUAGAUGAAGUGAUUGAAACGGUGAAGCAACAAGUGAAAGAUGCAAAGCUGCCUGAGAUUGAGGUUGUGCAUGUGAUCUGGGAUGGGAUAAUGAAUGCUGUUCAAUGGUCUGGGAAAAACCAGCAGCAAAAUUCAAAUGCUGUAUUACGCCAAGUGAGUUGAUUUUCUGUUUUGUUUUGAAGCAAGAUUAUGUUGUUUGGUCUUAAAGCUAAGCUAAGCUAAGCUAGCCGCUAUUUUGUGAUAGGUGAAAACAUGGGCGCCACUUCUGAACACGCUGUGCUGCAGCGGGAACAUGGAGAUGGAACUGAUGUACAAAGUACAGAUGCAAUGCUAUGAAGAUGCAAAGCUGAUGAAAGUGUUUCCAGAGGUAGUGAGGUCUCUGUAUGAACUUGAUGUGCUCGCUGAAGACACCAUUCUCCACUGGUAUCGCAAAGGGACCAACCCAAAGGGCAGGUACUAUAUUUGAUUUUUGCAAAAAGAAGGUUAAUAAUAGGAUUCUUAGUAAUAUAUAUGUAAUGAUGGUGUGUGUUGGUUUGCAUUGCAGGCAAGCGUUUGUGAAGGGAUUGGAACCGUUUGUGAAUUGGCUGGAAGAGGCCGAAGAAGAGGAGUGAGUGAGAGACACUCUGCUUUUUUUUUUUCACUGUCUUUUAAUAAAACAAACACAAUCUUUUACUUUUCUUAACGCAAAAUUCAGAUGCUUUUAAGGUUUUGAUUCCUACAUUGUUGGUGUGAUUCUUAUUAAACAGAUUAUUAAGAAUUGUUUGUUGGUUUUGGUUUAUAGAGAGCUUAAAUGUCUUUAACCUCUUUGUGAGGUAAUAAUACAGGAAUGUCAUCUUGAAAAAUACUUGCCAAAAAAUAAGAAGUUGAGAAAAUAAAAAAACCUUAUCCAAAAGUCAGGAGAUUUUGUUAUUUAAAAGGGAACCACAAAAAAUUUGGGCAAGGAAGACAUUAAGCCGUUGGCCACACAAUCAGAUAUCAUAAUGGAAAUACACUCCGAUGAAUACUUCUUCCUUCCUCCUCCCUGCUUCUCCUCCCUCAGCCGCCUUUCUCCGGCGGCGCUUCUUCCUUCACCCUUGGCUUCCCUCUAAGAUCCACCACCGUCUUCCCCAAGGUACAUUACUACUCUUCUCUAUAUCAGGUUUCACCACUUGGUUUUUCUAUAUCUUUGGAUUAUUAUGUGAUCUUAUUAUAUCUUUGAAUGAUACUUCUGCUGUUGAUUCUUUAUCUCCCACUCUACUCUAUCUUAAAUCCUAUCUUGUUCUUUUUUUUUUUGUCUUAGUUAUGAAUGAUUCCACCAGGACUGAAGUAUCCAUUGAUAAAUCAGAAGUAGACAAGCUUGUUGACAGGAUUGAUUUUGGGGAAUUAUGCAAUGAUUUUGAGUGCACAAGUAGCCCACAAGUGGAAUCCACAGCUAGACAACUUGUUCGCGACAUUCUUGAACUCAGAGAAGGAAAUCGUGCCUUUGCAUGCUAUGCAGUUUCCGUUAAAUAUAAGGUACAUUUCUCUGUCACAUUGUAAUUUACACUGGUUAAUCCACUUUGUUCAAAAUGGAUCACUCGAAUAUAUCUUGUGACUGUAUUCUUUCUAGCUUUAAGCAGUAGUCUAGAACAAAUUUGUAGCAACCUCUUGUCUUUUAGGCAGUUCACGCAGCUGAAACAGACUUUUCACCUGUUUUGAAUAGCUUGGACUAUAUUUUGUACAAUAGAUAUUAUGUCUAGCUCAUGAACUAGAUGAGAUAGUCUUUACAAAUUGCUGUUGAAAUGGAAAGGGCACAGUUUUGUUUAAGGUCCAACAACAAUUAAAGGGACUAACAAGCUAACGGGUGAAGGAUAUUUUGCAUUUAGACUUGGUCCUGUAAAAAUUGAUUUGUUCGAACAUUACAACACUUCUGUUCCAUUAUUUCUCGUGUGAUGUUCUGAUAUUCCUUGACAGUAAGUAAAUACAUCGUGAUUGAUAGUGAUUUCAGGAUCCGGUUAGAAGUUUUACAGGUCGUGAGAAGUAUAAAAGACCAAUGUGGAUAACUAGUGGAUUAGAGAAUCCUACCGUGGUAAGAACUGAUCUCAACCUUUAUAUAACAUUUUUUUGGCAGUUUCUAACCAUUUUGGUUACAAGUUAUGUGAUUUUUUCCCCUUUAUUUGUAGACGGUACAGGAGAUGGUAAUGUUAUCGACCAGCGUCUUGCGUAUUAAAUGGACAGUCAAAGGAAAACCCAAAUCUAUUCUUGCUGCUGUAAGUGGAGAUUUGAUAAUCAAAGUCAAAUCUGAAUUUACUCUUAACCAGAUUAGUGGCCAAGUGAUUGAGCAUGAAGAGUCUUGGGACUUAUCUUCAUCAUCCCCUAUUGCACAAGCCUAUUUCUGGACAUCCCGCCGCCUCUUUGCUGCUUCUGAAUCCGCAAAAGAUUUAUCCGAUGUCACAAAAGACUUGACCGCCAAUUUGACAACUCGAACAGAGGACACAGAUAUAUAUCGCGAUCCAACCGAUCCAAAUAAGGUCAGUUUCAACUAAAAAACACUAUUAUAUAUUUCUUGCUUAAACCAUAUAGUCAAUCAUUAAUCAGUCUGAUUUAAAACAAACCCGGGAGACGCUAGACAAAAGGCUACAUAGUCUUUCUUGCAAACUAAGAGAAUGUUAGUUGUGGUGAUGCAGUUUUUCCAAAGAGACGACAGCUUUGAGAGAGAUGUGUAUCAAAUUGCACUGUUUCUAGCCAUUGUCUAUUUUGUUGUACAGUUCUUAAAGAACACUCUCUAGUUACCCUAUCUCCCAUCCUCUAUAACAGAUAUGUAAAUGCCUAUAUACUGUUGUAUAUGAUCUGUAUACAAAACUGAACAAGAAAAGAGAUGUGUUUGUUUGUGUUGGAAGGAAGACUAUUAAAAUGAUUUAAUCUUUUUUAAGCAUCCAUUACCAAGACAAUGCAUAUAUAAACCAGAUGAAUGGUCUCUUUGUUACUAUGCUAAUGAAGUAAAGCCACUGCGAUCAAUGGUGACAAAAUUGUAAGAAGCUUUGUGAUCAUCAACAAAGGAGGCGCUGAUGAGAGGUUGUCUGCUCCGACCGAGUAUACUCCUCCCGAUCCGUCUUUUAUUUUGAUGCUUGAUGAACCUUCAAUAUGAAACGCAUUUGCUUGUAUGAGAAGAAAGGAUGCAGAGUUUGCUACUUUUUUUUGGGUUCUAGAGAUACUUACAGUUGUGAUCUGCCCAUCCGAUCACCUCGUUUUCCAGAUCGUAUACUACUAACUUGUUCGAGAGCACCAAGUCUACAAAACGAUAAGUGAAAUGACUAUCGUCUAGAGUGAUAAUAUCGAAAGAAAGAUUUUAUUAGAAUUUUGAAUUUUACCUCCUAAGAGAAUCACUUCUGUUCUUUCACCAGUUGUCAGUCCACCAGCUUGCCAACCAAAGCAGUACAACUCUUUCUGUUAGCAAAAACAAAGAGACAAAUUCCAUCAAUUAAUCAUCAUAACUCGAAACAUCCUGCUAGAACAUCUCGAAACGUUUUGAUGAAAUCUCGCAAACAUCUAUUGACUUACCUCAAGUGUGAAAAGAUAAUCAUGCGGAUAAACGGUUAGUUUGACAGAGUCCUCAAACUCAAAACUUACUGGUGGGAACGCCACAUCCACGCUGCAAGUUUAAGGAGGAAGAGCUUAGCAUAUAUAUAACACACUAAAGUUAUAUAGGUAAUGAUGCAUACUACUUAAGAAAGGCUCGAUUUAUAGGUAUCUAAAAGAGAAUGGUUCGGAAAUAAACACGGUAGGGAAAAGAAACAAGCAUCUUACUUUUCACUAAAGCUGAAACAUUGGAAGGUGUCCUCUACUAUGUGAAGUUUUACAGGUUGACGAGCAAGAAUCUACAAAUCAAAAACUCAUGUCAGGAUUGUGAUUCACACAAACUAGAAAUAAACACUAAAAUGAGCAAAGAAAGUUACCGUUUCUAUUAGGGAGUCAUAAAGAACCUUUGGAAAGUAAGCCAAAGUUGUACCACUAUCAACAAUGGUUCCUCCGUUCCUCAUAAUACUUGGUGGAAGGUCAAGGGCAGUUCCAUCCACAUCCAUUCCCAUCAACAUUACAUUGUAAUGCAUCCUAAAAUCGUUGAGAAACACAUGUUAGCGGUCGCUAAGAAGGUCUUCGUAUAACAGCAACAACUCCUACUCUAACUUCUUGAUGGAAAGAAUAAAUAGACUUGAGAAGACAUAUCACGUACUGAUUAGGUACCAUAGGGGUUGUUUUAACUUUUGGAGAAUCCACAACACCAACAGCAAAAAUCCCACCUCCUUUAACAUUAUCCAAGCAAUGCGAAAAAACUCUUUUCGCAUCGCCCGUGGCAGCUAGUUGUGAAAGAACAGAGGUAUUUGAUUGUCCAAAACCCAUAACACCAUCAACUGCUGAGUCACUCUUCCCAAGUUGUCCAGAUUGAUCACUUCCACACCUGUCUCAAAGAAAAGCCCUUAUGAGAAAAAAAACACCACAAACGAUAACUCACACAAACAAAAGAUAAGGAAGAUAUUAAGCUCACCCGAAUACAACUUCUUGACCAAGUGGUCCAGUUUGAAGAUCUCCAGUAACUUGUUCUAGAGUUAACUUGUCCCUUAUAAAGUUACCUUCACUUGUACUCUCAUCCGCAUAGACAAUGUGAUAACUACAUCCAACAGCGGGUUGGCAGCUAUCCGAUUGCGAAAUGAAAGAGCAAAAAUCAUCAUCACAACCAACCUUCUUAGAAGUCGAAGAAGCAUUCACGUCGAACAACGAUAAAUGGAACUGCAUUGGCAAAAAACAACAAAGAUAUGAUCCAUCUGUGUUACCAAUUGAUAGUAAGUGAAUAAAAAGAAGGAAGCAUUACAUUCAAAUUAGUUUUCGAGGGACAUUCUGGACACGGCUUGCAAUUGACCCAAAGUAUAUCACUUCCUGUAUCAACUUGUACAUGAUAUUCCUUUGGUGGCGACCCGAGCUUGAUUUUAGUGAAGUAUAAUCUAAAACAAAAUCAAGAAAAUUUAACUUCAUUAGUACCUAAACUUACGCAUUGUCCCAAAUGAUACAUAAACUAUGUCGUAAACCAAACAAAAAUAUACGAUUACAACCAGAUCGCGUUAUAACUCUCAACUUUGCGGAAUUGCGUUGUAUCUAACUAACAUAGUAUAUAACGGACAUGAAUUUUUUCAAGCUUAUUGCCAAUUGGUUUUGAGUCGGAAGCUAUUUAUUAUACAUAAAACGGUAGCAUUUGAGAUAGAAAAAGAGAGGGAAAAAGAACAAAACCCGACAGAGUCUACGCGGCUGUCUCCGCCAAGAGGGAGAUCAAUGGAAGCGAGCAUCCGAGAGUGGCGGCGCGUGUCAUGAGACUUGAAAUGCUCGAGCUUCUUCUCUUUCCCUGCGAACUUGUGUUGUACCUUAAACACGAAAUUGCCUGAUGCAAAUUCGUUCACAAUUACGAAAACUGCAACCACAAUGCACAAUUUUCUCCUCAGUUCCAUCGCCUAUAAUAUCUUAGAUAUCUCCGGAGGAGAAAAUUUGAGAUUUUAUUUGAAUUAAUGAAUUAAAUUCUGGUGAUUUCUCUGUUUCAUAUUCAGACAAAGAAACGGCAAAAGAAAACACAGAGACGCGUUUUCAAAGACGGAUUUAGAAAAUUGCCAAAUGUGAUGUUUGAAUUUUUUUUACUUUUCAUUUAUUACAAACCAAUGCUUUUGUUUUUAUUUCUUUUAAACCGAUGCUUAUAUUAGUAAAGAAAAUCCAUUUUGGGAACUAUUGUCAAACUUGAAGAAUUCAAUAUUUAAGGAAUUAAGAUAAAAUGAUAGAAUGAAAGAAUGAUUGGUGGUUUAAAAACUAAAAUAUAAUUAUUCAGAAAAGUUGUGGGGCUAAUAAAUUUGAUAAUUAUCGUUUAAUGUUAAAAAAUGAUUUUAACUAAAAAUAAGUUUUUGUCUUGCGGGUUCAAUCCUAAUGAAUUUGAUAAGAUAAAACUUAGAAGAUAGUUUGGUCGCAAUUACUUUCUUCAUUUCGAAUGUUCUGAGCGAAUUUGGAAGCUAUCAAAAAGCUUGUAGAAGUUCCUAAAGAAUUUGAAAGCUAUGGACAGUUUCUGGAAAAUUUCUUUAGUUUUUAGUGAAAAUCUUUACAAGGAAGUGGUAUGGUGUUUCUUAUAUAUAGAAAGAUCAAGUGGGGGUGAGUACAAGGACACACCGAUUUUAUUUCGUAAAAAAUUAGAGUAAAAAAGAAAGAAAAAUUGAUUUACAGAACAUAUUUUCGUAACUUUGAAAAUGUAGUAACCGAAAAUCUUAACAAUUAGAUGAUCUAAUCCCAGCCGAGGUGUGAAUUUUUGAAGAACCUUCACUAAGUAACAACCAUUAAAAUUUUUUAAAUUGAUGACAUCAGCAGACCAAAAAAUCCUAGAAAUCACCAUAAUUUCACAAAAAAAACAAUAAAAUGUUUAUUUCUGAAUUUCGUGGAAGGACGUCAGUAUUGAAUAUUCAACGAAGAAUCGAGUUCCUUUAGAAAUAUAAUCCAAAUAUCCCAUUUAGUUAUCAAGUGAGUGUGAGGUCUCGAAUCCUUUGCUCAUUUGAUUUCAAAAUAAAGCUUCUUUCCGUUAAUUCUUAGAUUUUGAGAUGGAUUGGCUGUGGAAGAAGAAGAAGAAGAAGCCAAAAUCCGAUGUGGUGUCCGAUAUAGUGUCUGAGAGAGGAGCCAAGGUGUUAACAGAUCUGAUCGAAUUCGGCCAUGGCAUAUCCAAUCCCAUCAAAUUCUUCUCUGCUGAUGAGAUCCUCAAAGCCACCAACAAUUUCAGCGACAUUAAUCGUGUUUCUGGAUUAGCUUAUUACUCCGAUUGGUAUUCAGGUAAGAACGAGAACCAUCCCAUGAUACUCAUCAAGAAAGGUGCUAACUUUUGGAGCUCGAGAGUAGAUCUUAUGUGCCGGGACAUAGCAGUUUCAUCGAUGGUGAGUGGUCACAAAAACUUUUUGAAAUUGGUUGGAUGUUGUCUUGAGUCUGAAGAGCCAGUCAUGGUUUAUAACGGUGUUAAGAAACACUAUCGAUUAGAUAUAGAUGAGCAGACGUGGAAAAGGAGAAUGAAGAUAGCAGAAGAUAUCGCUACUGCUUUUGCUUACCUUCACACUGCCUUCCCAAGGCCCUUCAUAUAUAGGAUUUUGUAUCCUUGGAAUAUCUUAUUGGAUGAAGAUGGGGUUGCGAAGCUGACUGAUUUCUCUCUCUGCGUCUCAAUCCCAGAAGGAGAAACAUUUGUUAAGGUUGACAAAGUCUACAGUUACUUGUAUUUUUAUGACGAUAGCAGUGGCGUAGUCUCAGAGAAAACAGAUGGCUUUGCCUUUGGAAUGUUUAUGGGUCAAACGCUUCUAUUAGGAAAACAAAGAUUGUCGGAGCUUUGUGAUGGAUCUUUGCCGUCAAAAUUAAAGGAAGACCGUCGAAUCGAAGAGAUUGCAGAUCCAAAGAUGCUAGAAAAGAUGGGUAAUAAUAUUUCAGAACAAGAGCUUUGUCAAAUGGAAGCUUUCCGAAUGCUCUCACUGAGAUGCAUCGGUCCUAGGGAAGAAGUUCCAACGAUGGUGGAAGUUGCCAAAGAACUAAAGAAGAUUCAAAGAUCUCUUAAUAACGACUCUUCUUCUCCUUCUGGAGAAACCCAUUUCGACUCUCCCCAAGACAUUUCUUCCUCAGUCGUCCUCUCAAACACACACAGGCAUUGCUAAGUGCAAACAAGUGCCUGCCAGGUAUUUCACGAAAUGUUUCAAUGGGUUAUGUUUUUUUUUUCCAGUAAAAAGUCGAAGAAUGUACUGAAAAUAAGUUCGAUUCAUGUUCGUAUACAUUAUCAAGUUUCAUUUUGUUUACUUUUGCGUAAUUUUUUGUUGUAUUUAUAAAUAAUUGUGAGUUCUUUGUGAGACUUUGGUCUAGCAAUGUGCUAGAAGAGAGAUCUAUGUUUAUCUCUUUGUAAUCGUUUGCGAGUGAGAGUUCACGAUUGUAUCUCUUAUUUCAGAUUGAUUAAUACUUUGGUAAUCGAUCAGAUCUUAGCUAUUUGAAUAUCGAAGUUGUUCUUAAUCUCUGGGUCAACGGAAAUCUAUCAUAGUGCUACGUUACUUUUAAUUCUAUUGUGAGAUCCUACCUUAAAGCUUGUGUAUGGUUACCACUUACCAUUUGUAAGUCUAAAUAGUAAAUAGUGUUUUUUUUUUUUUGGUUACAAAAAUAUUGAAAGCCUUAAGUACAGAAUAUCACACAAUAUCCACACUUUUUGUCUGGAUAUUAUUUACAUAUUUUUCGUAUAGUUACCACUUGAUGUCUAAAUUGUUUUGAUUCCACAAAUAGUGAAAGCAUUUUAGCCUAUGGACACAAUUUGUAAAACUUCUUUUGGAGUUGUAUUUUGCAUAUUAAGAAUCGAAGAAUAUUAGUGAAUUAUUAUGAUCGUCAUUUUAAAACGUGUAUGAGCUUACAACAAUUUCAUAAGCAUGAGAAUAUGUCAAUCUUUGAACAAACACCAAUUACUUACUACCAAGUGAAACCUUCACUCCUCUCUCUUCACCUCCAUUCUAAAUCUCUCAUCCUCUUCUCGUCUUUCCACACAUAUUAAUCUCCCCCAACAACACAUAAUUCGCCCGUUUCUCUAGCUCUUUCUUCCACAAUUCCUUCUCAAAUUUGCCGGUUUUGUCGUUUCGACCCUUGCAGGCUAUAUCUAUGGAAGGGUAGAGUCGCUUUUGUUUGCUUUGUGUAAUUUUUAUUUCCAAUUUUAAAUAAAAUAUCCUUAGAGACAAAAAAAUAAAUUUCAUGUAGAUGAUUUUCUUUACACGCGCAUACACGAUAGCUGCCGAAUAACCGUUUCCCACUCGAUCAACUCAUGCAGACUAUCGAACAUCCCGAUAAUCGGAAAAACCCGAAACAUCGGAAUAACUACUCAUCCGAUCCGAAAAUACCGGAGUCUAACUCAACCAGUUGGUAAUUCUCUCGGUAAUACGAGGACCCGUCGAUCACUUUGAGGAAUCUUCGAUCACCCUCGGAUCUACUCAAGUACACUCAACCCUAUGUUCGGCAAGGUACCCUUGGCACCACCCAGAAUACAUGGGAGACGGGCGUUACACUUGCCCUCCUCUCCACGCUGUCAUUCUAUGUGUAUGUAAAUGUAUUUCUUUGACCAAAACGACGUAGGAUUAGAAAAGAAAAAAAAAAUCGGAACAACAUCCGAGUAGCCUCCGAGACCACAAACAUCUUCCAAUCAACCAAAAGCGAAAACGAGAGAAGGAGAAGAGUCGAAAUCGGAACAGUUCCUUCCGCCAUUGAAAUGGCUCUCAAAGCUUCACCAGUUGCCGGAUUAUUCCCUCCUCUCCGUCCUACUGCUUCUUCUUCUCCUUCGACUUCUAAUCGCCCUUGUUCCCUCAGGGUUCUACCCCUCAGACCAUCCUUCUUCGGUAACUCAAGUGUGUAUCCGUCGUCUCUUAUUCGCCUCAGGGUUUUGAUUUCUCUUCAUUUCAUUAGGCUUGCUCAUUGUUUGAAUUACUCGGAAGAAAAUAGUGCAGCUAUCUAGAAUUUGUUUGAAAAAAACUGUGAACGUGAUUGGCCAGAGAGUGAAUUGAAGUAAAAUUGGGUAUUGACCAUGUUUGAGUUUACCUGAAAAACUUGUGAAGGUGAUUUGUCAGAGAGUGAACCGAAGUAAAUAGGGUCUAUGAAAUUUAGUGUAUGAUUUUGUGUUUCUGAUUUAGUAUCUAUGAAAUUUAGAGAUAAAUAGGGUCUCUCAUGCUUCCAUAUACUCUUUGGGGUGACCUUGUGUGAAAAUGCACGACAAGGUCUUAUUCUUAGUCAUUUUCUAUAACUUCGGUAUACGUUUGACUGUUUCACAUGUCUAACAUUUAGUUCUCUUGCUUUUUAGUUAUGUUGUUGGUUUGAUGUUUCCAUGGCCUUAUUGUUAGACUCAAAAGGAUUAUUGUUUUUUUCUAUACAAGGUGGAGCUCUGAGAGUGAAUGUGCUUAGAUUAGCUUGUGCAAAUAGACUCAGGUGCAAUGGUCAUGGUGCUACAAUGAAUCUUUUUGAACGAUUUUCUAGAGUGGUCAAGGUACUUUUAAUCUUCCUGAUUCUGUAUCUGACUGUCAUAAUGCAUUGGAGUUCAUUAAUCAGUUCUCUUGUUUAUUUUUCAUUUCAAUAAGCAAAGUCAUAUGCCAAUGCGCUCAUAAGCUCUUUUGAAGACCCGGAGAAAAUACUUGAGCAAACUGUGAUUGAAAUGAAUAGUGAUUUGACAAAGAUGCGUCAAGCCACUGCACAGGUACACUUCUUACUCGUGAAAAAGCUUUAUACAUGUCCCUUUGUGAUGUUUUUCUUCUUCAUUUUUUUACUAGAGCAUGGUUUGCCUUUAUUUAUGAGGUUAGCUAACUUGUGUAUUACCAACGUGUCUGAAGGUUUUAGCAUCACAAAAGCAGUUGCAGAACAAAUAUAAAGCUGCACAGCAGGCUUCUGAUGAUUGGUAUGUUUGUUAGCUUGGAUCCGUUCUUUCUUACUUAAUUCUUCACAUAACUGAUUAUUCUUACAUGUUGCACGCUUGAAUAGGUACAAAAGGGCACAACUUGCUCUUGCAAAAGGAGAUGAGGAUCUUGCACGUGAGGCCCUUAAACGACGAAAGUCUUUUGCUGUAGGUUAUAUCUAUCCAUUCUCUUCUUCACCAGUUUUCUGUUUCUUAAGUGUGCUUACUCCAACAAAUGAAAGAACCUAAUUGUUUGGCGCUUCGAGCGUUUUGAGGCUGAUCCCUUGGUUUUCUACAAGGUUUAGUUAGGAGGUGGUGAAAGUAAAAAGGAAAAAUUUAGAUAUCUAAGUAUUCUCUAAUUCUCCUCAGGAUUUCCCCCCCCCCCCCCCCUUUUUUUUCCAAUCAUUUUUAGAUGCAAUAGAGCUUGGCUGUGUUUAUAAUGCCGAGUAUUCUUUUGAAAGAUAUUGUUUGUUAAGGUGGUUGCAGUGUUAGAACAAAAGAGAUUUUGGAUAUAUAUAACACUACAGAUGCAGCCAAAAACGAUCCUUCUGUGUUUCUACAUAUUAGGAUGUUGACUAUUGUCUUUCAGUAUCAGAAAAAAAAUAAAAUUUUGGUUAUAUUUAGCACUGCAGAAACAGCCAACACGAGUCUUCAGUGUUUUCUACAUAUCAGUAUGUAGGCUAUCAUCUUUGAUGUGCUUCUGUUUGAGCAACGGACCGUAUGGCUCUUUUUCAGUUUUGUUGAUUAUGUAUUAUUUUGUGUAACCUUUGCAAAUGGCUAACGAAUUGAAGGCAGGCACAUUAUCGCUAUCUUUUGCCUGCUGAUACCUUUUAACUAUUGAAGUCUUUGAAUACAUGCAUUGUCUUGGUUACAUUACAAAAGUAUCUAGAACUUUUUGUUUUGAAGUUAUUUAUUUGUUCACCUUUUUCUUAACAGGACAACGCAAGUGCUCUGAAAACUCAACUAGAUCAGCAAAAAGGUGUUGUCGACAAUCUUGUUUCAAAUACAAGGGUUAGUUUUCGUCAUUUUUAUCUAUAUAGUUUGACUUACUACAAACUGUUGGAUUCUUUAGAGCUAUGAUUAUAUGAAAUUUUCUUCACGGCAUUACUCAAUAAAACAAAGAAUCAUGUAUACAUAAUUUUCAUCAUGCCACCAUAACAUUUGAAUGGUUUAGAGAUAGUACCAGAGUUGAACCUGAAUUAUGAUACCUCCGUUUUAAGAUUCAUAUGCUAAGUAUCUCUCUUCACGUUUUGUACUAAGGCACUAUUGUGUUUCUAUGGACAUAAUGUAGAAGAUAUUUAGAUUAUUAUCUGUAUUUUCAGAAUUCUUCCAUUUCGAAAGCAUAUGAUUCUUAUAUUUUCUGAAAUUGCUUAUGGCAAAGUUUGGUACUUAGAAAAUUGAGUUUGUAAACAUUAUGUUGUUUCCUUUUCUCUGUGCAGCUCUUGGAGAGUAAGAUACAAGAGGCAAAAGCAAAGAAAGAUACGCUCCUUGCACGUGCUCGCACUGCUAAGUUUGUCUCAUUUACCUAUUAUUCUUCUUUACAUCUUUUAUGGGAAGCUCGUCCAUACAGAGUGUUUCUUCUUGAUUUAUAUAUUGUCCCAACACCUUUUUUUUUUUUUUUUAAAUAAUUCUGCUAGGACCGCAACCAAAGUGCAAGAGAUGAUAGGGACAGUAAAUACAAGCGGUGCUCUUUCAGCUUUUGAGAAAAUGGAGGAGAAAGGUAUGAUCUAUUGAUCCUCCAACUUGAACAAAACUUAUAAAAACUUGUCUAUGCGUAACCAACAGCAAUUAGUCCUACUAUUCGUUUCUAAAUUUGAAGUUUGGCCUGUAGUUAGGAUUACCAUUCAGUCUCUGAAAGUGAGUUGAGAGGCCACCUUUUUUCAUAGAUGUGUUACUUUCUCUCUGUUAGCUUGUACUACUUCAGACCUAGGCGAUGGGGUGCCAUGAGAAAUAGGGCUCAGAUUCUGGGCGACGUGGAUGUGGAAUUAGUGUUGUAGUUACCUCAUGCAAAACAAUAGAACAGUAAUAUAAUGUGUGCAAUGUGACGUCGGAGUAAAAGAUAAACUUAGUGGAAUCCUUUCUUGUUUAGGUACAAGAGAGAAAUCACACUGGAUAACUUUUUUUUUGCUAUUUCUAGCAAUUCAUUUAGGUUCUGGUUGAUUAAUGUUAGUCCGUGCAGAUAUACCCCUCUUAUUCUUUCUGUAAAUCUCUGAGUUGCUAGUAUCAGAAGUCUGAAGUUGGAAUUUUUCAUUGUGAAAGACUUUACUUUCUGCUUUUUGAUGUAUGCUCAUUAGUAGAGACUAAAAUCUAGAAAGUGCUUGACAGUGAUGGCUAUGGAGUCUGAAGCAGAUGCACUAACUCAGAUUGGAACCGAUGAACUCGAGGGGAAGGUUGGUUGUCUAUCUCUUGUCUUUGUAUUUCUAUGAGGAGAAGAAUCUUUCUUUCUCUUUUAAAUUUGUUUCAGAGGUAAAAUCUUGCAUUUAUUAGGGUUCGCUGCUUUAUCUAAUAUCUUCUAUUUCUAUGACUGAGAGGAUGGUCUAAUCUGGUUUACUGUCUGUUUGUUGGUUGGAAGAACUUGUAUAUAUACAAUCAUCUUGACAUUAACGUGUAUUUCUUUGUGACUUGCAGUUUCAAAUGCUUGAAACUUCAUCUGUGGAUGAUGAUCUUGCGAACUUGAAGAAAGAAUUGUCCGGAAGCUCAAAGGUUUGUAAAACGUCGAUUAUCAUAUUAGCUCCUUGGAGUAUAUAAUCUCAUCACUCACCAAAAUAUCAUGUCCACAAGCUACCAUAUUGCAAAUUACCGUCUGAAAAGACAGAUGGGUUCAGCAAGUUGGGAUGGUUCCUAUGAACACUGAAAUCAACAAUUCAAACUCAAAUUACUUCCAUUUUUACCUUACUCCCUUAUUUCAUGUUUGACUAUAUCCUACUUUGCUACUAACAUUUUACUUCACUCUGAGUUAAGAGUUUGUAAAACAUACUCAUAGUUAUCCUCUGUUGCGCAGAAAGGAGAGCUUCCUCCAGGGAGAAGCACCGUUGCAGCAAGCACGAGAUACCCUUUCAAAGACUCAGAGAUCGAGAAUGAGUUAAACGAACUGCGAAGGAAAGCUAACGACUUUUAGAUAUCGGCUGUUUCCGAGUUGUUACUGGGUUAGGUUCCUGCUGUAAACUAUCCUUGUGUCUUGUAGAAAGACACCAAAAGCAUGUGUGGGUACUCUUUAAGUAAAUAUCCAGCUAUCUAAUCCCCAUUUAUAGUUGGUUUAUGUACAUUCAGACACUUUUGAAAGUGUUGUUUCACACUUUGACUCACUUUGUGUCAAGUGGACACUUUUUAUAGGCUCUUUACCCUCAUAACCCUCUAUCAUGCUCUUAACUAGAUACAAAAACUCUAUUUACCAUUCCUGCAAUCCCAAAUUUCAAUUUGUACUAACUAAAUAAAACAAAACAACACUGAGGAGCUGUUGAAGAAGAUACGGGAGCUAGAAAGAAAGCCAAGAGCAUAUGAAACAGGAGAUGUCGAGGCUUAAGGUAUCGGCGGAUUUAAAGCAGCAUUCGCAUUUGCAUUCACAUUUAGGAUGAAAUUUUCAUCACAGGUGUGUGGUUGAUCUGGAGACCCAAUUGGUGUGUCAAGACAUUUUUGUUAACAAGUAAGGCAUAAAAGAAAGAUCGAUUAAAAUUGAAAUAGAAAUGCUCGUCUUCCAUGUUGAGUUGUCUUUCCAGAAAAACAUGUUGCCAUAUUUUCGUAGCCAAUCGUCUUUAGAAACUAUGAGGUAUGUCUAAUCAGCUGUACCCCCUCAACAUUGCAAUUCAAUUUGUUCAUUGUUUCAAACACAUUGGAUACUUAAAGAGCUUAACAAUGAGGUUUGAGAUGUUACCAAAAGUUGGGUUAGCCACAAACACAGUUGUGCCAGAAAUCCUUGAUAUUGCUAGUCAUGUUUCAACUUUCAAACCAUAUGAACUGGGCGUCUCGGGAUAGUUUUGUGCCAAGACUCUCUAGUGAUUUCUUUCGCUAUCCUUUUUUUUUCUUUCCUGAAUUAAGUAAACCAAAAUGGCGAAAACAUUACUAGGUAACAAAUAUAUGUGAUAUAAGAUAAGCAAGAACAAACCGCCAACUAUUUACGUAGUACGAUCAAUUCCCCAAAUAUGGAUGCUGAUUUGAGCAUAACAUGGUCACUAUCACUAGAGUGAAACAAAAAAAAAAAAAAAAAAAAAAAAAAAAAAAAAAAAAAAAAAUCACUAGAGUGAAACCAGUAACAUCUAUGAGAGAAGAAGUGGACGUACGGAAGCAAUUCAGGCCAGCCUACCUUCGCUUCCGCAAACAUACAACAAUUUUAGUUAAAAAAUUAACUUAUAUAGUUGAGUUGACUAUCAAAAACGAAAAAUAUCAAGUCGCGGUUAAAUUGAAAUGUAAACUAGUUUAACUACAUGCUGAAUUUUUUUUUUUUUUUGGUAAACAAACUACAUGCUGAAUUUGAAAACACGAUUCAUUACUGUAACGUGUAUAAAUACCAACCCUUGAUUUUUUACUAAAAAAUAAAUAAGUACUGAUUAAGUGGUUACUAACGCAAGUAACGCAUCCGUCUCAAAUUCUUUCAACAUCCUUCUCAUGUGUGGCCAAUAGGCAGGACCGACCCUGACCUAAAGCCCAACAAGCAAAGGUUUUAGGGGCCAAAAUAUAUAUAAGAUUUUAAGGGCAUCAAAUUAGUAAAAUGACUGUUCCGGAUUUUACCCUUUCUCAUGAUCCGGGUUUGAACCUCUCAAGCAACAUUUUGCUAUAUUUUUAUUAUUUGUGGGCAAAAUAACUUUUUUGGAUUUUAGGCAGCCCAUAGUAUUGGGCCGGCUCUGCCAAUAGGGUUGAACCUUAGAUUUAUGAGAUCACUUUCUUUAGCUAUCCCUAUGCAUCCUUGGAAUGAUAUAUUAAUCGACUUUGUGGUUGGAUUGCCUAAGACAAGAAUUGGUAAAGUUUCAUUUUUUGCGGUUUUUGAUAGAUUCUCUAAAAUGGCACAUUUCAUUGUUUGUGACAAAAUUGAUGGUGCAUUGCACAUUGCUAAUAUGUUCUUUAAUGAAGUAGUCCAUUUGGAUGGCAUGCCUAGGACUAUAGUUUCGGACAGGGACACUAAGUUUCUAAGUUACUUUUGGAAAACUCUAUGGUCUAAAUUAGGGACUAAGCUCUUAUUCUCUAUUACAUGUAACACUCUAACUGAUGGACAAACAGAAAUAGUUAAUAGAACCUUAUCUACUCUUUUGCGGGCAUUGAUUAAUAAGAACUUGAAACUUGGUAAGAUUGUUUGCCUCAUGUUGAAUUUUCAUAAAACUAUUAAGUGCAUUCUUAUUCUGAGACUAUUCUCUUUUUCAGAUAUGCGGCAUUUACAUGCAAUUAAGAAACCGCAUGUUUAGAAUGAAACCAUGAGGAGGGAAUUUCUUGUGCUAGCAUGAAUUAUUGAUAUAGUUUUAAAAGUUGACCAUUAAUUAGCAAAAUCUAAGAAUUUUUGUAGCAAAACAUAAGAAUAUAGGAAAAAAUAACAUACAAAUAAUCUAAUAAUAAUAACAAUCCCAAUAAAUUCCUUUUGCACUUGUGAAUGGUUCUGUCUUUUUAUCGCAAGUUUUCGUUAUUUUUUUAAAAACUAAAACAUAUAUUUUAUGUUUUUUUUAGAAAGUUGCAAUCCGAAUAAUUGUCUUCUAUUGGUUGCGUAUUUGUGUAUGUUCUAAUCUUAUAACUAGAUUCAGAUAAUUCUGAAAGUGGUGAUAUAAUCAUUGAAAAACUUAGAAGUGCAUUUUUUUUGUUAUUUCUAAAAUACCAAAAAUAAUAGAUUUAAAUAUUUAAAAUCAGCCUUUCAAAAUUUUCUCUAGUUUCGAUUUUUAUGGAAGUGGCUGUUUUAUUUAUAUAUAUUUAAGCAAAAGCUAAGAAGAAAAAGAAGCAAAAAUUAAGCAAAACUUAACAAAAAAAAAGUAAGACAAUUUUCUUUUAAUAUCAAAUCAUGAUUUAAAAAAAUAGAAAUGAUAUAUUUAAAACAAAAAAAAGAACAACUAUUGAGUAAUUACGACACUAAAAAAUGUUAUUAAUAUGAUGGGCCAUGUGUACUUAUGAUACUUGAUAACUAGAUUUUAACCCGCGGUACACCGCGGGAUGAUUUAAUUUUAAAGUUAGUAUAAAAAUAUUUUGUAAAUUGUAUCUCCUUAUAACAUAUUUAUUUAUAUUAUAGUUUACAAUUGUUAUUAAGUAACGGUAUACCACGAGUCCACGAGAUAAUUAUUAAUAAACUGAGGAUUUAACCCGUAUUAAAGCGGUAUAUAAAUAUUGAUUCAAAUUCGUCCGCCAUAUAAAUCAUUUCCGAAAUAUAACCCGUUCCGUAGUUUCUUAACCCGUCCUGUGAUUUGUAUUAAAAAAAAUAAGGAUUAAAUCCGUAUUGAAGCGGCAGAUUAAUGAUAUUUUAAUCUUUUUAUUAUUGUUGAUUCAAAAACCCGUCCCGCCAAACCCAUCCCGCCAAAAAACUCAUUUAUUUUAUUGAUGUUCUUAUUUAUGAUAUGAUUCUGAAUCAUUGUCUAAAUAUUUUAAUCGAUGUAGAACGUUGAACACACAUUUUCGUCAAUUGGAUAAUAUAUGUCCGUUUUUAAAAUUUCGAAUCACAGUAUAUGAAGAAAAAAAAUUGAUUUUUUUUUUACUUUAUGUAUUAUAUGAUGAUUCAAAACAGUUAAAAAAAAUCAAACAAAGAUGAUAGGAGAAUCAUAAUUAUAAAUCUUAAUCAAAUCUUCUAAAAAUCUAAAUUAUUAAAUAUGGAAUAUCCGGUGUAUGAGUUGGGUUAAAUAUAAUCCGACUCAAAAAAAUUUUGUGAAGGAAUUUUUAAAAUGGGUCGGAUAUCCGAUAUAACCGAAAGCUUUUUUACCCACCCGUCACAAAAAGUGCUGCAAUUAUACUAGUAUAGAUAUUAUAAAAUCAAAAUCGAAAGAUGAAAUUGAUAGGGAGAUCAAACAUACCGUCCAAUACGUAAAAAGUCUUGGUGGGUGGUCACCAUACCUGUUGGGGAAAACCUAAAUCAUGAAUAAUAUGAUUUUAUGUUUAGUCAUUUGCGUACAUAAUUCUGAUAAUGUUUUGAUGCAUGGAAAAAAAUAAAUGCAAUUGUUAAUGUUUAAAACUUACUUGCCAAGUGCCAACCCGCCUCGAUCGUGUUGAGAUCGUUGGUCUCGUUAUUUCCUAAGCUAAACUGAAGUCGUCCGGUGAUCCCAUACAAUAAUCGUAGCUUUGGUUCCGUAAAUGUGUGGUUGGUUAUCCACAUAUGCGAUUGCAUAUUGUUGUGUCCACUAAAAGUAUAUCAGAUUAUAUAAAAAAAAAAUGUAUACAAGAUUAUUUACAUCACAUGUUAUGUAUGAAAGUAGGCCUCUAAGGCACUAAGACCAAUAUAUUUUUGGCCUUCAUAAUUUAAUAACUAGAUCCAGAUAAUCCUAAUAAAGGUGAUGUAAAUUAUUUAAUCAUUGAAAGAAUUAGAAGUGCAAAUUUUUCUUGUUUUUUUCUAAAAUGCCAAAAGUAAUAGAUUUAAAUGUGAUAAAAUUAGCCUUUCAAUUUUUCUCUAGUUUUGGAUUUCGAUGGAAGUGGCUGUUUUAUAGAUAUAUUAUUAUUAUUAUUAUUAUAUAUAUAUAUAUAUAUAUAUAUAUUUAAGCAAAACAUAAGAAGAAAAAUAAGCAAAACAUAACCAAUUUUUUUUUUAAUAUCAAAUUCAUGAUUAAAAAAAUAGAAAUGAUAAAAAAAUUUUAAAAACAACUAUUGACUAAUUAUGACACUAAAAAAAUGUAACAAUACAAAUAAAAUAACUCGAAAAACUUCUAUGAUCUUAUUCUUAUAGACAAACAAUAUACACUAUACAACUCUAGUAUAACUUGUAAGUUGUAACAAAUUUACAAGUUGUCAAAGAGGAUUUCUAAAAUAAAUUGUAACUUGACUAAAUGCAAAGCCUUUUUAACGAAAAGAAAUUUUUUGACCCAAGGACUUCAAUGAUAACGUAUUUUUUAACAUUAUCACUAUCGUACAUAUUGUUUUAUGGACUGCUCACAUAAUUUUGUGUAUUCAGUACUUUUUUACUAAACUACAUCUUUUAUAUUCAUAUCAGAGAUGAUAAAACAUUAUUCUUGAGUUAGCAUUUGUUAAAGUAAAAUUUAAUUGUUACAAACGAAAAAAACCACUUCUACCAAGUAAAUCGUUUUACAACCCAAACAAACAAAUCGUUUUACAACCCAAACAAGUAAAUGGUAACGACUUUUAAUUAUCCAUGUAGAGACUUUGACUGUAAAAGCUUUCGCUGUAGAAACUUUUGCUUUAAAGACUUUGAUCGUAUAAAUUUUAUAACUGAUUAGUAAAGAAUAUGACUGUAAAAAUUACAAUUUUAAACAAGGAAGUUGUUGAGGUUCUUUCUGAAUCUUUGGUAGUUGAGACGGUCCAAGGAUGAGGAUAGUUGGUUUGACGUUGUGAGCACCACAAGCGCGUUUGCUAGCCUAGUAAAAAAAGAAGAAAUUCCGAAAAUUUUAAAACUUGUAAAUAGUCAAAUAUUUUAGCCAUUUAAUUUGUCCACAAUACCCAACUUAUAUACAAAAUAUUUAUAUUAUUAAAAUAAAAAUAUUUAUAUUUUUAUAUUCAAACAAUCCUUACCAUUAAAUUUUUACUAUUCAUACAACCAAAUACAAUUAAAAGAUUUUAACAUUAAUUAUAAAAUCAGCAUAUAUAAUAUUUUCACAAUUAAUAAUCUAUAUAUUUAAAAGAUUUUAUUAACAUUUAAAAUUAUGAUUCUUAAUCAUUUUUAUUUGAUAUUUAAUUGCUUUAUAAUCAUCAUAUAAUACAUCAAGAUAAUAAUAAUAUAGUCUCUUUACAUGAAUAAUGUUGUAGUUGGUUGAUCAAAAAAAAAAAAAGAAUAAUGUUGUAGUUGUAUGGAUGUCCAUUAUAGGUCCAUUAGUAGAGUCUAGAAGGUUAUAGAAGAUGUGAUCUCUAACAUAAAAUCUAAUGUUUAAUUCCUAUAUAUAUAUCGUGUAUCUUAUGGAAUCUAUCAAUAACAAAAAAACAAAUUCUUAAACCUAUUUGUUCACAACACGUUAUCGACACCUAGCCGCUUGAGUUAAAAAUAAAUUUCUAUCAAAAUCCUACCCGUUUUCUAACAUCUCAACUCCAUCUUCGAUUUUGAGCUCUGAUCCCUCUAAACAUACGUUUCAUUCUGAAAGAUAAGUCACCACAUGCUUUAUAUUCGAUCGGUAUAUAGUUUAUGGUUUAUCGGUUUGUUUGAUCGGUUGUCGCUUAGUGAACCAUGCUUCUAUCGUUUGAUUUAUUUUAUUUAAUAAUUAUAGUUUAUAUAGGUUUAUUAUCGCUAGAAUAUUAUUAUGCUUUUAGUCAGGCCGACUCAAAAUAUUAUUGGGCACUGUGCUAUGUUGCAAAUGUUUUUUAUAUGAUGACCUAAAUGUUUAACAAUUAAAAACUUAGACUCUAUUUUGUAAUUAUUUGAAUAUUUUGGACCCUAAAAUACCAAGAAAAAAUAAAUAAAAAAAUAGAACCCUGUGCUCUUCCACACUCAGCACACUCCAAGAGCCGAGCCUGCUUUUAGUGUCAAUAAAAUUUAUUUGAUUGUGUCAUAAGUAAAAAGCAGCUAAAUUUUUAAUUCCACCUGGUCAAUAUUGUCAUGCUUUGGUUUGGUUAAUUCUCCUACUGUUUAUGUAGGAGUACUAGAUCAUGACCCGUGCUGUAUAGCACGGGGUUUUAUUAUUUUUUUUUGAAAUAUAUUGUUCAUUUAAUUUGAAAUAUGUAAAAAUAACAUAGUGUAAUAGUUUAGUAUAAAAGGGAAUUAAUCAUAUAGUUUUAUGUUUAUUACUAUUUGGAUAUUAUAUUGUGUAGUAGUUAUUUGACGAUAAUUUGUAUAUUUUGAUUGUAGAAGUAAAUAAUACUAUAAAAUUUAUUUUAGAUAUAUUUUCCUUAUAAUAGUUGGUUACUUUAAUUUAUAUUGUUUAACACUACAUGAAUUUUAAUUUGGUUGAAGACAUGAAUUGCUAAUAAAAUGAUGUAGUAUAUAUUAUCUUAGAAUUGAAUAUAUUUAGUUGCAUUAGAUUUGUAUUUUGUUUUAUAAGAUUAACAAUUUAUUUAGUUAAGUAGUAAUUGAUAAUUAGAUAUAAAAAAGAAAUUGUUGUAUUGGUCUGAGUUGUUUAGUGGGCUAUUUUGGGUUUAUUUGGCCCAGUUUGUUUGUUUAAAAAAAAAAAAAAAAAAAAACAACAACAAAAAAAAAACAGAUCGGCAAACGGGAAAUUUCAGACAGUUAAUCCCAGAAAACUAAUGUCGAAUUCUACCCAAAUUUUUUCAAAUUCGACCUCAAAGACAACACAGAUUGAAUUUCUUGCCCAAUCCGUUCAUAUAUUUCGAGUAAUUGAAGCACGUCGGAGUGGUGAUCAAAGGUAAAAUUCAAACCGAACGAUUUUGUUUAUAAGUUACAGAAAUCGAUUAAUUAAGUUCGUGAGCUGAUUGAUGAUUAUAUCGAUUUAAGAAACAACAAAUUAUGCAAUAGCUGAUUGCAGAUUUGAAUAAAAUUCUCGAUAAUGAAAUUGUCGAUUUCAAUGAGUUGUGAAGAAGAAGAUCAGCGAUGAAUCUAAACACGGUUGAUCUACUUCAGCAUGCAAUUCAAGAACAGCUGAUUGCAACAGUAGACAAACACAUAAAUGUCCAGGUAAUUGAUAAUGACCACUAUUGUUUAUUAGUUAAACAAAUUGAUCUAUAUGUUAUUGAACUGAUUGAUGCAUGAAUCGUUUUUUAGAUUUGGUAACAAAUGAAACAUUUGAUUUUGAAACAUGUAGAUUAGAAUAUUGAAUUCAUAAUAGAAUUGUAAAAUCGAUAUACUGAGUUAAACAGAGUGAUGGCAUUCAUUUGUUUAGAAGAAGAAAAAGUUCUAUAAUCUAAAUUCGAGUCUGGUAAAUAAAUGAAAGAAAAACCAAAAAAUGAAAAACUUUAAAACUAAUGCUGUUGCUUCUUCAAAUGCAGAAGAAUGGUUUUCAUACUCUUAUCCCUUUAAACACGUCCUGAGUAUACUUCAUCCUUUCAAUUCCUUGUUUUGAUGCUGAAAAGUUGUAGAAAAUGAAAAUAGAAAACAACAUAAUGUCAUCAGUCAUAAAAACAACUUCUACUCUAGUCUAUAAGAAUGAAGAAAACCAUUAUGAUUAGUUAACAUAUUUACCUAGUCGAAUUGGAACUCUUUUAGAUUCUUUCCAUGACUGUCUUUAGUGAAGGUUUUGAAAGACUUCUUUAUAAACUACAUUCAUUGUUUUACUCUGUGGCUUACCUUUCUUGUCUGUUAUAAGAAUCUUCAAACCUGAUAUAAGGGUAAAAUUAAUAAUCUUAUACAUAAUUUAAACAGUCAUAUUCUGGAUAUAAGUAUCUUCAUACCUGAUUUUGACGACACUCUAGAGAUUGCCACGUAUAGUUGACCAUGUGAAAAAACAGGUCUAGGCAAAUAAAGUCCAACGGAAGAUAGUGUCUGUCCUUGACUCUUGUUUAUGGUCAUGGCAAAAGCAACAGAUAGAGGAAAUUGCCUACGCCUCAUUUUGAAAGGCAAUCUGGCAUCUGAUGGUGUGAUGAGCAUUCUAGGAAUCAGAACAAUCUUACCAACUUUGUUACCUGUGAUAACUCUAGCUUCAAUUACCGUGUCUGCCAUUUGAGUGACCUGUAAUCUUGUCCCAUUGCAUAAACCUUUAUUAGGAUCCGUGUUUCUGAGUAGCAUGACCGGACAACCAAUCUUCACACGCAAACAAUGGUUUGGCAAUCCAGAAACUCUAACACUGUUCAGAAAAUCAGGAGAAUAUGCGACAUCAUUCGCAGCACUUGUGUCUGAAGGGUCUAUACUAUCAGAACUUAGGUAAAUUCUCUCUUCACCUAAAAACAGAAUGAAUAUGGAUGCAAAUUUGAUAUAAGCUUGUAUUGAAAUUGUAUCAUAUUCAUCUGAAAAAAAUAAAUAAGGAAUGGUAAAAGUUAACUAACCAUCCAACAUACUCAGCAUAUGCUCAUUUAUGUUGUUGACAUCCUCAUUAGUAGGACAGAGAAUAGCUCUACCUUGAAAAAAUUUAGGAUCUUUCUCCACCAUAAAGGUAUUUCCAUAAACUGCAUCGAUGAUGGAUUCGAUUGGAUCUUUAUCCCGAGUUAUAAGUAACUCUUUUGGGAUGUCAAUCAUAGCAAUUCCAUCAUUAGGCUGUGGCAAUUUUGCCAUCUCCAACAUCUAGUAUCCACUUUGAGAAUUCCUCUAUUUCCCGCUUUUCAAGGUCACUAAUGUUUGCAAGAAGUCUCAUAUUCUUUGUUAGCUCCAAAAAUCUGCAAUGCUCCCAAAUAUAAGAAGAAUUAAGCGCAGCAAACACAAUCUCCUCUCUACCAGCACCAUUGAUAACCGGUAACACUUGUCUGAAAUCACCUCCAAAAACUAUAACUUUACCGCCAAAAGGCUUGUCCUCUGGAUUAUUCAUAAUAUCUCUCAGAGUUCUAUCCAAAGAUUCAAAGCAAUGCUUACUCAUCAUAGGAGCUUCAUCCCAAAUAAUUAACUUUGCCCGGGUAACCAACUCACCAAGAUCUGAUCCACGUGAAAUGUUACAUGUAGACGCCUCAUUGGGAUUUAAAGGAAUACCAAACCUGGAGUGUGCUGUUCGACCGCCAUCUAAAAGCAGAGCAGCAAUACCGCUAGAAGCGACAUUUAAGCAUAUGUCCCCUUUUGAUCUAAUAGCAGCAGACAAUAAUUUCCAAAGAAAAGUUUUUCCAGUACCUCCAAAGCCGUAAACAAAAAACACUCCGCCUGUAUCGUGAUUCACAGCAUUCAUAAUCUCAUCAUAUAUCUUCUUUUGUUCUGGAGUCACCUUAGCCAACCAUUCUUCAUGUUUUUCUUUCAAUUCUGCACGGUUGUACUUGAGUUCAUCCAAUAGAAAAUGAUUGCAUUUUUCAACGUCUUCCGAUGAAACUUGUGGCAUCUGCUUCCAUUUUGUAAGUGAAACUCCAUUUUUUGUUAGCAGCCUAUCUAUCUCUUGCAAACAAAAUUCCUGUUUCUCCUCAUCACUUAGAUGGAGAUCUGCAACAUUUACAAAAACAUACCAACAAAAUAAAGUUACUCACCAUCAAUAUAUUAACUGCUAAUCAUUCAAAUUAGUAAAAUAAAAGUUGUAUAUGAUAGUUCCAAAUAGAAUAUAUAGAUACUACUACAAAACCUUGUCGUUGCCAUUCUCUUCUUUUUCUGCGCUCAAUAUCUUCUGAUAAAAUCUUCCAUGUUUCCUCCCAUACCUUCUCUGGUUUCGUUAAACUUUCUGAAAGUAGCAUAAUGACAAAUAGCCUCCGAACAUACUUUGCAGAGCACCAAAAAUUUGCAUCUUUGAUACCCUUGAUAUACUCUUUGUCAUCAUCUAGCAAUCCUAAAGCGAAAACCGCAUCUCUGAAGGAUUCGUGAACAACACUUUUCACAGUUUUGAGAUCUUUAUAUCCUGUAGCACCUCUUUUGAUGUUUAAGAGGAUUCUCAAAUAAUAAGCAUCCUCUAUUGUACGUGGAACAAAGUUAAUCCUUCCAAUAGCAAAUCCUCUAUCUCUGAUCACAAAUUUUUUUUCUUUGCUGUUCCAAGUGAAGUGAUUUGGAACUUCUUCAAAUAAGAGCUUGGUUGGAUCAGGAGCAGGCUUUGGCGGUUUUUUCGCAUUAGCACGGACUUUUCUACUUGGAGGAUUCUUGUUAAGCUGAAACCACGCCAAAAAUUGAGUAGCUUCACUGCUUAAUCGACUCAUAACACUCUCUUUGGUUUCACCUGGUUUGUAAAAGACUGGUUGUUUUCCUUCUUCAUGAAAGUAAAGUUUAACAACUGGUGUUGUUCGAUGAUGUAUGGGAAAUUUGAAAAUUCUCCAUAUAGCUUCACAAGCAGAUACGUACCUGUUCAAAUUGUAAUAAGAAACUGCCAUUAACAAAGUGAUGUAUAAUCACAAUCAGACUAUAUAUAUACAACUAAUUAAAGUAUUAAUGAAUAAACCUGCAAUCAAAGUAAUCCUGGACUUCGUCCUUAUCUUUCUUAGCAGCAGCCGGGUCACUUGGCUCAACAGUAACUGUGACACGGUCAUGUCCUUUAUGAACAUACUUAAACAGAUACUUUAUUGACCCUGAUUGGUUGCACCACUCAACAUUGAUAUGAGCAUGAUAACGAAGGGAUAGCUUCUCAUUAUAUGGGAUUACGUAACGAUUAUCGCAUUGAAAACCAUUCUUCUCGACAUAAGUACCAGUGUUACGUCUUCUGUAAACUGGAAAGCCAUCAUUAUCAACCCUACUAAUGUUGGAAUAGUCUUUGGGGAAAAACUUAGAGCAUUGUCCAUUCACCAUACAUGGUGAAUUCGGAUGACCAGCACCACAUGGUCCAUGAAUCAUACAAUCUUUAACCACUUGGUAAAGUUCUGGUUUCUUUUUCUUAUCUGGAAUCUCAGCACAUAUCACUUUAUCAAUGUCUUCGGCGGUAGACAACUUACUGGUGGGAUGCAUGAACAACAAAAUGUGUGCAUGCGGAAGACCUCUUUUCUGAAAUUCAAUUGUGUACAUUGCUGAAAAAUACAUAACAUAAAAAAGAUUAGAGGUAAAUUCAAAACACAGAUACUAAUAAUAUAAAUAACAGCUACAGGUUUAAAAAAUACCUGAAGCUGUUUUUCCUAGCAGACUCUUGGUGGUUAGAUCAUACAUAAGAUUAUCAAGCUUCAUCUUGAAAAUCCUACAUAUGAUAUCUGGUCUAUCAUCAGACUUCAGGUUCCUCUCUUUACAGAAUCUAACAAUUUCAGGCCACUUUGAAUUGCAAGUAAACGUUAUGAAUAGUGAUGGAAAUCCAAAGUGUUUGCAAAUAGCCAUUGCAUCCAAAUAAUUGUUUGUCAUGUACCUUGGUCCGCCAGUAAAGGAAGCUGGAAUCUUCAAUUCUCUACCUUGGUUUUGCAAAUCAUCGUUUCCAGCAUUUGAAUUCCUUUGGAUUGAAUCUAAGUUAGAGCUCCGAAAAUUGGCUUGAUUCUUCCUAAUAUAUCUCAGCCUGUUUGACUCAAUCAUAGUGUAAGCGUCAACAAUGAACUGCUGAAGCAAGCGCUUAGAGCGAAACAAAACAUGUUUCUCCUGUUUCCUUUCUUGAAGACGAUAAGCAAACCACUGCCUCAUACUUACUUCUUUCUGUUCCUUUUGAGCAUUCCCUUUGCUGUUGGUCUUAGCUUUCAGUAUACCAACUCUAAAACCAUCUUCCCCGUGUGGAAAUAAUAGAGGAUAUUGUAGUGCUAGAUAGGAAACAUGCAGUUCACUUAUUCUUUUUAACUUCCCUGAACUUUUCUUCUGUAAAACGAUAUCACGUUUAUCCAUAUUUUCAUGAAAAUCUCCUGGAAUUAAUGCUGCAACUUCAGAUGCUGUUGGCAGAUUGUAUGUCCUUCCAUCAUCAUUUCUCUUGGCAAUAAUUCUCAUGUGAAAAGUGUCUUCUGAAUCUGUAUUGAAUCUGUCUCUUGCUGAUCUAAACGCUUCAACAUGAGGGUUUAUAUCAUCUAAAAGCUUGAUGAUACUUUCAAUGAUGUCUUUGUUCAAAUUUUUCUUUUUCUGGCCCGUGGCAGAUUCACCCUCUUUACUGAAAAAUAUAUAAACUUAUUAGAUUAUAGAAAAACUCAAUAUUAUGUUUCUAAUAAAAAGAGAUUAACAGAGAAGAUACCUCAUAAUGUUAUAUCUAUUGUCAAUCUCAUUUUCAGUAUCAACAAUAUACAGCUGUUGAAACUUUGCUUUGUUUCCUGGUUUUGGCUUCAUAUCACCCAUGAGAUGGUAAUUUUCACCUUGUAUUGCAAACAUCUGAGGCCCACGACCUUUAGGAACACAAUGAUCCACUUUCCCACCGAUAGAAGUAAAUGAGAAAAUCAUAUUGUAAGCUCUGAUGUUUUCCCUAAAAUGUCUAGCGAUUUCAUCAUUACUGGUUAGCAAAUACCACAACAAUUCAGGCGAUUCCUUUAGGAAAGGUAAGACUAUCUGUCCUUGCAUACAACACCCUGAGAACUUUGGAUUUUUUGUUUUGCUCCUCUUGUUUAGGCGUUCCCCAUACCAAAAAAUAGCACCACACUCGCUACAACUAAAGAUUGGAUCACCUUCAUCAACAUAAGCUGAAUAAAAAAUAAUCAAAUAUAGUUAGAUCUUACUAUAACAAUUCUAUUUGUUAUUCAACAAUAUAUUACAAAAAUUGGAAUAAUACCAUUUUUUUGCUUAGGUGGAAUGACAGGGGUUUCCUUAGGUUUACCAAAAGCAUUUUCUAACAUAGUAAGUAUGUCAAAACGUUCUUUAGCUCGAUGAAUUGCUUCUUUCGGGUUAUAAGCACAUUCUUUAGCAUAGUCAUCUUCAUCUGAUGAAGAAUCCGUAGAUAAUUCUUCUUGACUGCUGCAAUACAAAUCUUCUUGGUAGUUGUCUUCAUAUUCUCCUGUUAUUAUUUGGACAUUAGAAAUAAGAAUAUCUGCUUGAGUAUGAUAUUUUAAAAAUUUCUCUGACCUUUUGUGGAGUCUUGAUAAUCUGAGAAAUGAUCAUCUUCAUCUGUAUCUGUAUUGAGAUCAUUAUCCUCAAUAAAAUCAUGAUGAGAAUCAAGGAAAUCAUCAGUAACAGAAUCCUUUUGUAAUGUUAACACGGAUCCUGAAGGAUUAUCUGAUACAAAUUAGACGAUAAAAUAUGGAUAGUUAGUAUGAACAAAUAGCAACAUGGAUUUGUUAUAUAUGAAAUCUGGAUCCAUUAUUCAAAAAAAAUGCAUUCUAACAUGAAAAUUUACCUUUGUUUCUGUGAUCUGCCGCAGAAGCUCCGGAAAUAUCAUCAUUUUGCGAAUAAGAAGAUUCAGCAAGAUAUGAGGAAUCAUCGAUUAUUGUUGAGGUUAGCUGAGAUUUAUUGAAUAGACUUCCUGACACUUUGAAUAAGAUUUAUCCUGUUAGCUUAAUUUGAAUCAUUAAAAUAUUACAUAUAAUAUCUUUAGACUGUCAAACAACAAUGAAGAAUAUGACUUACAUGGAAUAGGGGAGAGAUUUCUUGCUUUUUUAGAAGAAGGAGCUUGAUAUGGAUUGUUUGAAACAUUUUCCUGGCCUCUUGCAGUGGAACAUGAAAAAGUUAUUUGGUCAGAUGCUGAUAGUCCAGAGCUAUUGCGUGGUGAGUUAGAUAUAUCUGUUAAAACUCUUCUAAAUACAGAGUUUAUUGCAACAGCAGUUUUGGUAUGGCUUUCUGCUGAAGGUGGAACGUAAUUUUCACCAAGUACAUUAGAUGUUGUUCUUUUUCUUUUAGGAGUUGGAGUGACUUCAGAAGAACUUAGACCAUGUGUAUUAUCGUUUUUUUCCAUUAUGACUUGGUUUCCUGUUGAACAUAAAAGGUUUUGCUAUAAAACAUCAAUAGUUUGCAAACCAAUUAGAUAUACUAAAAUUAUAGAGAGGAUAAUAAAUUUAAGUAGCUCUAUGAUAGGCUAUCAAAAUAUGAAUACCUUGGGAUGUAAUGGCUUUCCAAAUACUCUGUAGCGUAUUUCCUAUGACAUUCCUUCAAAAGUCCAAAAAUUUUUGAUGUUUAAGUGUUUUUGCAUUUGAGCUGGAGGAAUAACUCUCAACCAACAAUCCUUAUAAUCGACGAUAGGAGAAGUAUAUAAUAUUAGAUAUCUCAAGAUAUUCCAUAUCUCUUACUAAAUUAAGUUGUUUGAGUAAGUUAAUAUUCUAUCUUAUCUGUUACUAACUAAAUCUAUACUUUUGUGAUACACAGGAUAUUGGAUUAUAAGAAUACCAAACAAUAGGGAGCAAGGAUCUCAGAUCAUCAACCUUUAUUAUUGAGGUUAGUGUCACUCAGAAGGAUCAGAUUAUAGUAAAUUUUGCUCAAUAUAAAAAAUUCUUUAAUGUACUCUGAAAUUUAUAAACAUAGUUAACAUGAAAAAAAGAUAUUCCAUAUAUUGUGCUAAUACUCUAUUUAAGCAAAGCUUUUUCACAGAAAGCUUACGAAUUAAGCACAAUAAAAGUAAAACACAGAUAAGCAAAAUUUAAAACAACUGAACAUAAGAGUCUAAUUUUACAAAUAGGGAAAUAGCACAUUGAUUAAAAAAAGUUAACAAACAAAGCAUUAAAGGAAGUCCAAGAUAGAAUAUAACAUAGGAGGAAUUUUCUUGAUGCCAUCCACACAGCUGCAAAUCUUAGUUAGAAUCACCGUCUUCAUCAGAAACAUUGUCAUUAUCUGAGGAUGUUGUUUCUGUAUUUCCAGCAGUGAAAAAGCAGCUGCGAGAAUAAAUAUAACUAACAUAAGAAUAUAAAACUUAUGUAUAAAUAAACCAAUUUAAAUUUCAUAUAGACUGUGGAAAUACAUGUAGCAGUCUCUGUUAAUAUCAGAGAAAUUUUCAUCAAUGAAAAUUCUUGGACAACCUCCUUUCGUAAUCAAGCAAGGUUUACCUAAAAACACACAAAAAUACCAUAAUUAGUAUGUACUGAAAUUUGUUGGCUAUAUAUGGAUACAGUAAUCCAUAAUACAGUCAAAUAUGGAUUAGGAAUCAUAAAAUUAGUUUGGAGAACAUCACCUCCAAACUCUGAUAUCCUCCAAAAACGCAGAACAACCAUGAUUGGUUGAUUGUGAUAAUUCACAUCACUUAUUCUGUUAGAAUACUUCCUAACAAAUUCUUCACAGAAACUUCCGGUUGCAACACAAUUAAUGGAAUGGCCACUACAUGUAAUGAUACAUAAUAAAAAUAUAAUGACACUUUUGAAAAUCUGUUAACUAAUACAACUCAUAUAGACGUAGACUAUAUUGAUUUUCCAAUAAAACUUACGCAAGGUCCUUUAAUGUAAAAGUAACAUAGCUUGAAUCCAAAUCACUCCCUCUUUCAAGUAGUCUUCCAAUAGGAGAGACACUCCUAACCACUCCAACAACAUCUAAAUAUGGGAAUAAGUCAAAAAUUAGGAUAUAAGAGUAAAUAAAAAAUAAUAAAAAAAAUUUGAAACUCUAAUCCAGAAUCUUACCAACAACGAAUUGCUUCUCUUCUUCUGAUGGAUUAUUGAUCCUUGGAAAAUCAAGACACUGCAGGAAUUCGGAAGUGUAUUUCUUUUUGUAGUAAGCCAUAGUUGUCUUCUUAUUAAAAGAAAGUUGGUAAGGAUGAUUAGAGUUCUUUUCAUGGGAUGAAGGUGGGAUCACAUCAAAAUCCAAAAGAAAGUACCACUUUCCUUCUUUGAGAUUUCUAGGAAAAUCCCUCUUGUAUGAAUCUGGAGGAGCAACAGCAUCAAUUCUGGUACCCUGAAAUAUAAAACGUUAAAAAGAUUUGUCUCCCUCAUUAUCUAUAAUAAAUCUAUAUAAAAAAUGAUAUAAAAAGGAGAAAAUAACAUAUACCUUUUCAUCUACCAAAAUCAUGGUAGUGUGAUCAUUAGGAUGCUUGGGAGGAUGAUUCCAAAUGCUCAAGAUCUUAACAACGACAAACCAUGCCUUCUUCUCAAGAGUUAAAUCAGUUAAAAAAAUUUUCAUUUGAAAAAGAUUAGAGUAAUCGGCUGAAAAGGAUGAAAGCUAGAAAUUUUUUUGUUUGUGGAAACUCUUGGGAGAACUUGAAUGUGAUAUAUGUAGAAAUCAAUAUAUAUAUUUAUACACAUCUUGAAAAGGCCAAACCUAUUGCAUGACCAAUAGCAACAAUUUAGAAAAGCCAAAAAAAUGAUUUUUAUAUAUUACUAAAGUAGAGAAAACAAAACAUUAUAUGUGACAACCAAUUUGCAAAACUUGACCAUUGCAUAUGAUUGAUGUAUUGGCAAAAGUUAACAGCUUUUUUGGUUUUCAAAAUUAAUGUUUUCUAUGACAUCUCAGAAACUUAAUAUAAGCUUAAAAUACAAUAUCAAAUAAGCUUAAAACUUGUAAGAAUGGGGGGAGAGGGGGAGAGGGUGAGAGGGGGGGUUUACGAAACAAAUAAUACAUUCAAUAUAGAAUAUAUAGAAUCACAAUGCUUCAACUUUUUAAAAUCUUUGCAUUGGAAAACAGUUUUUUUAGUAUUUUCAUUUCCAAUAUAGUUCAUAACAGAUUAUAAGAGAAAGAUUAUUUGGUUAACAAAAAAAAAACUAUUCAGUAACUUAUUUAAGUUGUAACGUACUGACAUUAAAGGUCCAUCAUAUUCACGAAUGAUAUAAGUUCAUAACAAUGCAAAUGAUUUUUGGCAAAGUACAUUUAAACAUAAUUAAAAGUCUCUGCAAAUCUUAAAAUUAAAAGAGAGUCAAAUAACAAAAAACAAAAAGAGAUAACAGGAAUAUAUCAAAGUACAAACGGAUAAAACAGAUGAUUCAAUUUUAUCUUCCUAGCUUUGUCUUAGUUAGAAUCCACUUCCUCCAUCUGAUCAUCAUUUGCCUCGGCGAUUGCAAAUGAUCGACUAAAUUAUAAAAAGCAAAGAGGAAAUAUUAGUUAUCUUAAUCUCAUAUUAAUUAAAAUAUAAGAAAACCAUAAAGUAUGAAAUUACAUGUAUCUGUAGUUAUCGAAAUCUGGAAAUUGUUCAUCAAUAAAAACCCUUGAACAGCCAGCUACACUCAUUAAGCAAGGUGACCCUAUAGAGGAAUUAACAAAGAGAGUUUUAGAUUAAAUAAAUAUGCAUAUAUAGUUUUUGAUCAAAUUAAUAGAAAUAAUGUAAUUCAAUAUAGUUAAGGACCUUUUAUUUCUGAGAUCCUCCAGAAUCGCAUAACAGCCACGAUAGGAUCAUUGUUGUAGCUAAGAGAACUUAAACGUGUAGACAAUUUGUUAACAAACAUCUCACAAGAUUCUCCAACUGCAACACAUAUCAUCUUUUUGCCACUAAAAAUAUAAAGAACAUAGAGAUUAUUCAUGUUAAUACAAUCUAGCUUCCUAAAAUUCUAAUGUAACAGAAAACAUAAUAAAAAGAGAAGCUAAACUUACUCAUUGUCCUUAAUCUUGAACAUCACAUGUCUUGCUUCAUAAUCAGUUUGUCCUAUACCACAGACAAAAGGCACUGUUCGAAUGGGAGACACACUUGUUAUCAAACCAAUAGCAUCUACACAGGAAAACAAAUAUAUUCAGAUUAAUGACUCUUGACAAUAUAUCUAAAUUAUGUAUAUAGAACUUACCAGUUACAUACUCCUUUUCUUGUGUUCCAGCAUAUUUGAUUUCAUCAUAAUCAAUGAAAUCCAUGUAAUUGUUGAUUGAUCUAGGAGUUAUGUGAACCAUUUUUGUUUCCCACUUACAUUGAAUCAUGAAAGGGUGCCAAGAGUAUCUAGAAAUGGGAUUUUGGGGAACAACGUUGAAAUCAGACAUGAAGUACCAUUCACCUUCUUUGAGAUUCUUUUUGAAAUUGUGUCUGUAGAGACCAUUUGGGAUUAUAGCAUCGAUUUUGUUUGCCUACAUAAGAGAUUUUAUAAGAGUUGUGAUAUUGUAAGAUGUCCACAACUAAGUCUGUGAUAAAACAAAUAAAACUAAAAAUAAACUAUAACUCAUAGGUAACACAUACCUUCUCAUCAACCAAAAUCAUGCUGGUAACCAUACUCGAAUUUGGUGUGGAAUGAAGAUUCCAAAUACUCAAGAUCUUUAAAUGAACCUUCCAGUUCAUUCUCUCGUUGUUCAAAUCAGAAACAAAAUCCAUGGGAUAGGAAGAGUUUGACAUUUAGGUUUAGUUUUACUUCACGGUUGUCUUGUUAAUGGAAGAGAAGAGAAUUAGAAAGCAAACAAAAUAAAUAUAAGUUGGUUAAAAAUUUUGAUAGUCUGGAUUCUGAUAAUUUAAACAAAUACUAAUAAGUAUAACAUUCCUUUCAAAAAACUACUCAAGUGUUUUGUUUACGUUUUACGUCAGCUAGAAAUGAUAGACAUUGGGUAUAUCAAAAGCCAAAAAUCCGGUUUUGAAUGAUGACUGUUGUUUUACAGUAUAGGAUUUUAUUAGUUUUACUUCCCAACGAAGUAUUUAUAUUAUAUGUAUAGAUGAAUACAAAUCAUUUCGAUAGUAGCUAAUAAUAUAUUUUAUAUAUUGGGGAACCUACAUUUUUCCAAAAGGCUUUUGAUUAGUUUUGAGAAGAUUUUGAGUGAACUGUUAAAUCAAAAGAAAUCUAUAUACUUUGUCGUUUAGUAGCUCUUAUGAUAAUAAUUUAGAAAACAUCAAACCAAUGGAAUAUAAAGAGUUAAGGAGAUUAUAAAGAGUUAUGAAAUUAAAAUGUUAUAGAGCAAUUCAUGAGAUUAACUUGAUAGCAAAUGUAGGAUAACAUUGUUUGAAACAUAAAUAAAAAAAUUAUCAAGCCGAAAUUUGAAUCAUAACAACCUAAAUAGAUAAAACCAAUGAAAAUAAAACAUCAAGGGAACUUCCAUCAUCAUCAGAUUCUCUUAGUCAUCAUCAUCUUCAUGUUCAUCUUCAUCAGUGAAGCUACGACUGUGAAAUAACAUAGACCAAAUUAGUGUGUCUCCUUGUAACAUUAAUAGUCAAUUGUAUAAUUGGUAAAAAUGACACUUACACGUAUUGUGGAAUAUCCAAGUCAUGAAAAGUUGGAUCAAGGUACAAACGGGAACAACCAAAUUCACUCAUCAAGACAUUUCUUCCUAUAGAACCAUUGUAAAAUAUAUAAUUUAGAAAUAUUAACUAUUUCAAACACAUAAGAUAGUCUAAUUAACAAAAGGAAACAAAGAUUUUUUAGAACUAACCAUCAAACUCUGUAAUUCUCCAGUUGCGAAGAACAGCCACGAUUGGUUCAUAAUUAUAAGUAACCAAGUCGACCUUAGCAGACCAGUUGGUCAUAAAGAAAUCACAACACAUACCAACAGCAAUGCACUCAAUUAUUCCACCCCUAAAUAAUAUUUCAUGAAUAGCAUUAUGUUUAUAUGUUUUAAGAUAUCAUAAAACAUCUUUGAUCUUACAUAUAUAAUAAAACAUAUUAAGAGAAAAACUUACAUAUUGUCCUUUAUCUUAAAAGCCACAAAUCUUGACUCAUUGUCUGAACCUCCUCGAGGGCAAACAUAAGGAAAUCUUCGAGUAGUAUUGACAGCAACAAUCACACCAAUAGCAUCUAAACUCAAAAAAUGGAAAUAUAAACGAAAUAUAAUCAGUAAUCAAAAAUAUAUGGAUUCCACAUAAAAAAAAAUUUCAAGAAAUCUCUACCAGUCACAAUUUCUUUAUUCGAUUCCAUAGCAUAUUGGACUUCAAUAGGGAAAACAAACUCAAAGAAGUUACUCCAUGAUCUCUGUUUCACAGGCCACAUUCCUGUUUCCCAGAUAAACCUGAUUUCAAAUAGAGAUGGUGAAUAUCUGAUUCUAUUCUCUGGUUGGAUAACCUGGAAAUCAGAGAGAUGAAACCAGAAUCCUUCUUUCAGUACUGGUCGAAAAUUCCAAAGAUAUGUCCCAGAUGGAAUCCUUGCAUCGAUUCUUCUACCCUAUAGAACCAAAACAUUUAAAAUACUUGUAUGAGAAACAUAAAAAUAGUUUUAUUGCAAGAUAAAACUAAACAGAAAGUGAAGCAACAGCUUGAUACCUUUUCAUCUGCCAAGAUCAUGAGUGUUUCAGAUCCAGCAGAACCCAAAUCAUGUUCCCACAUACACAUAAUCUUAACAUAAAUCCUCCAUUUUGUCGAGUUUACAUGCAAAUCAGACACACUGCGAACUAACUCCAUGGGAUAUACACGUUUGUUUCUUUGCAUUGAAUGCAGAGGAGUCAAUGGUUUCUGUGAUGAUAUGAGAAGAAAAUAGGUAUAUAUAGACGAAUAUGACUGAAUAGAUUCAAAGAAUAUAUUUAGAAUUAGAUAUGGGAAUAUGAAUCGUUUGGAUGUGUUUGUUUGAUAUAUCUCAUUUAUUAUUAUUUAAAUAUGAGGUAGAUAAUGAUUAAGAAUGAUUAUCAUGAUAAUACAACAGAAUAACCCAAUAUACAAAUGAUUGCAUAUAAUCAAAGUUUCCAUAAAUUUAGGUCUUCAAGAUACUCAAUAUUGAAUUCGGAUUCAAUAUAAAUUAUCAGCAAACUGUUGUAGAACUUGUUAUAGAUUUUGGAUAUUAUUUAGAUAUUUUAUUGUUAUUAAGAUUACAAAAUUAUAUUUACAAAUUUAUGAAGGAUCUAAACUACCAUACAACUAAUUCAACUGAUAUUGUAUUUUAAUUAACUGUUUGUUGAUUUAUUUACAGGAUUAUGCUAAAGCAGUUACAACAAAUUGGAUAAAGAUCAGUCUGGAAAAAGCCAUUAAAAUAAGUAAGUCCCGUUAAAGUAAUCAUGCUAUACUUUAUUUUCAGUUAUAAUGGUUUUAGGAUUAUGGAUAGUUUAUAAAGUAGAAUCAAUAAGAUUUCUCUCUUGUUAGAUAUACCGGAGACAGCAUAUGAAUAUGGCUUGGUUCAAAAGCUAUUAGAUCUUAAAUUUACUCAAUGAAGGUACUUAUUUUUGAAAGCUUAGAUAGAAAUGAAAGCAAGGGGAAACAAUGUUUGAAAAGAUAACUAACAUAAAAUAAAACCUAAAUUCAUCAGAUGAACUUUAUUCUAAAUUGUUGAGUCUUGGCUCCCUCACUUUGCUCCAUUCUGACCUUCGAUCUUCUCAACCUUAAUCUUCUUCAAAAGAACCUUUUUCUGUUCUUCUUCACUUGCUUUGGUGAUGACUUGUUCACCUGCCUCAUCAAGUUUGUUUAUGAACUUAGGAAGAUCAUGUUCCUUCGGAUUUUCUACAUCAAUGACACCAUCAACUUUAACAUCGGAUUGUUUUUCCAUGCAUUGUUUCUUGCUUGUGGAGUUUUGAUCAGAUCCAUCCGAGAAAUCUUCUUUUCUCUUUGAAGAUGGGGUAGAAAAAACAUCAUUGGAAGUGCCCUCCUUAUCAGAAUUAUUAGUCAGCAUCAAAACCUAAAACAUAUUUCGUUUUUAAUUAGGCGAGUAACUCACAAUAAACAUUACCACAUAAUAUAAAACACACUCAAAUUAGGAAAAUGUAUUACCUGGUCACUGGAACUCAUGGAUGAAAGAUCCAAAGAAUAAUUACAUUCAUCUUUAGGGUCAGCUUGAUUGAGGUUCUGACUUGUUAAAACCUCAGUCACUUUGUAUUCAUCAUUUCCUCUUGAGAUGUUUUCUUGCUCAACACUUACCACAAAUUGAUAAGUCUUUCCAAUGAUGUUUUUAACUACAUCAGGAGGUGGAAGAGGAUCAUCAAGUUCCUGUAUAAAGUAUAGGUAUAAGAUUAUAAUCUAGCAAGAAAAGAAUGGAGCUAAAUUCAUAUGAUUACAUAUUACCGCUUCAUCAGUGCCCUCCAAGAGUUCAUAAGCAGGAGUUCCGAUUAUUUUCUCAACAAAACUAUCAAACAACAUAAGCUUGGUCUCCCCCGUGUUGUCCAUAACGUCUAGGUGGAGCCAGUACCUAAGACAGAUAUAAAAAUUGUGAGAACAUAUCUUAUUAAUCACGAAGACAAAUCUGUAAUUUAAGGUAGGUUUAAAGCAAUGACCUUGCUUCAACUGCAGAAACUUCUGCAUUACAUUUCUCACAUCUGUUCAAUAUCUUCUUGGCACCAUCGCUAAGAAGUUUCUUAGUUUGGAAGACUUUUUUGUUACAUUUGAUGUGUGCAUAGUAAUACCAGGAGUAGUCCAAGUCAAUUUGCAAAAUGGUGCAGAAGAUCUUAACCUUCUCAAUCUAGAAAAAUAAUGUAGGGUGAGUGAAGAUUUAAUAUAAUUCCCAAAUACAGUUAGAAUAUUGCCUAUAUUAAAGCUGUAGCAAAUACCUCAUAAGAGGCCUUAAGCUCGGCAAUAGUCUUGAGAGGUAACCCUAGGGACCUCUGUUCACGCACCUUUAGAGGCUCGAAUCUAGGCUUAGGUCCCAUGAUAGUCAAGGCAAGUCCAUCAGAUGGAAGCCUGAACCACAACAAAUUAAAGAUUAAAAGCAAAAUUUUAAUCUAUUACAAAAACAAAAGUAUGUAAAAGUUUGUAGAUUACUCACAUUCUCCUAAAGUCAUCAACAACCGGCAAAAUUGGGUUGACUAAAACAUCCGAAGCAUCAAAAGCAUUAGAAAUACUCCUAAUCUCUGCAAGUCAUAAUGGCAAACAACGAUAAAUAUAUGAUGGUGUGGUUUUAUAUAGGGUCAUGUUAUUCACCAAUAAUAACAUUACAUACCUUUGUAUUCUCCUAACUUGGCCCACCUUAUCAAACAAAUAACGACAGAACCAAGAGACUCUUGCGCAACUUUGCUAAUUUGGUCAGCAAACUUUCCCCAUAGUGAACAUGGUAGACGGUUAUCACUAACCAAAGAAAAAUUAUAGAAUUAAAAAACCAAGAUAAUAAAUCAGAAGAAAAGGUUUAAUAAAAUUAUGUAAAAAAAAAAACAAAAAUGCUUACUCAGUGUCUCUUAGCUGAAAAUCAAUCUUCUUGGUAGGUUUACCAUGGACAUCAAUUAUUUGAGCUUCUCCAACGUUAACCAAUUGACCCAGAACAUCUAAAACAGAAUCAUAGAUGUAAAUAUAUAUCCCAAUGAUUAACGUAAUAUUUAAAUACAAAAUAAAUAAUUAUAAAAAAUACUCACCUACCAACUUAUUUUGAUCCAAGUUACCAGACAGAAUAGUUGUAAAAUCAACUAAGUCAAGCCAAACCUCAUUAGAAAUGGAUGGUGAGGGAGAAAAGACAGUAGCGUAGUGGAAAUUGAUUCUGUAGGAAUGAGUUGUUGAUCGAUAUGUUCCUGUUGCCUUAUUAACCGAGAAUUCCUCAAUUAUCUUCCAAUCUCCAUUCUUCACAUAACGCUGGAAUUUGCUGAUGUGUUCCUUUUUGAUGCCUGCUUGAAUUUUGUUACCCUGUAAAAGAAAUAAGAUGAGUUAUAACGUAACUCAUAUAUAUUACAAUGAUAAAUGAAAAAUGUUUGAAUAGCACUUACAUCCUUAUCAGCUAGAAUCAUUUCUAACGACAUGCCAGAACCUUUUGUGAAAUGAAUCCAGGAAUGAAGUAUUCUAACUUGAAUUCUCCAAGCCGUUUUUAAAGGCUUCAAGUUGUUGACUGGUGUGUAUCGAGUAAGCUGAGCCAUUGUUGUGUUUUUUUUGUUUUUUGCAGGUUAAAAGAAAAGAGAAAGAGCCGAUUUUGGUGAGUAUAAUGGUAAAACGAAGAGGGUUAUUUAUAGUUGUAGAUAGUCGAUUAAAAUCUUUGAAGAUUUGGGAAGAUAUUAGUUAGAUAAUACUUAGUAAAAGGUAUAUUCUAAGGUAGCAAAGAGGAAUAUAGAAUUAUAACAUAUAUAACAAACAGAUUUGACAAUAAUUUCAAAAAUUUUUAGGAAACUGAAAUAUAUUUUUAGGAUUCCAGUUAUAUGGUUUAGCUUCAUCAAAGAUUACGAAUCUUACUUAGAAACAAAGAUUUAGGUAACUUAAAUUAUUUUUUGUUUAUAUAGGAUUCGAGUUAUAUUGUUUAGCUUCAUCAAAGAUUACGAAUCUUACUAACAUUUUCAAUCUCAUCUUGUAAAAUGAUAUAUAAUUUUCGAAUAGCAUUUUUUUAUAUAAAUUUUUUUAUAAUAAUUUUUUUUUAUAAUAAAUUGGCUUGAUAUAAAAUGUUUUCAAUGAUAUAUCAUUUUAUGUUUACAAUUUCAAUAACAUUUUUAUAAUUCACUUUAUAACAUGUUUGAAUGAUGGAUUAGUAUAUAACAUUUUGAGUAACAUUUUCAAUGUGUUAAAUUUUUAAAUUGUCGAAUUGUGUUAAAUUAUGACUCUCGAAUUGAUUAUUGAACAUCAUUGUGUUAAAUUGUCGAAUUGAUUAGAAUAAGACAUUCUUGAAUUAUAUUGAAUUAGAUUAAACUAUAUUAAUUAUUGAAAUUAUAUAAAAAAAUCUUUUGAUAUCUUUAAACCCGUUAAUUAUUUAAACCCGCCCGUUGACCCGUUAAAUAUAUAUUAGUGAAAUGGAAAAAAAUGUUUAUAAUUAGAUAUCUCUAAUGGCAUAUAUUGUAAUUUUUUACAAAAUCUAAGUUAUGAGCCUUAGGAUGAACUUCCCAAAUAUUAGUAUAGGAUCUUACUCCUUGAUACUCGGAGCCGGUUUACAUAUAUUCCUCUAGAUAAAUAUGUAUAUUGGGAUUAGAUUUUUUUGUUAAGAAAGUAUUGUUAUCGGGUUGUUUUGGGUGAGAUCUUGUAGUUGUGUGCUCACCCCUAUAUAUAUAUAUAUAUAUAUAUAUAUAUAUAUAUAUAUUGUCGAGAAGUAAACACACAAAAAAAAUUUAGACCUUUGUAACUUGUCGGACGAAAGAAAAGUUCUCAGAAACUAAGACGGAAGAAAACAUGAAUUUUUUUCAAAGACUAAGAUCUAUGUAAGGAAACAUAAACACACUACAAACAAGAAAUUUUAAAGCCGAAAUCGAAAGUAAUCGAAAAAAAAAACUAAGGAAGCACACAAACUUAAAAUUCGAAGAAAAACACUUGACACAAGUACCAAAGAAGAAGAAAAAUAUAAGUUAAUUUUGGUGACACGUCAGCAGGGGCGAUUUUUUUGGCGAUUAGGUUUUUUUCGUUUGCCUCACGCAAGGAGUGCUCAGGCGGCCAGCCGCCGGGUUCCCUAAGAUGGUGGAGGGUGUCGGAGAGGUCUCCAUGCCGGUUUCAAGUCAGUCACAGGAGGUUUCAAGUCAGCCUAAAGAGGUAUCCAGUCCUAAGUCGUAUGCAAAUGCCGUUGGUAGCAGGCCAAGCCUUGCUAAGUUUGAUGUAAAAGUUUCAAUGGUGGAUGGUAAGGCCAUGGUGGCUGUACCGGAUGAAGUUAUGAAUGAUACAGUCCCCCUGUGGGAAGAUUUUCUAAUCGGCCGGUUCCCGUCUACUGCCCCUCAUGUAGCCAAGAUCCAUGUCAUAGUGAAUAAGAUCUGGAACUUGGGCGACAAGAGUAUUCGGAUUGAUGUAUUUGAGGUCAAUUCCACCACUGUCAAGUUCCGGAUACGUAACGUCUCUGCAAGGAUGCGUGCGCUAAGGAGAGGCAUGUGGAAUGUUUGUGAGCAGCCAAUGAUGAUGUCAAAAUGGACUCCCAUAGUGGAGGAUGCUCAGCCAGAGAUUAAAACCAUGCCGCUGUGGGUAAAAAUUAAAAAUGUUCCGCACUCUAUGUUUACGUGGCCGGGUCUCAGUUUCUUAGCAAGCCCUGUGGGUGAACCGAAGAGGCUGCAUCCGGACACGGAGCUCGUUUCAAGCUUUGAGGAAGCAAAGGUCUUCUUGGAAGCUGAUUUAUCAAAAGAGCUUCCAAAGACUUAUUUUUUUCAAAUACGAGGAGAAGAAGUACGUAUUGAAUUUGAAUACCCAUGGCUACCACAAAAAUGUGGUAUUUGCAAAAAGUGGGGACACUCGGAUGAUGGUGGUUUGGCAAAUAUUGGCCGAGCUGGCUCUCCGAGAGUAUCUCGCUCCCCAGUGGCUAGACCAGAUUCGCAAAUAAUUGUUGCACCAGUCUCAAACAGUAUUACAGAAAAGAAACUUCAAAUGAUGUUCUUGAAUUGAGGCUAAGCCCAAAGAGUGUGAAUCUACAAACAGGUAGAGAAGAGAAUGUCACUGCGAAGGUUUUGUCGGUUGUGGAAACAGAACUCCCUGUUUCUCCGGUCGUGAAGCAAUCCGUAACAGGACAGGAUGGUGAAUGGAAGAAUGUCCCCAAUUCAGGGGGGCAACACUCUAAAGGGUCAGAUAAAAGCUUGGUUUAUGGUCAGGUUCGUCUAAUAUCUCCUUCACGGUUUGAUGUUUUGCAGGAUACUCAAGAAGAGGGUGAAAUCAUUCCGGAAACAGAAACAGUUGAAAAGGCUGAAUCCACUCCGGCUAUUGAAAAAAAAGACACAGCAUUGGAAACACAUCCAAAGUCUUAAUUGAAUAAGGAUUCGGUUGCUUUGAGGGUGCAGCUUCCACGUGAUUCAAAAAAUUCACACAAGUUUUUAUCAGAAAAUUCCCAGCGAGCAAAGGGCAAUGUCCAGAGCACUUUCAGAAAGAAGAAUUCCAAAUCUAAACAUUAAUGUCGGGUUUCUUUUGGAAUAUUCGAGGUCUGAAUAAGUCCAAGAAACAACGUGUUAUUAGAAAAUGGAUUCGGGAAAAUUCUUUUCAGUUUGGAUGUUUACUUGAAACGAAAGUCAAAGAAAACAGAGUUACUGGUGUGAAGGAGAGAACUGUUGGUGACUGGAGUCUAGAGGCUAAUUAUGAUUUCAGUAGAUUGGGAAGGAUUUGGGUGACUUUGGAGCAAACAAACUAAGUUGCAGGUGCUCUUUUAUUUAUGCUCUUAAUACUCCAGAGGAAAGAAAGGAAUUGUGGCGUGAUAUCCAACAGCAACAUGACCUUGCUGUAAUUCGUGGGAAGCCUUGGUCUAUUUUUGGUGAUUUUAAUGAGACACUAGACAUUGAGGAACAUUCUAAUUCUGCUACUAAUCCAAUGGUCUCUUCGGGGAUGAGGGACUUUCAGGACGUAGUAAGAUAUUGUUCUCUUUCAAACUUGAGAACUCACGGUCCCCUUUUUACUUGGUGCAACCGACAAGAGCAUGGUCUAAUAUGUAAGAAGCUGGACAGAGUUUUACAUAAUGCUGAAUGGCUUAGAGAGUAUCCGAACUCUUAUUGUGUCAUGGAAUCCGGGGGCUGCUCGGACCAUCUCCGUGGUAAGAUCUUCUUGGAUUCAGAAAUUCAGAUUCCAAAAGGGCCUUUCAAGUUUUCAAAUGUUAUUGCUUCUCAGCCGGAGUUUCUUAUUCAAUUGGAGGAAUAUUGGAGAGGGUAUCCGACUCUGUUUCACUCUACAUCAGCGUUGUUUCGACUCUCAAAACAGCUAAAGCAACUCAAACCAUCACUGCGAGUUCUUAGUCGUAACACAUUGUCAGAUAUAUCAAAUAAAUCUGCAGAAGCUCUUCAGGAAUUAGAGGCAGCCCCGGCUCAGAUGGGUAGGGCAGAGGUGCGACGGCCUCGGGCUUUUUUUUUUUAUAAAAAAAUUUACAUAUAAAAAAGGCCCAAAUAUUUUUUAAAAAUAUUAUUAAUAUGAGAAUUAUAUUUUAAGAGGUCUAAUUAUUUAUAAGAAAAUGUAUAAAAAGGCCCAAAAUUUUUAAUAACAAUUUUUACUAUAAAAACUCCGCAAAAAUUUUAAAAAUUAAAUAAAUUUUCUCUUUGUAUAUAAUAAUAGGCCAAAAAAAAUUUUUUUGCCCUAAGGCUCUCAAAUAUAUUGAGCCGGGGCUGAUUAGAGGCAAGACAGUUGAGUACUCUCUCUAAUCCGACAAAGGUAGAAAUGGCCAUGGAGUCCUUAGCUGUUGAAAGAUGGGAGAGGUUAUCGGGUUUAGAGGAGGGUUUUCUGAAACAAAAAUCAAAGUUGCACUGGUUAGAUGUGGGGGACAAGAACAAUAAGGCAUUUUAUAAUGCUACAAAGGAAAGAAAUGCUCAAAACUCUAUUCAUGAGAUUUUAGACCCUAAUGGCAUUUGUCUUAAGAGUAUGGAGGAAAUAAAAGCGGAAGGGGUUCGGUUUUUCUCGGAACUAUUGACACAUAAACCGUCGUACUAUGUAGGUAUUGAGGUUGAUGAUCUUCGGGAGCUGCUUCCCUAUCGCUGUCCUCCGGCAAAGCGGGAUCAUCUUCUUGCGGAUGUUACGGAGGAUGAGGUGAGAAAGGUUUUGUUUUCUAUGCCUACAAAUAAAUCGCCGGGACCGGAUGGUUACACAGUGGAGUUCUAUAAGGCAGCUUGGUCAAUUAUUAGAAGUGAUUUCACAGUUGCAAUACAAUCUUUCUUCAAGUUUGGUUUCUUGCCAAAAGGACUAAACGCGACAAUUCUAGCUCUUAUCCCAAAGACGAUAGAUGCACGGGUGAUGAAAGAUUAUAGACCCAUUUCUUGCUGCAAUGUGGUGUAUAAGACUAUCUCAAAAAUAUUGGCUAAUCGGUUAAAGACCAUUCUCCCCGAUUUCAUUGCUCCGAAUCAGUCAGCGUUUAUUGAGGAUAGACUUCUAAUGGAAAACUUACUACUUGCUACUGAAUUGGUGAGAGAUUAUCACAAAGAAGGUGUGUCUUCUCGUUGUGCGAUGAAGAUAGACAUUUCGAAAGCUUUUGAUUCCGUACAAUGGGAUUUUUUGUUGAAUGUGCUCGCAGCAAUGGACCUACCAGAACAAUUCAUUCACUGGAUUUCUCUAUGUAUUUCAACGGCCUCUUUCUCUGUUCAAAUAAAUGGAGAGCUUGCUGGUUUUUUCAAGAGUGAAAAGGGGUUGAGACAGGGAUGCUCUCUCUCUCCAUAUCUAUUUGUGAUCUGUAUGAAUGUUUUAUCAUCUCUCCUUGAUAAGGCUGUGGUGGAAAAAAAAAUUGGUUUUCACCCGAGAUGCAAAAAUAUGAAGCUUACACACUUAUGUUUUGCAGAUGACAUAAUGGUUUUUACGGAUGGUAGAGCAGCCUCUAUGGAAGGAAUUCUCGAUGUUUUCAAGGAUUUUCACAAGAUCUCAGGAUUAAGUAUAAGUCUUGAGAAGUCAACUCUGUUCUUAGCCGGUAUAUCUGCUCAUAACAAAGUUGAGAUUCUAGCCAGAUUUCCUUUCGACUCUGGUGCAUUACCAGUCCGCUAUUCGGGAUUAUCUCUGCUAACAAAGCGGAUGACUCUAUCUGAUUGUCUUCCAUUGCUUGAAAAAAUAAGAGGCCGGAUUAGUUCAUGGAAAAACCGGUUUCUAUCCUUUGCGGGAAGAUUACAACUACUACGUUCCGUGAUCGCAAGUCUUACCAACUUCUGGAUUGCUGCAUUUCGAUUACCUUCAGCCUGUGUAAGGGAAAUAGAAAAGAUAUGUGCUGCAUUUUUGUGGUCGGGUCCGUCUCUCAACACAAAGAAGAACAAGGUAGCGUGGAGGGAUGUUUGUAAGCCAAGAGAUGAAGGUGGUUUGGGGCUCAAAUCUGUGGUUGAAAUGAAUAAGGUAAGCUGUUUUAAGCUCAUUUUGCGGAUAGUCUCAAAUCCAAAUUCUCUCUGGGUAAAUUGGAUAAAAAGAGAACUCAUUCGAUCCGGUUCAUUCUGGUCUGUCAAAGAAACCACCUCUUUGGGCUCUUGGAUGUGGAAGAAGUUGCUCAAAUACAGAUCGCAGGCCAAGGUUUUUCACUCAAUGGAAGUUAAAAGUGGGUUACAAACAUCCUUUUGGUAUGAUCACUGGUGCUCUCUUGGUCGAUUAUAUGAUAUUCUUGGAGUGCGGGGUUUCAUUGAUUUUGGAGUUUCCUCUAAAGUUACGGUUGCUACAGUCCUAGCAAAUCACAGAGCUAGGCAUCACCGUCUAGAUAUUUUAAAUCAAGUUGAGGCGGAGCUAGAGAGACUUCGAAGCAAGGGACAAUGCCUUGAUCCGGAUGUAUCCUUGUGGAGAAGACCAAAUAACAAGCUCAGAUCACGGUUCAUCACUUCUGAAACUUGGAAACAACUCCGAACUGUAGGGCCAAAAAUAAGCUGGGCUAAGAGUGUUUGGUUCCCGGACUCUAUUCCGAAACACUCUUUCCUGCUAUGGCUUGCGGCAAAAAACAGACUAGCCACGGGUGAGUGUAUGGUCUCUUGGAACAGGGGAGUGAAUCCGUCAUAUGUUUUUUGUCAAGCUCCGAUGGAGACACGAGAGCACAUUUUCUUUUCUUGUGUCUUCUCUUCGCGAAUCUGGGAGGAGCUGGCACGUCGACUUCUUCAACAACGCUACACUACCAGUUUCAUAGAGGUACUGAAUCUUCUAUCCAACUCCACAAUCACAGGCACGGUUGGCUUCAUUCUUCGCCUUCUUUUCCAAGCUACUACCCACUCUAUUUGGAUAGAGCGGAACAAACGAAGGCAUGACGAAUUACCAAGUACUGCAGAUCAGUUAAUCAAGAUGAUUGAUCGAUUGAUACACAAUAAAAUCUCAUCUAUCCGGCGACAGGAUCCCCGUAAACACGAAGAUGGCCUUCGUGUAUGGUUUGAGUCCAGAAGCUAACAUUCUUUUCUUUUAUUUCAGAUUCAGUUCAAAAACAAGUUUGAAUUAAGGUUGCAUUCAUUGUAAAAACGUUUUUUUGGUUGAAUAAGUUUUACAUUCAUUCAAAAAAAAAAAAAAAAAGUACCAAAGAAGACAUUUUCUUUAGAAGAAAUUGUGAAUCCGAUUUAUCAUUGCUGCCCAUGGCCACCCUAUCGAUAAUAUCUAUUUUUUUCUAUCAUAGGAGAUGAUUUCUCGAAACCAAUUAACUAAGACUUCAUAACCCGACAAAUAAAAAUCAAAAAACAGAAUCUCAUAAAACACUUCCGAAUACUACGGAGACGAUGGUCAUCAUGGAAAGCCUAGAACAAAAUUGUAUAACAAAUAAAUCUAUCGAACAAAAUACUAAAACAAUAAAACAAAAUUUAGAAUAACAACAAUAUAUUUCAUUUUUUUUUUUCUUCCUACCAAAAAAAUAUAUCUCAUUUUUUUUCUUUUACAAUAUUUGGGAUAAAGCUUUUUUUUUCUUCUUCUUCCAUUUAUUAAUUCAGUUUCGUUAAAGACUCAAAAACUUCCAAAACUCGAUCGAUAUAUCGGACUCAGCGACCCUCGCACAACUACUCUGCUAAAUCUACACACAACACAAAAAACCUCGAUCGCCGGCAACAAUGGCGAAGCUCACACUUCUCUUCUUCCUUUCCUUUCUCAUCUUCUCCUCAUGCAUCGCUUUCCAAUCAGACGAACUCCUCGUUGACGACGAUGAAUUUGGUCUAGAAGGAGCAAAGCCCCGCUCCACCGAUCUUCACACAUCAUCUUCUUCUUCUCCACAGCAGCAGCAACAGACUCCAACUAUCCGGAGAAGAUACUCAGAUCCUACCGAUUUGGAUUCCAAAGUCCAAUUUACUCUCGAACAUGCUUUCGGAGAUUCCGAUUUCUCCCCCGCCGGUACUUUCUCCGCUCGUCUCAAAACCUGGAGUCAUGGCGGAAAGGUAUCGAGAUUCGGUUUAUUGAUGUUAGGUUUUUGGAUCGAAUCUGUUCAUGUUACUUCGAUCUUAUCAAGUUUAAUCUGCAAAUUCUGGAAUUGGCUUUGCUCUGAAGUGAAUUGAUCUAAUUAAGAUUGUUAAAUUAUCUGAUAUUUAAUUGUAAUUAACUAGAUUUGAUCUUGUGUGGAUGCAGACAUUAACGAAGCUGCGAUUCUCUAGGAAUGAUUUUUCUGCUGAAGAGAAAGAAGCAUUCAAGGUAUUAUUCUAAUGUUAUUGUUGUAUCAGUUGUUUCUCUAAUUUCCUUGGAAUUGAGAGAUGUAAUGCUUUUUUUGUUGGAAUGUAUUUGUAGAAUCUGUUGAAAGGAGAUGACUUUUAUCGGAUUAGGCUUCCAUCUAAUGUGGUCAGUCCACCAGGGAGAGAGUUUGUGAUUGCAUCAGUGAGAGCUGUAAGUCAAUGUCAACCUUUUAGGUUGAUUUCUUUGUGAUUUUUCUUUGAUUGUUUGCUAGUGCUUUCGCAUGUAUGGAGCUGUAAAUUACAGGCUUUGUUUUAGUCUAUAUAAAAGACUCUUUGUAACCAUGGUGGCUGGCUGAAAGAUUAGUUCAUUUAGUUUCACUCAUUGAACUCCUAGUAGGCUACAGCUUUCUAGUAAUAAUCUAAUUUAUUUCUACUCUUUCAAGAUAUGAGAGCUUGUUUGUAUAAUUGGAUCGGUAUGAAAUGGUUGGUCGUUCUGUAAAACACUUACAAAUUUGUUUCUAGGCUAGACUGACAAAUACAACACUCGUUUAGGCACCCUUCUUGCCUUUUCCCACUUUUCCGUCAGCCUAUGUGUCUGUUAUAAAACAAUAUACUUGUUUGAUUGCAGAGAUGUCUACCACGGGAUGGCUUGGAUGAGCAUUUCAUUAUACACAUGGUAAUGCCCUUUUUUUGGUAUAUACGUUUGUUGAGCUCAAAUUUUAGUUUGCGCCUUGGCAUUUUAACUACUACGUGAGUAUAUUACAAAGAAAGUUGGGACUAUGAAUAUAGUUCAAAACUGUGUUCGGCUCGGUUCGUUUACUUGCUAACUGCUAUACUGUCUCCGCUUGCAGGAAGGUGCCAACAUCUUGGCAGUUAGUUAUGGUUCUCCUGGGGCGUGUCAAUAUCCUCGACAGUUGAAACUUGUAAGUGAACUCUAUUAUCCCAGCUUCUCUUUUUAUUUUACACUCUAACUGAGAUAAAUAGGACAUGGACUGAUCCUUUCUUGCCUUCGGUCUGGAUUCUGGUAUACUGAUAAAAUUAUGAAUGCAGAUGAUGUAAUUGAGUCAUUAUCUUUCCAUUCACCAAUAUUUUCUGUGAUUUAAUAUAUUUUGAGUCAUAUUCUAGAGUACAGUAUUGCAUCCUCUUUCUCUAUUUUGCCUAGAUAUUUUCAGCAUAAGUGGAAUAUCUAUAAGCGUUCUGUAAUAUGUUGAUAGAUUUGCAGAAAUUUUUGUGAGGAUAUACCAUUAGAAGAUAAGACAUGUGAGAGUAUGGUCUUAGGAUCAUUGUAAACAUUACAUAAUAAACCUUACAUAAUUGUGUGACUUUGGGGUGUGGUUUGGAGUGAGGAGUGUUGGUUCUACUUUCCAUGUUUUGUGAGUUUGUUUGUGUGUCCCUAAUUGACUUUCCGCACAUUCUAAAUCCCUUUCUGUCUGCUUGUGCCCCUAUAUACGAGGGUAAGCGUCCUUCCAUGGAAGUGUAGUCUUUUGGUUUGGAUUAAUUAUAGCUAACUGUUUCCUCUAAUAAACAAAGUAGGUGAUUUGCUGGUCUCUCUACGUGUCCCUAAUAGUGAUACAUUCCGAUAGAAUCCAACCUUGGGUUCUAUUACAUCUCUUGUCUACUUGAACUCCGAAACCUUAUAAUUAUGAUGGAAGAAGGUUACAUUUUCGUAAGAGCUUCUGACUUUGAUUAUCUAUGCUAUCUAAUCCAUGUUUCUCUUUUUUUGCUUACUGUAGCCAGCAAAAUGGUCGUUUAACUCGCACACCAUCCUGAAAAGCAGUGAGCAGGCGCCAAGGUAGAACAAUUGUUGCGUUUUUUGAAUCAAAUGGCUUUAUUUUGCAUGAGCCUGCACAUCUAUAUUCUAUAUGUGUACUAUAUAGCAUGAAAUUUUUUGUCAGUUCAUCAAGUUAUAUCAAUAAACAGUUUGCUUCCACCGCUUAGCCCAAUAACUAAAAUUUUAGCUUAUCCUUACCUGACUGUUUCACAGAACUCCAAUAUUCACUGAGGAGAUUCUAGGUGGUGAGAAUGUAGAGGGAGAAGUUGAACCGCCACCAGAGAGAUCAUUUUGGGCAAAAUAUGUGAGUAAUACAAUAAAGAUCUUUUGAUGAUUUUUAUUUUGUUUUAGGUCUUGAUAUAAAUUUCAUAUGAUACGCAGUGGAUGUAUUUGAUACCGCUGGGACUCGUAGUGAUGAACGCUGUAACACAAGCAUCAAACAUGGCUGAAGAACCCGCAGGUGGACAGGCAGGAGGUGCACAAAUGCAACCAGCUGCCAGGAGAAGAUGAUUCCACUUUGACUUCUCCCAAAGCAAUCAAAGGUAGACCACAGCCCAAUUACGAUGCACAAAUUUAUUUUUUUACCUAGCAGUCUUUAAAUCUUAUGAUCGCACGAGGAUACAUUUUAUAAAUUUGUUUGGCUAUCUUCGCAGCUGCAUGUGGAUAUAUAUUAUUUGGUUGUAACUUAUAAGUCACGCGGAAUUAACUGAAUUCGGAAUUUAUGUGGAAAUAUCAACGAGGUUUAGGAAGAUAUACGUCUUUGAAGUGAGUUAUAAGAUUCAAAUCUGAUUGUUAAUUAGCUUAUGUUGUUGUAGCUGCAGCUGCUAAGAGACGAUGAAUCAACAGAUCUUCAUGUAGAACCAUCUUGUCAUCAUUUGGUUUUAUGUAACCUUUAAUUUUAAUCCUAGGUCGGUGUUUUUGUACUCAGCAAAUGAGAAAUAAAAAAUCUGCGAACUUGAUAGCAUCUUUGUUAACUAGAGGCUUCAUGACAUCUCAAGAAUAAAGAUAUUGAGCAUCAUUCUUGUUUUGAUUACUUUUGACCUCUGCCACCACGUGUUUGUCAAUUUGUAUUUUUAUUGUUUGAAUUUGUUAGUAAAUUUAAUGGAAGUCAAGUAGUUAAAAAGGCCAUGAGAGAAAUCAUGCAUCUCAGUGAGAGCAUCAAGAAAGCUUCCAUUUGACAAAGCUCUUGUUCUGAAAUUUGAUCCAUCUUUUCUAGCAUCUUUGGAUCUGCGAUCUCAUCCAUGUGUCGGUCUUCCUUUAAUUUUGACAGCCAAUUUUGAAGACGUCUUCUCAUCUUACUCUCAAAUUCAUAAUCAGUACCAUAAUCUUCACCUUCACCUUGUUCUUUUUCUUCUUCUUUUUCUUCUAGAUAAAAAUCCAAAAAGCUUUCCGUUCCGGUUAGAAUAUUUAGUAUCAUAAACAUUCCAAUGGCAAAGACAUCGGUUUCCUCCGAGACUACGCCAUUUCUCAUGUAUUUAUCGUCCAAGUAAUUAUAUGUUCCCACUACUUUGUCAACCUCGACAAAUGUUUCUCCUUCUGGAAUCGAGACGCAACAAGAGAAAUCACUCAGCUUCACGACCCCAUCUUCAUCCAAAAAUAUAUUCCCAAGAGACAUACUCGUAUGUACGAAGGGCCUUGGGAACGCAGUGUGGAGGUAAGCUAAAGCAGUAGUGAUAUCUUCCGCUAACUUCAUUCUCCUUUUCCACGUCUGUUCACUUAAAUUUAGUUUGUAAUGUCUCUUUACACCAUGAUAAACCAUUACUGGAUUUUCAGACUCAAGACAACAUCCAACCAAUUUCAAAAAGUUUUUGUGACCGCUCACAAUCGAUGAAACUGCUAUGUCGCGGCACAAAUGUCCCUGUCGAUAGUUAUAUAAGCCAUCGUCAGCUUUCUUGAUGAGUAUUUUGUGGUGGUUCUCGUUCUU
rnacentral:lncRNA from 1 species